rnacentral:lncRNA from 1 species
UUUCUUAAUCUCGUGGCUUCUCUGAAAGCUCGCCUACUGCUCACUAGCCAUCUCGAAGGUAGGGAAGGUCAACUCACAUUACGAACCGAGACCGUCUGCCGGGACCCAAAAUAGGCAAUCCCUUGGGACCCAAAAUAGGCAAUCCCACGUGACCAACUCCGGAGCGCACUUCUUGUGUGGGGCUUCCAUCACAAGUUAAAAACAGACCGUGAGCAUGAUCCAAUUCUCUCCACUCUAGGGUAUCCUAUCCUCUAGGGUUACUACCAUCAUGUAGUCCACAGGCGUCGUAUACACGAAGUUUAACAUGUAUCACUUGUUUUCUUAUACACUAUCAACUAGAUUGCCGCUCGUCCAUUAUUUACUAUCGACUAGAUGCCACUCGUUCUUUGUUUAACAUCAGACCAACCAUUGAGCCCAUCUCUUUCUCUGCACUAUAGGAUUCAUAAGUCUCGACCCAAUCCUAAUCGAUCCACUAUGCCAAGUAUCCAAUACAUGCUACGAUAUCAUCAAAGAAAGCAUAAGGAAAGGCACUGCACAAUCAUCCUAUAAUAUAAUAAUACAAGAUGCAAGAAUCGAAAUGUACUAAGACAUAGAAGGGGGCCCAGUUGCUUUGGGAUGGUCACCACCCACCUCUUGGUGAUGCCGCGAUGAUAGAAAACUCGACGUUGCGGUUCUUGCACGUCGCCCUAACUCCUCGGGGCGAAGUGAGCCCUUAAGUACCCGAUUCGGCGAUUUCUCCGCACCCGCUCGUUGGAUCGAGAAACCGACUUCACCGACGCGUUCCGAGGCCUAGCAAUUUAGUUUACGACCUAUUAAGAUAGAUCAAAACCCUAGAUUUCCAAAAAUCCCAAAUCCGUGCCCUAGAAUGGCAACGAGGGAGAAAUCCGUGGUGCGAGCUUCGAUUUCGAGCUCGAACCAUCUAUUUAUCUCCAAUAGGUUCUAUUCGAACCAAUCCUAAACAAUAAAACUCAAUCCUAGGAAAUCUACCAUGGAUGGAUUUGGAGCUUACCUCUAAGCCAAGCUCCAAGCUUGCCCUAGCUUGAAGGAGAGAGGGAAGAAGACCUUCUUCUUCUCCUUCUUCUUCUUCUUGGACCUCUCCUUCCACUUCUUCUUCUUUUCCUUUCUUUCUUUCUUCUCCUUCUUCUUUUCUUUCUAGAGAGAGAGAAGGAAAGAGUGUGAGAGGGAGAGACGGCAAACGAGAGGGAGAGAGAGGUCCCCCAGCCUCUAAUAAAGGAUAUUUUGCAGAUAGCCCCCUCAACUUUUCAUCCUUUAAACCAACCCUCUCUGGGCAUUUUCGCAGUGAGGGACCGGUCCCAGCUCGGGGAGACCGGUCCCCGAGCGCUGCCAUCUCAAGCAGAGGGGUUUUCGCGUUCGGGAACCGGUCUUUGCCUGAGAGACCGGUCCCCGGGAGACCGGUCCUUGUCCGAGAGACCGGUUCCCGAAAGCUGAGUUUUCGGGACUUAGCCAAAUUUCGGCUAUUUUCGCUCGGCCAACGUUCGGGAACCGGUCCCUCACUGCCAGGGACCGGUCUCAUCAGAGACCCCCGCAGCCCAGCCUGAUGGGACCGGUCCCUCACUGCCAGGGACCGGUCCCCUAGAGCAUUUUUGUUCUAGUGCAGGUUUUGCACUGGUGCUCUCGCGGACCUUUCCUUAAUGCACUUUAUACAUUAUAAUCACCUUCGGACUUUCCGAAGCCUACGCACUCGACAACUAGUCGAUUCUAACCGAAGUCUAAUCCUCGAAUUUCGAGAAUUCACUUCCUAACAUCCUCCCCACCUUAAAAGAGUUUCGUCCUCGAAACGAACUCAAUACUACAAAACUUAUUUAGAACUUUAAAUUCUAAACUCAUACCUUGGCUUAAUCCUCGAACAAGUGAGGAUGAUUCGCCUUCAUCUCCUCCUCAAGCUCCCAGGUGGCUUCGCGAUCAUCAUGAUUGCUCCACCAGACUCGAACAUAAGGAAUUUCCCGAUUCCUUAACACUUCACGAGCGGUAAUUGCCACCGAAAACUCCUCGUAGCUCAGGUCUUCCUGAAGUUCGGACGAUUCGUAUAACAUUGCAUGCUCGGGAUCGGGUAUGUAUUUGCGAAGAUUGGAGACGUGGAAUACAUUAUGCACAUCUGCAAGCUUUGGCGGCAACGCGAGCCGAUAAGCCACCGUCCCAGUCCGUUCCAAGAUCUCAUAGGGGCUAAUAUAUCGGGGACUUAACUUGCCCCGAACACCAAAUCGUUUAACGCCCCUCAUAGGAGAUACCUUCAAGAAAACGCGGUCGCCCACCGCAAACUCCAAAUCUCGUCGGCGCCUAUCCGCAUAACUCUGUUGUCGAGAUUGCGCCGUGAGUAGCUGUCUGCGAGCAAGGCGGACCUUUUCUUCCGCCUCCCGCAACACAUCAGGGUCAAAUUCCGUCCGCUCGCCCACGUCACUCCAAUAAAUGGGAGAGCGGCACUUCCGCCCAUAAAGAGCUUCGAACGGUGCCAUCUCCACACUAGCGUGAUAACUGUUGUUGUAGGCGAACUCGGCCAUUGGCAAGUACUUACACCAGCCCCCUUUGUAAUCGAUGACACACGCUCGCAACAUAUCCUCCAGAGUCUGAAUAGUUCUCUCGGUUUGCCCAUCUGUCUGGGGAUGGAAUGCAGUGCUAAAAUCGAGCCGUGUGCCAAGGGCCUCUUGCAGGUUUUUCCAGAAAUGCGAAGUGAACUUGGGGUCUCUAUCCGACAUAAUUGAUUUCGGCACCCCGUGUAACCUCACUACUUCGUCAAGAUAUACCUGCGCCAACUUAUCUCCCGCCCAGGUGGUGUGGACCGGCAAAAAGUGCGCUGACUUCGUCAAGCGAUCCACAAUCACCCAGAUUGCGUCGUGGCCCCCUAUCGAACGAGGUAAGCCAACGAUAAAAUCCAUAGAUACGUCCUCCCAUUUCCAAACGAGGAUAGGUAGACUCUGAAGCUUUCCCGCUGGAAACCGGCGCUCUGCCUUUACUUGCUGACAAGUCAAACACUUCGCCACGAAGCGCCCAAUAUCAGCCUUCAUCCCCGGCCACCAAUAGAGUGCUCUCAACUCAUGAUACAUUUUGGUGCCGCCCGGGUGAUCCGCGUAUGGAGACCGGUGGGCUUCCUGCAAAAUCAGCUCGCGGAGCUCUUCAUUCUCGGGUACGCGCCACCGGUUUCGAAAUCGGAGCACGCCACCGGCGUCCACACUGAAAUCGCCAUUUCGUCCUUCCUCAAUGUUACGCCGCACCCUUUGGAGGCUCGGAUCUGCAGGUUGCAAAUUUCUGAUCCUCUCCAAUAAGGUCGGUUGAAUAACGAGCGCCAUCAACUGAGCCGGGACCUCGGGAGCGACCACUUCGAGGUCCAGUCGCUCCAUUUCCAGCCCUAGGGGUGUUUGCCGGGUAACAUCAAAAGCGAGGUUCCUCGCCGACUUCCUGCUAAGCGCAUCCGCGACCACAUUUGCUUUGCCGGGGUGGUAGAGAAUGUCGACAUCAUAAUCCUUUAAUAGUUCUAGCCACCGCCUUUGUCGCAUGUUUAGCUCCUUCUGGAUAAAUAGAUACUUCAGACUUUUGUGGUCAGUGUAGAUCUUGUAGUGUGCACCAUACAGGUAGUGCCUCCACAGUUUCAGCACAAAGAUCACCGCCGCCAACUCCAAGUCAUGUGUGGGGUAAUUCUUCUCGUGGUCUUUUAGCUGACGGGAUGCAUAAGCUAUCACCCUCCCGCCUUGCAUCAGGACACACCCCAAGCCCAGAUAGGAUGCAUCACUAUAGACUGCAAAGUCCUCGCCCUGUACCGGUAAGCCGAGUAUUGGAGCCGACGUCAAUCUUUUCUUCAACUCGUUGAAGCUUUGAUCACAUUCGUCGCUCCAAAUAAACUUGACGCCCUUUUGUGUUAGACCGGUAAGCGGAGUCACAAUCUUCGAAAAGCCCUCCACAAACCGUCGAUAGUAGCCCGCUAAGCCUAUGAAGCUCCGGACCUCCGUGACAUUCGUCGGGCGUGGCCAAUUCUCUACUGCUUCGACUUUCCUCGGGUCAACUGAAACACCGCCCUCGGAAAUCACAUGCCCCAAGAAAGCAAUCUCUCGAAGCCAGAAAUCACAUUUCUUCAGCUUUGCGAAUAGCUUCUCCUCCCGAAGGAUUUGAAGCACUAUCCGCAGAUGCUCCACGUGCUCCUCGUCGUUCCUCGAGUAGACCAAGAUGUCGUCUAUGAAGACCACGACAAAUCGGUCCAAGCACGCUUUGAACACAUGGUUCAUUAGAUCCAUGAAUGCUGCGGGGCAUUAGUGAGCCCGAAAGGCAUAACCGUGUACUCAUAGUGUCCAUAACGCGUACGAAACGCGGUCUUCUGAAUAUCCUCCGACUUAAUCUUUAACUGAUGGUAGCCGGAUUGUAGGUCUAUCUUCGAGUACACUCGUGACCCUUGUAACUGAUCAAAUAAGUCGUCGAUUCGGGGCAACGGGUACUUAUUCUUUAUUGUGACCCUAUUCAACUCUCGAUAAUCCACGCAGAGUCGAAACGAGCCAUCCUUCUUGCGCACGAACAACACCGGCGCUCCCCACGGUGAUACGCUCGGCCGGAUAAACCCCUUGUCGAGGAGAUCUUGCAACUGAUCCCUCAGUUCCCUCAGCUCCGCCGACGCCAUGCGGUAUGGGGCCUUGGAGAUCGGCGCCGUCUCGGGAGUCAAGUCUAUAACAAACUUGAUCUCCCGAUCCAGCGGCAUCCCCAGUAACUUCGUGGGAAAUACAUCUGGAAAUUCCCGCACCACCGAUAAAUCUUCUAAUUUCGGCACCACCUGGUCCACCUCCACGACGGUCGCCAAAAAUGCCGCGCAACCGCCGUUGACCAACUUCCUAGCUCUCGUCGCCGAUACUGUCGCGACGAAGCAAGAACUCCGACAGGCUCGGUAAACAAACUCCUUCUGUCCUAGCUCCCGAAAGGUGAUCGAUUUAUUCUUACAAUCGAUCGUGGCGUAAUACUUCGAGAGCCAAUCCAUGCCCAAAAUGACGUCAUACGCCUCCAAUUUAGUGAGUUCCAACAUCCGGAUGGGCAUUAUCCAGUCACCCACUUGUACUGGGCAUGACGAGCAUUCCGUGUAGGUAUUGAACGACGAUUCAGGACCCUCGACUCGCCACUUGCCACUUGCCACUUGCCACUUGCUUCUAUGGGUAUGUCAUGCAUGCGUGCAAAUGCUCUACUAAUAAACGAAUGCGUGGCACCUGUAUCAAACAUGGCCCUGGAGCGAAUUCCAUUGAUUAGAACCAUACCUGCCACAACAACAGGCUCCUCGGCUUGGGCAGGCUCCUCGGCACGGGCCUGAGCGGUGAAUACCCAUCCGCUCGGCGCUGAUCAAGUCACCUCCGGCUGGCGUGGCGCCAGUGCACGCCCUGCUGACACGGGAACAUAUGGGGCCCCUCCCUGAUAAGGCGGGGGUGCUGGAGUCGAUGCGACUGACGGAGUAGACGAGGCCCUUGCCGAACAGUCACGGCUGAUGUGUCCUUCUUGUCCACAAUUAAAGCACCUUCCCUGUCGUUGUCUACACUGCGGUGCCCGAUGGCCUCGAUCUCCACAGAUAGGGCACCGCUGCGGCCCACGGCCCCACGACUGCGACCGCGGAUACUUCGGGGGUCUCUUAGAGCUCGACUGGCACCCCGAACUACCGCCCGGUCGCUUCUUCCCCUUGUCUUGGGAUCCGGCCAACAACUCACGUUCCUCUCGCACGUGGGCAUCUCCAUGCUCUGCCCAUAGUGCCUUAUUGAAAACCUCGGCGAAAGUUCUGAGUUGGAACAAUUGCACUGCCCGAUAUAUCCAUGGCCGAAGUCCCCGCAAGAACCAUUCGGCCCGAUCCGCGUCGUCCUUGACCACGUCCGGGACGCAGUCUAUAAUGUGGGAGAACUCCUGCUCGUAGUCCGCCACGGAACGAUCCCCCUGCCUCAAUUUGCGAAACUUCUUCUUUAGCUUCCGCUUCUCGGUGUCGGGGAAAUAAUUUCCAAACAUUUUCCUCUUAAACUCCUCCCAGAGCAUCGGUGGAAGAUCAGAGGGUCGAUCACGCUUCAAUCGCUUCCACCACACCUUCGCCGCCUUGUCGAGGCAAUGGGUGGCGAAAGGCACCUUAUCCUUCUCCGGGGUGUAUAGGUCCUCGAAGAGAGUCUCCAUAGAGUCUACCCAAGACUUCACCGCCGACGGCUCCACCUUCCCCUUUUCAAAGGUUGGUGGCUUAAACUUCAUGAACUUCAUCAGAGCCGUUAGCGCACGCUCCCGCUCCACUUCGUCGGCCGUCGUAUCGAGUGUUGCCGAACCCGAAGCGGUCGGGGGCGCACUAGUCGGCGGGGGAACUGCCGCCACCGAAACCGCCACUACGCCCUCACCCUCAGCGGCUUCAGGCGCGCGCGCCGAGGGUGCGAGUGGAUCACGGCUCUCCGUCGCCGCCGCGGCCACCGCCGCCGCCUGUCGCUCUACAAAUCCCUGGAGCUGCUCGAGCCGAGCCUCCUGGCGCUGCAUCACGCCCAACAUCGUAGUGACCUGCUCUCGCAGUUCCUGCAUCUCCUCCAAUCUUGCCUGCUCGGGCUCCACAGAAGGCGGUACCGGAACAGACCUACGCACGUAUCGCCUUGGGGACAUUUGCUCCUGAAAAGCAACAACUCGAUUAGUUAUCUUAAUCCGAUAACUUCUCAACGUUCGCCAAAGUAAACGACUCGACAAUAAAAUCGGGCAGAAGCUCACAAGUGUUCUAGUUCUGGACCCUUAGCGUCGCGUCGUCGGCCGCCGACACAACCACUACGAGCCGAGAAACUAGUAUCACUUGGAUCCGUCUCUAUUCAUGGCUAGAGACAUAACAUCAACUCCGACCCAAUCGAUCUACUUCCGCCGCCGUCAUGGGUUCACGUUCACUCACGUCCCUAUAACCUUAGGGUUCACCAACCUAGGGUCUCCUAGGUCAUCCUAGACUCUCUCUUUACUUGCUCUGGUGCUCUGAUACCACUUUAUCUGUCACGCCCCGAAACCGAUACCAAUUUGGUUCGGUCCGGGCGCGUCGAACAGACGCCGAACGAACAGGACCUCCCCUGUCCGCCCAAGGCUAGCCAACCGAUCAUGUAUAGGGAAUUGCCCAAGAAAUCAAUUCGUGAAUACAUGACCACAGGGAGCACCACCAGUGCUAACAAAACGAGAGCAAGAUACAAGUAUGAGGCAUACAAGUAGGUAAAGAGAGAAACUCUAUCUAUUACAUUCAUUCAUUCAACUUAAUACAUUUAAAUCCAUCUCUUACAACUUCCAAAAUAUAAAUACAAUCACUUAAAUCUCACCCUAUACAACAUCUACUCUCAAGCAUAAUAUAGGGUAAAGCUAGUGCAAAAGGUAGGUAGCUAAUGCAACUAGGGCGCUAGGCCCUUACCGCGAUCCUCGCCAUGCGAACUUGCGCUCGGCCCUGCAAUAAAAUGAGGGUGAGAACUAACUUCCUUAGUUCCCAGUGGGUUCGGCCACCGACUCCGCCGGUCUCCCCACUAGGUCCAAGUGGGCACAAGUAGAUAACCGGGUUGAUAAAUAGGUAAUAAGCAAAGCGGUAAAGACAGGAUAGUAAAGCUACACUACUAUGCCCGAAUCAUAAACAUAUGGAUGCAUGUGCAAUGAAAUGGUAAGUAACUAACCCGUCAACAUGUACAAAAAGUAAAGCUAUGCACUUAUUCAUCAAUCUCAUUUACUUGUUUCUUAAUCUCGUGGCUUCUCUGAAAGCUCGCCUACUACUCACUAGCCAUCUCGAAGGUAGGGAGGGUCAACUCGCACUGCGAACCGAGAUCGUCUGCCGGGACCCAAAAUAGGCAAUCCCUUGGGACCCAAAAUAGGCAAUUCCACGUGACCAACUCCGGAGCGCACUUCUUGUGUGGGGCUUCCAUCACAAGUUAAAAUCAGACCGUGAGCAUGAUCCAAUUCUCUCCACUCUAGGGUACCCUAUCCUCUAGGGUUACUACCAUCAUGUAGUCCAUAGGCGUCGUAUACACCAAGUUUAACAUGUAUCACUUGUUUUCUUAUACACUAUCAACUAGAUUGCCACUCGUCCAUUAUUUACUAUCGACUAGAUGCCACUCGUUCUUUGUUUAACAUCAGACCAACCAUUGAGCCCAUCUCUUUCUCUGCACUAUAGGAUUCAUAAGUCUCGACCCAAUCCUAAUCGAUCCACUAUGCCAAGUAUCCAAUACAUGCUACGAUAUCAUCAAAGAAAGCAUAAAGAAAGGCAAUGCACAAUCAUCCUAUAAUGCAAUAAUACAAGAUGUAAGAAUCGAAAUGUACUAAGACAUAGAAGGGGGCCCAGUUGCUUCAGGAUGGUCACCACCCACCACUCUUGGUGAUGCCGCAAUGAUAGAAAAACUCGACGUUGCGGUUCUUGCACGUUGCCCUACUCCUCGGGGCGAAGCGAGCCUUAAGUACCCGAUUCGGCGUUUUCUCCGCACCGCUCUUGGAUCGAGAAACACUUCACCGACGCGUUCGAGGCCUAGCAAUUAGUUUACGACCUAUUAAGAUAGAUCAAAACCUAUAUUCCAAAAAUCCCAAAUCGUGCCCUAGAAUGGCAACGAGGGGAAAUCCGUGUGCAGCUCAUUCACGAGCUCGAACCAUCUAUUUAUCUCCAAUAGUUCUAUUCGAACCAAUCCUAAACAAUAAAAUCAAUCCUAGGAAAUCUACCAUGGAUGGGUUUGGAGCUUACUCUAAGCCAAGCUCCAAGCUUGCCCUAGCUUGAAGGAGAGAGGGAAGAAGACCUUCUUCUUCUCCUUCUUCUUCUUCGUGGACCUCUCCUUCCACUUCUUCUUCUUUUCCUUCCUUUCUUUCUUUCUUCUCCUUCCUUUCUUUCUUCUCCUUCUUCUUUUCUUUCUAGAGAGAGAGAAGGAAAGAGUGUGAGGGGCAGAGAGGGCAAACGAGAGGGAGAGAGAGGUCCCCCAGCCUCUAAUAAAGGCCAUUUUGCAGAUAGCCCCCUCAACUUUUCAUCCUUUAAACCAACCCUCUCUGGGCAUUUUCGCAGUGAGGGACCGGUCCCAGCUCGGGGAGACCGGUCCCCGAGCGCUGCCAUCUCAAGUAGAGGGGUUUUCGCGUUCGGGAACCGGUCUUUGCCUGAGAGACCGGUCCCCGGGAGACCGGUCCUUGUCCGAGAGAUCGGUUCCCGAAAGCUGAGUUUUCGGGACUUAGCCAAAUUUCGGCUAUUUUCGCUGGGCCAACGUUCGGGAACCGGUCCCUCACUGCCAGGGACCGGUCUCAUCAGAGACCCCCGCAGCCCAGCCUGAUGGGACCGGUCCCUCACUGCCAGGGACCGGUCCCCUAGAGCAUUUUUGUUCUAGUGCAGGUUUUGCACUGGUGCUCUCGCGGACCUUUCCUUAAUGCACUUUAUACAUUAUAAUCACCUUCGGACUUUCCGAAGCCUACGCACUCGACAACUAGUCGAUUCUAAUCUAAGUCUAAUCCUCGAAUUUCGAGAAUUCACUUCCUAACAUGCCUCCUGACAUCAAACAUUACUUGCUCCAAGGAUGAAGCAAAACGAGCACGAGAAACCCUUCUCGAAGGUGCCUGCUUGACCGAAGGGGAUAGCGAAGGUGAUCUAACUGAAGAAUGAGAAGAAGAAUUAAUUGGAAUGGACUGAGGAGUUACCUUUGCAGAUACUGGGUCGAUAGGAGUCGAUUGAACAGAAUCCACCUCCUCGGCUAAAGUGUCAGCUGGUGGAAUUUUCGCUCGAGAUGCAUCUUCGGCCGGCACAGGAGGAGGGAUAGAACGGAUCUUGAUGGCAACAAUUUUACACCGCUUCUGCUGCGGCAGUUGGGCUAGUUGGUCAGACUCUAUCGACCGCUUAUCAGAACGUUGGGCCGAUAAAUUAAAAGCAGGAACUGGCUGAAAAUUAAGGAUAUGUUAGCCGAAUAAAUCUUUUAUAAAAGAAUACACACUGAGAGACAGGAUUUACCGUUGAUUGGUGAGAUGAAUUCUCAGGAUCUUCGUCUGAAUUUUAUCCCGAAAAAUCUUCUGGGAGAAUGCGCAAAGGUUCUUUAACUAUAAGACUAAUUAACUAUUCACAAAAGAAAGAGAAAAGAACGAAAUCGAAUUGAUUGAAAGAUAGCUUACCUUCUAUAUGAAAAAUUUUACGAAAGACAGAAUGCACGACGGUGGAAAAAUGUUGUUCACAAAAAGCUUCCCUCGCUCUGGUAAAACGAAAAUCCAAUACCAUGCAUGAUUUGGCCGAAAGCUCACAAGUUUGAAGAAACAUCAAAUACGAUUCCCCAUUUAAUAUUUAAUGACUUUUACAAAGCAUCAAUUACUUUAGAAUAGGCAAUGAAUUUUCUAUUAUAUUUUUCCUUUAUUACUUUUCGCGUUGUAUUUUGAUUUUUAUUACUACUGGUUCUUGCUCAAUUUGUUAAAUUUUCUACAAGGUUUAUACAGCUUCUCCUAUUUAAUUUGUUAAACUUUUUAUAAAGUUCAAUAUUACCCGUAGUUAGUUAAUUCGGAUUCGGCAAAAAUUCGGUACGGAUAUAAUUCGGAUAAAAUUCGUCUUCUAUUUUUUAAAUUUGUUGAAAAAUACGGCUAAAAAUCGGAUUCGGUAAUUAUUCGGAUACAUGAUUUAUACGGAUAUUAUACGUUCACCAAUUAAAAAUUCGGGAUCAAAAAUUUGGCUAUUAAAUUAAAUUUUUUUUCUCUCAAGAUUUAUGCUAUUAGCAUAAAUACUCAUAUUUCUUAAGAAUAUAAGAAUAAAAAGCUACAAAAUUAAGCUAAUUAAGUAAAAAAAAUAGCAAACUAUAUUAUCCUUGAAAUAAAAUAUUAUAUAAUAAUAUUUUUAUAUAAAAAUAGAAUACUAUAUAUAAUAAAUAAAUAUAUAUUUAUAAAUAAAAUUAUAUAUACAUAUAUAGAGUCCGGCUACGGUGCUUGUAAAAGCACCAAGUAUUUGGUGCUUGUAAAUUUUUUACCGUUAGAUCUACUUCUCUAAUCAUUUUUAACCAUUAGAUUAUACUAUUCAACCAACCACCCACUCAACCCUAGGGGGCCCACAUGAUCCUAAACGCACAUCCCUUAAUUCAAGGGCUAAAAAUCUACCAGCACCAAUAACUUUGUCACGCCCCAAUCCCCGCCAAUUUGGUCGGGUUCGGGUCACGUCAACAGAUGCUGAACGGACAGCAUUUUUCCUGUACGCCCAAGGCUCCAACAACAUGUAUAAUUAAACAAUCAACAAAGAGAUAUGCAAUUAUACAAGGCUUGCACGAGGGCAAGCAACACGGAAGCGAAAGCUCUAAGCUAGUAUAUACAAACAUACAUAAUACUUGAUUACUUUUGAACCAAAUAAAAGUAAACUACCACUAUUACAUUCUUUUCCAUUCAACAUAAUUCUUUACAUUUAGCCAUUCACCCAAUUACAUAUUUGUUUUCAACUAUACAACUUUAUCAACAAAGAAAGUUGAUACAUGUAAACUAAAAGGGAAAUGACUACAAAAUGUGAAAUGGUCCCGGUGGCCGCUAUCUACGGCGCUAAACCCUUGCCUCGGUCCUCCACCGCCCCACUCGUGCUAGGACCUGUAGGGUUAGUGGUGUGAGAACUACAACGAAGUUUUCAGUGGGUUCGACAACCGACCUCGCCGACUGUUACGCCUCGGGACCCAACGGAAGCCCGCCCGGCGCGUGCCCAAACCCGCCGUACGUCUAAAACAUACAAGGCAUCUAAAAUAAAGCGAUAAAUAAAGCAAUAGAAGAAAGCAUCUAGGAGUAUCAGAGCAAAGUACUACGAAGUGCUACAACAAGGAGAAGAUCAUAAAACUGAUAAUCCACUAAGUAAAACUCAAGAUAAUACAAACAGAGUCCCAUAACAAGUACUAAUCUGAAUACAAGGUGGUCUCUCUAUACAUGGUGCAAAAUCUCUCCCUCUCUCUAACACAACAAAGAAGGAGUAACCACCUAUAGCAAAACGGACUCUUUCCGAGCUAGCUACGCGACACCCUUGCCGCGAUCCCGUGCCUCCGCCGGUGCCGAAGGCUCUGAAAAGGAAACAUAGAAACAGGGGCGUGAGAACUAUUAAAUAAUAGUUUCCAGUGGGUAAUUACUGACUUAAGUGAAGUGCGCCACUAGGCCCAAAAGCUACAAAAAGGGGGUCAGUGUAUAAGCAUAAGCAAAAGCGAUAAAUACAACGGGUAAGUAAAGAUAAAUACUGCUCAACCAUGACAUCACUACUUAGCAUGAUUUGCAUAAGUAAUAAAGCAACUACCAGAGGUAUGUACAUGAGAGUAACCAAUAUGUAAAUGCAUGAGUAUGCAACUACCCCAAUGUCCACAAUGUGAAUAGCAAUAAUGUCAUUGUUCACUAUUGUCACGCCCCGGGACCCAGCGGGAGCCCGCCCGGCGCGUGCCCAGACCCGCCAUAUGUCUACAACAUAUAAGGCGUCUAAAAACAACAAUAAUAACAGCAAUAAUAAAAGACAUCUAGAAGUAUCAGAGCAUAAUAAAUGUCUAAAUGCUACCACAAGAGAUAAGGAUAAAACAGUAAAUCCACUAAAUAAAACAUAGAGUAAGAACAAUAGGAAAUCCCAAAUACAAGAGCUAUAAGUAGGUACAUAGGUGGUCUCUAUACAUGGAUACAAAAUCUCUCACUCUCUCUCAACUACAAAAAGAAAGAGUAAACCACCUAGGCAAAGUACCGCUCCUCGCUAGCUAGCUAAGCGAUCCCCUUGCCGCGAUCCCGUGCCUCCGCCGGUGCCGAAGGCUCUGAAAAGUAAACCAUAAAACAGGGGCGUGAGAACUAUUAAAAAUAGUUCCCAGUGGGCAAUUACUGACUUCAGUGAAUGCACCACAAGGCCCAAAGCUACAAAAGAUGUCAGUGACUAUAAAAGUAGAAAAGCGAAAGGUAAGUAAAAAUGUAACUUACUACAACAUGAUAUCUCUACUUAGCAUAAUUAGCAUAAGUAUGAAGCAACUAUGCAUGAAGUAAAAGUCUCCAACUAUCAUAAUGUUCACAAUGCGAAAUAGUAAAGUUCCGUUGUUUACUAUUCUAGUCAAUGUCCAAAUAAUACUCUAAGUCAUCAUCUAUCCACAUGUCGUAACGGAUAUAUAAAGUCCAAUCUGAAGAGACCCACCCGAAGGCUGUCUAUGGCCCUGAGACCCACCCGUAGGCUGUCUGGCCGGUGCCGAGCCUAAUGGCCCCGUGGUAGUCAUCAUCCCCACCCUAGGAAUGAGCCUGGCCCACGGCAAUCCACUUCGGCGCCCAAUCCCGCACGGCGAAUAUGUAUCGCGAUGGCCAUCUCCGGAGUGCCGGCUUGUAGGGAGCGACCCUCACAAGCAUGUGCGAAUGAGCACAAUGGCAAGUAGUCAAACGAUCAGUCGCAAGUAUCAAGUCCUCAUGUCCAAUAACAUGGUAUAUAUAGUAAAUGUCCUCGUGGCCAAGUCACUAUUUCAUCAUAUCUCAAAUAUGGAAUAUAGUUGAUGUCAAUGUGGCCUAUUCUCAAGUCUCUAUGUUGCAGUUUAAUAAUUCUCUAGUCCAAGUGCCUCUUUAUGACACUAUGGCUCAUUUUGUCCCAACAUGGAUACUAAGUUCAAGAACUUACAAUUCUAGUCAAACCGAAGCAUGAAACUUGAUUUCCUAUCAUCUCAUAGAAUAUUUGUCGCAUGCAUAUUAACAAAGCACAUUGUCUCUCUCUCUCUACUAUAUAGAGUAAAUUUUCUUGAUGCACAACAAAUGAGUUCUAAGCAUUCAAAACUCUCAUAAAUGCUACUAAACAUGAAUUUAAGGAGCAUGAAAGCAUUUAACCACUUAGGAGGAAUUUCCUCCAAUUUUCAAGGAAGCCAAACCCACCGAUGGCAACGAAACUCCUCGUGCGCUCCAACGAGGGUGUCCUCUAGUCUCCUAGUAUCCUAGAGGUACAAGAACAUGUGUCAUACGGGCCAAACAAACAAAACCUAGCUCAAACAUUAAGCUAAUCAAUCAUAGGUGAGGAAAACUCACCUCUAGUGCAAAAAUCUCCUCUAAAGCUCCAAAAUGAAGCUAGGGCUCAUCCAAUCCAACCUAAUGGAAGCCUCUAAUCCAAACAAUCUAGCUUCAAAAGCCCUAGAUCCAAAAUGCCCAAUAUAAACCCUAAUAUUCCAAUUCUAGGGUUUAAUCUCACAAAAACCUCAAAUCAAGGAUCAAAGGGAGAAAUCAAGUCUCUAACCUCUCAAGAAGCUCCAAACUUAGCUCCAAUCCAAGUGGGGUGGGAGAUCUCCUCAGCCACAAGCUCCUCUCCAAGCUCUAAGCCAUCAACAAUGGUGGAGAAGCCACCAAGAUGCAAAAAGAGAAGAGAAAACCCAAAUAAAAACCAAGCAAAGGGGUAAAAAUGCAAAGAAAGGGAGAGAGAGCUCCUCUCACCUUCUCCUCCUCAGGUCCCAGCACAAAAGAAGCCCUAAGGGGCGUGGGUGCUGUUAUAGAUAGGCUACAAUCGCGAAAAACCCCCUGCAGUUCAAACUGCACGAAAUCUGCCUCCUUGUACCGGUACACGGGCUCUUGUACCGGUACAAGGCCGACGAAAUUGCAAACCCGAGGCUCGGGUCGCGCGGUCUGCGGCUCUGUACCGGUACAAGCCCGAUGGCUGUACCGGUACAACCAUCAACCCUUGUACCGGUACAAGGCCAGUCUUGUUCCGGUACAAGCCCUGCUGCGGGCUACCCGAGAGCUGUCCAAAAAUUCCAAUUUUGGAAUUUUGGUGCCAAGUCCCACUCCAACAUCCUCGGGAUGCGUGCCAGGGGUCGGGACACUAUCAACGACCCUCCAAAAACUGUGGAAAGGCUCCACACACAGAUCAAACACUCGAAUCUUGCGAUUUGCUGAGAUCCAGUGCAUUACAACUAUUCUAGUCAAUGUCCACUUGUCACUUUAACUGUUUAAAGUUCAACUCUGAUAAGACCCACCCGAAGGCUGUCUGGCUUAAGACCCACCCAAAGGCUGUCUGGCUUUACCGUGCCUAAUGGCCCCGUGGUAGUCAACAUCCCCACCCUAGGAAUGAGCCUUUCCCACGGCAAUCCACUUCGACGCCCAAUCCCACACGGCGAAUAUGUAUCGCGAUGGCUAACUCCGGAGCGCCGGCUUGUAGGGAGCGACCUUCGCAAGCAUGUGUGAAUGAGCACAAUGGCAAGCAUGCGUAUAAGUCUGUCUCAAGUCUCAAGUCCUCAUGUCUAUGAACAUGGAAUAUAUCAAAUAUCACAAAGGCCUAUCACUAUGUCAUCAUGUCUCUAACAUGGAAUAUAGUCGAUGUCCAAUGGCCUAUCACUAUGUCUCUAUGUUGCAUUUUUAUAGUUCACUAGUUUCAAGUGCCCCUUUAUGACACUUUUGUUCAACGAGUCCAAGCAUGAUAAUUAGGUUCUCGAAUGCAUAAUAUGAGUCAUUUUAAACAUAGAAGACAAGUUUUUCACUCGGUAAUGCGAUUACUUUUCUCAUACAUGCAGCAUAUCCAUAAAGCUCUACUAUAUAGAGUGAAAUUUUCAUCAUUCAUAAUGCAUGCAUUUUAAGUGAUCUAAAAUUUACAUAAUUCAUAUUUAGCAUGGAUUUGCAUUCAAAAAUACUUUACGACAAGUAUAGGAAACAUAGGGGCCAUUUUGCCCCAUGUUCAUGAAGCCAAACCCACCGUUGAUACCGAAACCCUUCGUAAGCUCCGACGAAGGUGUCGACUAGUCUCCUAGCACCCUAAAGAUGUAGGAACAAGGGUCAAGCAAAUCUUACGGUCAACCCUAAGCUCAAUCAAUAAGCAACAUAAGCUAAGGUGAAGAAAAACUCACCUAGAUGAAGAAAUCCUCUCUCAAACUCCAAAUAGGAGUUAGAGUUCUUCAAAUCCAACCUAAAUAAAGGUUCUAAACCCAUCAAUUAGGUUUCAAAACCCUCAAAUCAAAAAUUCCCAAAAUAAACCCUAAGUCCCAAAAUCUAGGGUUUCAUAAGGUAAAAUCUAGAAAAACUUGUAUUAAAUAAAAAAUACAAGCUACCAACUCAAGAGAAGCUCCAAUCCAAGCUCUAAACCAAGUAGGGUUGGAGUUUGAUCCUCCACAAGGCUCCAACCGCAAGCUCCAAGCCACCAAGGGUGAGGGAUGAGGGGAAGAAGAUGAUCCAAAGCCUCAAAAUCUAGCUCUCCUCCAACUCUUCGUCUUCUCCUCCUUCUUCUUCUCUCUCUAAAAGUGUAGGGAGAGUGUGAGGGAAAGAAAAUGAGGAUGAGAGGGAGGGGAGAGGCUCUAUAAGCCUUCAAAUGUAACAAAAUCCACUUAGGUCCCUUAAAAAUCCACUCUGUGCACUGCCCGGUCUGGGCAGUUUUCGCGCUGAGGGACCGGUCUCCCCGACACCUGGGACCGGUCUCUCAGUUCGUCCCGCAAAACCAACGUUCGGGAACCGGUCUCUCCCCGCCAGGGACCGAUCUCUCAGACCAUUCUCGCAAAAUACGCGUUCGGAAACCGAUCUCUUCCAGCCAGGGACUGGUUGCCUCAAGCCCUGCCGCAGCAUUGUUCUGAGGGGACCGGUCUCUCCUAUCAAGGACCGGUCCCCGAGAGUGAAAACUCUCAGGACAAAGUCAAAACUCUAGAGAUCGAACUUUUAUGCCGGAAUACCAUCUACGGCCUUCCACCAAGUAUGAAAAAGUUCAGAGUACAUAUCAAAUAUUCGAACAUCGCAAUUUGCAAAGGUCCAGUGUGCUACACCGACUUACCCACUAGGUCUAUUUCAGACAUAAGCAUUUCAACGGAAAGAAAAUAGUAGCCAAACUAAUGCUAAUACUAUGCCUGCAAGAAAGAUGUCAGCGGAUAUAGAUAUGAAAGCAAUAAAUAUGCAUGCAUGCUUGUUCGAUACUUUUUUUUGGCUUUUUACCCAAUCUUAUUGGUUAACUUUGUUAACCCCAAUGACUCACAACCCAAAAUCCCUUUUGAUCGAGGAGGCUUCAAGCACUUCCACUCAAGAGACCGUCCUUCGGGGCCACUAUCCCCGUGGUGACCUACUCCGGAGCGCACCGCUUGAGGAGGAGCUACCGCCCUCAAGCCAAGACUUAUCGUGAGUAUUGAUCCAAUUUCCAACUCGGGAACUUAUAGCCACUAGUCACAAUGCCACUAUCAUAAAAGGUUUUCUACGUAUUUGUUCAUGCCACUCUUGGUUAAACUAUGUUUAACAAUCACUAUCUCAAAGCCAAUUUUGUCUCUAUAGUCAAUGUCACCUUUGUUUACUAAGAUCAAUGUCCAAGUCUCCUAUUCAUACAUCUCUAGGGUUCUAGCAUACAUGUCCAUUACGGUUCUAUCAUUCUUUAUGUCCAACUACAUUAUAAGCAUAUAAAUAAAGUUACACCAAAGUUCACAUGUAAGGAACCCUAAUAUGUAUGAACGACUACAUACAGUAUGCUCAAAUAAAAGUGACAUAGACAUAAAAGGGAAUCCAACGAUCCCGGAAUGCACCCCCACCUCGCAUGGUCGUGUAGGUGUAGAAUAUGACGACUCCCGAACUUUACGAAAAUCGAUUCCGCGUCCUAUAACCAAAAUAGUGCCAUAUUAGGCCCUUUGUACAUGAACCAUACUUAAACAUUUUCGUAACGUCGAACGGAGUUGUCCAACGCGUCGAGGACACCCCCAAUUAGGUUUCUACGAGGUCAAUUCGCCCUCGAAAAAUCCUAGGGCAAAAGCCCCAAAUUUGAGCCCUAACAAUGCCCUAUAGCAAUAGCUCCUAGAUUGAUCUCUUCCCUAAGCAAAAGAUAGCUUAGAAUCAUCUAAGAAGCAUUCUAAUAAAGUUUCCAAGCCUCUUGGACCAACCUUAGGGCAUCUACUUUGAGCCCUAGUGAUCCACCAUGAGAGCUCUACAAGAAAACCAUGGAUUUCAUGGUUUCUUAGCUCAACAAGGGUUCUAAAGCUAGAAAUAAACUCAAAACCCUACAAGUUUGGGUUAAAAUCCAAACCCUAGACUCUUAUGAACCAAAACCUCACCUUUGCCCAAGUUCCACCAAGCUCCUUCUUGUAGGUGAGCUCCUUGGACCACCAAAACCCUAAACUCCCUCUUCUCCAAGUUCUUCUUCUUCUUCUUCUCCUUCAAGCCCUAGGUGAGUUCUAGAGAGAGAGAGAAGAGGAAAUGAGAGGAAGGUGAAAAAUGGCUGAGGAAAGGGAGAAGGGUUGAGUAUAUAAGGUGUUGUAACAAUUACAACAAGGUCCUCCCACUAUUUCCCUUGUGCACUGCCCAGACUGGGCAUUUUUCGCAGUGAGGGACCGGUCUCCCCAACUAGGGACCGGUCCACGAAAGCUUCUCCCGCGGUCUGCGCAGGCUGCGCGCGAUGCAACCGGUCUCCCUCAAUGGAACCGGUCUCUGGGGACCGGUCUCUCCUCGCAGAGACCGGUUCCCGAGAGCUGGUUUUCCAGGACUUAGCCGAUGUUUUGGCCAUCUCGCUGCCUACACGUUCGGGGACCGGUCUCUCCCACCAGGGACCGGUCCCCGAGAGCACAAAACCUGCAGUUUUGCAUAUUUUAAUUUUCAAAGCUCUCAAAGAUUUUCAGUAAUGCAUUUUUGCAUUAUUUGACGCCUUCGGCCUUUCCGAAGUGUACUAACCUCGCACUUUGGUCAAUUUGACCAAGGUUCGAAUUUGAUUACCGAAGUUUUAGUAUGUUACAUUCUCCACCCCUUAAAUUUAGUUUCGUCCGCGAAACUAAUUAUUUAGAGAUUGAGGUGCAUACCUCAAUCCAGUUCCUCGAAGAGAUGGGGAUAACGCUCCUUCAUCGCGUCCUCAAGCUCCCACGUUUCUUCCCGAUCGCCGUGUUCGCUCCAAUGAAUUUUAACAUACGGGAUAUCGCGGUUCCGUAGUUUUCUCAUUUCCCGAUCCACGAUGUAAGCCAAGAACUCCUCGUAAGUCAUAUCCUCUUGAAGCUCUAUCGGUAUAUACGAGAGAAUAUGCUCCGGAUCAUGGACAUACUUGCGGAGAUUGGAUACAUGAAACACGUCGUGCACCCCCACAAGCCUUGGUGGUAAUGCUAACUUGUAUGCCACCGCGCCGACUCGUUCCAAAAUCUCGAAGGGUCCGAUAUAGCGGAGACUUAGCUUCCCGCGAACACCGAACCGGUUAACUCCUCACAUCGGUGAUACUUUUAAGAAUACACGGUCGCCAACCGCGAACUUAAUAUCCCUCCGCCACUUGUCGGCAUAACUUUUGUGCCUUGAUUGCGCCGUCGCUAAUCUUUGUCGGGCAAGGCGAAUUUUUUCCUCUGCCUCCCACACCACAUCCGGGCCAAGAACAACUUUCUCGCCCACCUCGCUCCAAUGUAUAGGCGAGCGACACUUCCUUCCAUAAAGUGCCUCGAAUGGCGCCACCGCAAUACUUUCUUGAUAGCUAUUGUUGUAUGCGAAUUCCGCCAUCGGCAAAUGAUUGUGCCAUCCGCCCUUAUAAUCGAGUACACACGCUCGAAGCAUGUCCUCAAGUAUUUGAAUAGUUCUCUCCGAUUGACCAUCACUUUGAGGAUGAAAUGCUGUACUAAAGUCGAGCCGUGUGCCCAUUGCAUCCUGCAAGCUCUUUCAAAAAUGAGAUGUGAACCUAGGGUCCCGAUCCGAUACAAUGGAUACCGGAACCCCGUGAACUCUCACCACCUCGUCGAGAUAGACUUGUGCUAGCUUGUCUCCCGACCAAGUAGUGUGGAUCGGCAAAAAGUGUGCCGAUUUUGUCAACCGGUCCACAACUACCCAAAUCGCAUUAUGUCCACCUUGUGAUCUAGGCAAACCCGUCACGAAAUCCAUUGCGAUAUUUUUCAUUUCCACACGGGUAUAGGUAGCCUUUGCAAUUUUCCCGCCGAAAAUCAAUGUUCCGCCUUGACUUGUUGGCACGUGAGACACUGCACCACGAACUCUCCUAUAUCUUUCUUCAUGCUCGGCCACCAAUAAUAUAAUUUCAGAUCUCGAUACUAUAGGAGGAUUGAUGCGCUUCUUGGAUAAUGCCCUCCGAAGGUCAUCAUUCUUGGGUACGCACCAAUUUUCCCGAUAUCGAAGUGCACUAUCGGUUCCAAUGCCAAAAUCGUUGGCACUACUGCUUUCUACCUUGCUCCGCAUCUUUUGGAGAAAUUCAUCGGAAGCUUGCAAUCCUUUUAUCUUCUCCAACAAGGUUGGUUGCACGAUCAGUGUGGCAAGUGUUGCCGGCACUCCCGGCGCCACAACUUCUAGACCAAACCGCUGCAUCACUUUUUGCAGAGCCGGUUGAGGUGUAACUUCCGUCGCCAAAUUUUUCGCCGAUUUUCUACUUAGAGCAUCGGCCACGAUGUUUGCUUUUCCGGGGUGGUAGAGAAUCGUGAAAUCAUAAUCUUUGAGCAACUCUAACCACCGCGUCUGUCGCAGAUUUAACUCCUUCUGGGUGAACAAGUAUUUGAGACUCUUAUGGUCAGUAUAGAUCUCACAACAUUCACCAUACAAGUAAUGCCUCCAUAGUUUUAGCGCGAAGAUAACCGCCGCUAAUUCGAGAUCAUGCAUCGGGUAGUUCUUCUCAUAGCUCUUCAAUUGGCGCGAAGCAUAAGUUAUGACUCAGCCGUUUUGCAUUAAGACACACCCGAGACCAAUGUAUGAAGCAUCACUGUAUAUGACAUAACUCUCUCCCGGUGUCGGCAAGGCAAGCACCGGAGUAGAUGUCAAUCUAUUCUUUAGCUCCUCAAAGCUCCGCUCACACUCGGGGCUCCAAACAUUCUUCACCCCUUUGAGCGUAAGGCGUGUUAGUGGAGUUAUAAUCUUAGCAAACCCCUUCACGAACCGCCGGUAGUAGCCCGCAAGUCCAAGGAAGCUACGAAUUUCCGCCACACUUGUCGGGCGAGGCCAAUCUUUAAUCGCCUCAACUUUCUUUGGGUCUGCCGAGAUGCCAUCCCUGGAUAUAACGUGACCCAAGAAAGUAACCUCCGAAAGCCAAAACUCAAAUUUCUUCAGUUUUGAAUAACGCUUUUCCUUCCAGAGUAUCUCCAACACGAGCCUUAAAUGCUCUUCGUGUUCUUCUUCGGUCCGAGAAUAUACCAAUACGUCGUCAAUGAAUACCACGACGCACCGGUCUAAUAGCGGAUGGAAGACUCUAUUCAUUAGGUCCAUAAAUGCUGCCGGAGCAUUAGUGAGCCCGAAUGGCAUGACUGUAAACUCAUAAUGGCCAUACCGCGUACGGUACGCCGUUUUAUGCACGUCUUUAGGCCGUAUCUUCAACUGAUGAUACCCCGACUGCAGAUCAAUCUUAGAAUAUACCCUUGACCCCUGCAACUGAUCGAACAGAUCAUCAAUCCUCGGCAACGGGUACCUGUUCUUGAUAGUCACCUUGUUCAACUCGCGAUAAUCAACGCAGAGUCGAAGUGUGCCGUCCUUCUUCUUUACAAAUAACACCGGAGCUCUCCACGGAGACACGCUCGGCCGCACGAAGCCUUUAUCGAGCAAGUCUUGCAACUGAGCUUUUAGCUCAUUUAGCUCUACCGGUGCCAUUCUAUACGGAGCCUUCGAAACUGGCGCCGCCCCGGGAAUCAAGUCAAUAACAAACUCGACUUUCCGGUCCGGUGGCAAUCCCGGUAACUCCGCCGGAAAUACAUCCGGGUACUCGCAUACCACCCGAAUCUUUUCCAACUCCGGGUACUCUUUUUGAAGGUCCACAAUGGUCGCCAAAUAAGCCUUGCAACCACCCUUUAUCAUCUUUCUAGCCCUCACCGACGAUAUAGUCGCCGUGAAGCGUGCUCCAUUGCAUGCCUUAUAAACCAUCUCCUCUUGGUUAGGCUCACGAAAAGUGAUCACCUUCCUUUCGCAAUCGAUGACCGUGUAAUACUUGGAAAGCCAAUUGGUACCCAAGAUUGCGUCAAAGCCCCACAGAUGCUUUAACACUAAUAGGUCGAUCGGCAUGAUCCAAUCGCCUAUCUGCACUGGGCAGUCCAAACACUCGCCAUGCACAUGAAACGUAAGUCUAGGUGCUGUCACCGUCCAAUACUCCUCAUUAUGCGUGACCUCUAUGUCAUGAGCAAGUGCAAAUGAUGCUGUUAUGAAUGAUUAAGAUGCACCUGUGUCAAAUAUGGCUCUAGCUCUAGUGCCUCUGACAAGGAUAAUACCUGCCACGACAUCGUCGGGAACGGUAAUCGGCGGCUUCUCCACCUGAGUGGCAAAUACCCGCCCACUAGGUGCUCGAGAAGCCUCCGGCUGACGAAGCCGACGAUCGUCCAGCAGACGUAGCGGGUGGCAGUCCCGCCAGCUGUCGCUAAGUAUACUGAACUGAAGCUGAUGACGGAGCUGGGGAUGUGCCGCCCGGGCACUCUCGUCCUAUGUGUCCCAGUUGGCGGCAUCGGAAACACCGCCCCUCCCGCUGAGGGCAAGUAGUAACUCGGUGGUCUCCGCCACAUAUCACACACAGGUAGGUAGUCUGGCUCUGAGUCUGACUCCUGCCUCCCCACCACUGCCAUCGUUGUUGCCGCGGGGGUCGCUUAGAACUCGAUUGCCCCGCAGAUCCACCAGCUGCCCGCUUCUUGGACUUGUCCUUUUCCUUAUCUUUCUCAAAUGCCUCGCACUCAUCUCGCGCAAUGGCAUUGCCGCGCUCCACCCAAAGCGCGCGAUCUAACACUUCCUCGUAGGUCUUUAAGCGGAAUGCGUGAAUAACCUUGAAUAUUUCGGGUCGCAACCCGCGCUCGAAAACCUCCGCUCGGUCCCUAUCACCAUGAACAAAGCUCGGCACGCAAUUGACGAGGUGCGUGAACUCCCGUUCAUACUCCCGCACCCUGCGACUUCCUUGCCUUAGCUUCCGAAAAUCCUCCUUGAUUUUUCUUUUGUCGCUCUCAAGAAAAUACUCCAUAAGUAGCAUCUCCCGAAACGCCUCCCAAGUAAUAGCAGCGUGCUCCAACGAAUGAUUUUUCUUUGCCUCAGUCCACCACAACCGAGCUGACCCGUCGUGAGCCGCAAGGUGAACUUUAUCCUUCUCGAGGGUGUAGAUAUCCUCGAACAACGCCUCCAUCGCGGCUAGCCAACUCUCCAUCACCCACGGAUCCUUCACAUCACCGUUGAAGGUCGAAGGGUUGAACCGCUUGAAUGCCGUCAGCGCCGCCAACGUGCGCUCCUACUCGGCCUCAAGUACAUCGGGAAUAGGAGCCGAUGAACCCGAUGCCGUCAGAGGAAUAGCCGUCACUGGUGCCGCCGCCACCGCAGGAGGUGGUGCUAUAGGAGCAGCAGGUGCGGGCGGAUCCCUCGGCACAGAUGCCGCCGCCGCCGCCUGUUGCGCCAUCAUCUCGUGGAGCUGUCCAAUCUGCUCCCCUUGUAGCCGCAUAGCCCCGGCCAAAGCCGCUACUUGGGCUCGCAACUCGCGCACUUCAUCCGAUCCCGAUUGUUCAGGCACUUCAUCGAGCAGUGCCGAAGUGGCUCUACGUGUGUAGCGUCUCGGGGACAUUGAUCCUGAAACGCAUCACACGCAUUAGUACUCGACACACGUGACUCUUACACGUUCCAAGUAACUACCCAAUUAAGCGAAAGCAACCAAGCAUAAUUAUUUCCAACUCUCGGUGUUAUGUGGUCGGCCGCCCGACAAAGUCCCUUAAGAAGGCAACAAUUAAGCCUUCUAAUCCAUCUCUACUUCCUUCUAGAGAAGUGUUAUCGCUAACCCAAUCAUUCGCUUUCGCAUAAGCCAAAUCCACGUUGAAACGUUUCCUAAGCUCCUAAGGUCUCCAAUUCCUAGGAUUCUUAGGUCAUUCCUAGACUUUUGCUUUCAACUUCUCUCUGAUACCAUUAUAUCUGUCACGCCCCAAUCCCCGCCAAUUUGGUCAGAUUCGGGUCACGUCAACAGACGCCGAACGGACAGCAUUUCCCCUAUCCGCCCAAGGCUCCAAUAACAUGUAUAAUUAAACAAUGAACAAAGAGAUAUGCAAUUAUACAAGGCUUGCACGAGGGCAAGCAACACGGAAGCGGAAGCUCUAAGCUAGUAUAUACAAACAUACAUAAUACGUGAUUACUUUUGAACCAAAUAAAAGUAAACUACCACUAUUACAUUCUUUUCUAUUCAACAUAAUUCUUUACAUUUAGCCAUUCACCCAAUUACAUAUUUGUUUUCAACUAUACAACUUUCUAAAUCAACAAAGGAAGUUGAUACAUGUAAACCAAAAGAAAAAUGACUACAAAAUGUGAAAUGGUCCCGGUGGCCGCUAUCUACGGUGCUAAACCCUUGCCUCGGUCAUCCACUGCCCCGCUCGUGCUAGGACCUAUAGGGUUAGUGGUGUGAGAACUACAACGAAGUUCCCAGUGGGUUCGGCAACCGACCUCGCCGACUUACCCACUAGGUCUAUUUCAAGCAUAAGCAUUUCAACGGAAAGAAAAUAGUAGCCAAACUAAUGCUAAUACUAUGCCUGCGAGAAAGAUAUCAGCGGAUAUAGAUAUGAAGCAAUAAAUAUGCAUGCAUGCUUGUUCGAUACUUUCCUUUGGCUUUUUACCCAAUCUUACCGGUUAACUUUGUUAACCCCAAUGACUCACAACCCAAAAUCCCUUUUGAUCGAGGAGGCUUCGAGCACUUUCACUCGAGGGACCGUCCUUCGGGGCCAUUAUCCCCGUGGUGACCUACUCCGGAGCGCACCGCUUGAGGGGGAGCUAUCGCCCUCAAGCCAAGACUUAUCGUGAGUAUUGAUCUAAUUCCCAACUCGGGAACGUAUAGCCACUAGUCACAAUGCCACUAUCAUAAUAGGUUUUCUACCUAUUUGUUCAAGCCACUCUUGGUUAAACUAUAUUUAACAAUCACUAUCUCAAUGCCAACUUGUCUCUAUAGUCAAUGUCACAUUUGUUUACUAAAAUCAAGGUCCAAGUCUCCUAUUGAUACAUCUCUAGGGUUCUAGCAUACAUGUCCAUUAUGGUUUUAUCAUUCUUUAUGUCCAACUACAUUAUAAGCAUAUAAAUAAAGUUACACCAAAGUUCACAUGUAAGCAACCCUAAUAUGCAUGAACGACUAUAUACAGUAUGCUCAAAUAAAAGUGACAUAGACAUAAAAGGGAAUCCAACGAUUCCGGAAUGCACCCCCCACCUCGCGUGGUCGUGUAGGUGUAGAAUAUGACGACUCCCGAACUUUACGAAAGCCGAUUCCGCGUCCUAUAACCAAAAUAGUGCCAUAUUAGACCCUUUGUACAUUAACCAUACUUAAACAUUUCGUAACGUCGAACAUAGUUGUCCAACGCAUCGAGGACACCCCCAAUUAGGUUUCUACGAGGUCAAUUCGCCCUCGAAAAAUUCUAGGACAAAAGCCUCAAAUUUGAGCCCUAACAAUGCCCUAUAGCAAUAGCUCCUAGAUUGAUCUCUUCCCUAAGUAAAAGAUAGCUUAGAAUCAUCUAAGAAGUAUUCUAACAAAGUUUCCAAGCCUCUUGGACCAACCUUAGGGCAUCUACUUUGAGCCCUAGUGAUCCACCAUGAGAGCUCUACAAGAAAACCAUGGAUUUCAUAGUUUCUUAGCUCAACAAGAGUUCUAAAGCUAGAAAUAAACUCAAAACCCUACAACUUUGGGUUAAAAUUCAAACCCUAGACUCUUAUGAACCAAAACCUUACCUUUGCCAAAGUUCCACCAAGCUCCUUCUUGUAGGUGAGCUACUUGGACCACCAAAACCCUAAACUCCCUCUUCUCCAAGUUCUUCUUCUUCUUCUCCUUCAAGCCCUAGGUGAGUUCUAGAGAGAGAGAGGAGAGGAAAUAAGAGGAUGGUGAAAAAUGGCUGAGGAAAGGGAGAAGGGUUGAGUAUAUAAGGUGUUAUAACAAUUCCAACAAUGUCCUCCCACUAUUUCCCUUGUGCACUGCCCAAACUGGACAUUUUUCGCAGUGAGGGACCGGUCUCCCCGACCAGGGACCGAUUCCGGAGAGUUUCUCCCGCAGUCUGCGCAGGUUGCGCGCGAUGCAACCAGUCUCCCUCAAUAAAACCGGUCUCUCAGGACCGGUCUCUUCUCGCAGGGACCGAUUCCCGAAAGCUGGUUUUCCAGGACUUAGCCGAUUUUUCGGCCAUCUCGCUGCCUACGCGUUCGGGGACCGGUCUCUCCCACCAGGGACCGGUCCCCGAGAGCACAAAACCUGCAGUUUGAAGAUUUUGAUUUCCAAAGCUCUCGAAGAUCCCCAGUAAUGCAUUUUUGCAUUAUUUGACGCCUUCGGCCUUUCCGAAGUAUACCAAUCUCGCACUUUGGUCAAUUUGACCAAGGCUCAAAUUUGAUUACCGAAGUUUCGGUAUGUUACAAACUUGGUACUUUUAAAAGCAUAGGAGCUCAAUUAUAUAUAUAUAUAUAUAUAUAUAUAUAUAUAUAUAUAUAUAUAUAUAUACACGGAGCGCUCCGUGCGACCAAGUUGUGUAAGAUCAAGCGGCUUCCAAAUCGACGAUCGGCUCCGAUACACAUUGAUCGACACUAUGGAAAAUAGUUAGAAACCAAAGUUCAUAAUUUGGCGAUAUCAGGUACCUAUCAAACAAGUAGUCUAAAAGUGAACGGCUGAAAAUAAAAAUCGGCGUAGCUCCGUAGAUAGAGCCUUACCAUUCUGACCAGAGAUAGCGAUACCCCAAGGUGGUCUAGCUUAGGGGUGUAGAGAUGAAGGAAACAACUUGUAAUAACCUUGUGAUUGUUGAUUGUAUUUGGAAGUCAAAUGUAAAAGAGAAUGUAAUAUAAAGCAUAUGAUGUGAAUGCUUGUAAUAACUUAGUUGUUUUAUGUUUUUGAUACUUCCUUAUGCAAUCUGUGCUUGAAUACUGUUCCUGGUCAGAACCUCGUGUAUUAUAUGAAUUGUGACGCCUAGGACGUAUAGGAAAAACUCUGUCCGUUCGGCAAUCUGUCGGCGGGCCCGAAUCCAACCAAAUAGGCGGGUCUCGGGGUGUGCCAAAGUGAGUUCUAAGAUAUUUGACCAUAAAGUUUUCAAUAAUGCGCAAUAAAAUUUGGAGUGUAGAAAAUCCGUUCAUGGAGUAUGAUUAAUUUGAGACAUGUGGGAGAUUGUUAGUAUUUCCAUAAAUAUGGCCCAAUUAAUCUGUGUUAUCCCUGGAGUACAGCAGGUGAGGUUUGUCGACACGUCGGGAGAGUGUCGGGACAAGUCCGAGUCGCGUUAGCGCGAUAUGGAGGCCGAACGGACUCAGUGGAGAUGCGAGGGCAUGAGUUAGCGCUGGAAUCUGCAAAAUGCAGAUUUUCUGCUUGCUGUACAGGUACAACCAUCAAGGCAUACCGGUACAUCUUGCUGUACCGGUACAACAUCAGAGGUGUACCAGUACACAGCGCAUGUCCCCGCGCAGACUGCUCUCGGGUUGCCAUUUGUACCGGUACAAAUGCCCGUGUACCGGUACACCAGGGUAGGCAAGGGGCUUUUUGGUAAUUCUCUUGCCUUGAUUGUAUUACCACCCCUUCUCCCUCCCUAUAUAGGAUAGAGAGAUCAGAGAGGAGAGGAUUAGUGCGCUCUCUCUCUCUUCCCCUUGUGCUUGACCGUGCGUGGUGGAGGAGCUCGGGUGAAGUUCGGGUGUCGUCGACGUCGCGCCGCGGUGCCGUUCGAGCGUGUUUUCGUCAUCGUAGAGCUGCGGGGAGGCCGGGCGAGGGUGCAUUUUCGCCGUUCUCGACGUCGUGCCGGUUUUUCAGGUGGGUUAAUCGUCGGUUUGUCUUCUAAGUAUAUAGAGAUAGUCGGCAUGUGUCGUUGUAGUUGUUUUUGCAUAUUCUAUUUGCUCGAUUCAUGGAUUUGGUGUUUCUUUUACAAAAAUCUGAAUUCGAGCCUAGUGUUACUAAAUCUACUUGCACAUGUUGUCACGCCCCGCGACCAACCGCCUAUUUGGACCGGGUCGCGGCGCCGACGACAGACCGCCGAACGGACCGAAAAUUCCCUUGUACGCGGACAGAGUCUCCCCAGUACGUCCAAGGCGUCGCAAUCCAAACAAUCAACGAAUGUUCCAACAAGGAACGGAUAUCAAUCCAGAUUGCAUAAGGAAGUAUCAAAUACAUAAUCUACUUGCUAUUACAAGCAUUUAUUUUACAACCACUCUUUACAUCACAGUUUCAGUUUANAUAUAUAUAUAUAUAAUGACUAAUGAGAGGGAGGUCCACCGUGGACCUCCCUCUCAUGCAGUCCACGAGGCCAAAGUGGCCUCGUGGACGGCGCGCCAUCUUCUUCCCCAAACGCCUCGAUAUCCCAAUUCCCAAAUGCCGCGCCAGCGCCAUUUCUAUCGCGAGCUCCCAAGUCCCGAACUCAAUUUUUUUCCCAAAAUUUAUAAAAUAAUUAUUUCAAAAAAAAUUUUAGGGACAACCAUUGUUUGGGAAAAAAAAUUUUCAGCGGAAAUUUUUUUUUCGAAGGGAUUUUACAGUGAUCCAAAGUUCCGCGACGAAAGUAGCGGAGGAGGAGGAGGAGGACGACGACGACGACGAUGGCGCGACGACGCGACCCGCGAGUUCGCGACCACCGUUUUUUUGGACGAGUCAUUCGCAAAUCGUGAAUCGUUCGCGGAUAAUUAUUUUUGAUGAAAAUAAUGCGUUUUUUUACGCAUUUUGUUUGGAAAAAUGCGGAUGCAGGCAUUUAAUUCGGUUUUCUAAAAAUUCGUGAAUAAUUCGCGAAUUAUACGCGAAUUAACUAACUAAGAUAUUACCUAUAUAGUUGUUGAACUUUUCUCAAAGUUCAAUAUCAUUUCUUCUAUUAUUCUUUUGCUUUUUUUUCCUCCCUUUUUUUAAUAGGGAAAAGUAAUUACGAUUAACCAAUAGAAAGAAGGAAUUUGUGCAGCGUUUCUUCUAUAGGUUCUUUUUUCCUACCGACUAAACUAUCACUGCUAAGGCUUUUGAUACUGUGGUUGUUGUUGCUGCUCCUACUACACCUAUUUCUUUUAUUCUUCUUAUGUAUUAACUGUUGCUGGUUCUCUAAUAUAGCUUGAAGUUUAUAUUUCCUCAUGUUAAUACGUGCUUUCUAUUAGAAUUGUAAAAUUUUUUCUUUUCUAUAAAUUUCGCUAUUGGUUUUUAUACAUUUAUUUUUUCUUUUGCUUCAUUUUUCUCUUGAAGUUUGAUUUUUAUCAUUUUUGCUUCAUUUGAUAAAAUUACCGAGUAGGGAAAGUGUUGAAAGUAAUUUGCUUUCUCUAAUAGGUCUGUGUUUUUUGGAUUUUUUUAAGAGAUAAUAUGGAAGAGGAUAAGCUCCUCCAAGAGAGUUCCAGAAGCAUUGCAAACCCUUUAUUGAGUUUGAAAAUGCUCUUGGUUAGAUAUAUAAGAUAUACAUAAAGUUUAGAUCUUAACUGUACUAUACUAUUUCUUCUGUGUUAUGCGAUUUUCAUGGCUCUCUCUUCAAUUUUUUUCUCUCUUCGUAUAUGGAGAAAAGAUUUAUAAUUCUUUUUAAGUCCAAUCUAUUUUUUUUUUACUAUAAAAAUUUAAAAUAUAUAAAUAAUUUUUAAAUAGUUUAGUCAGUUUGUAUUAAAUAUAAAUUUUAAUUUUAUACUAUUGAGAAUUUAGAUAUAGAUUGUACAUUAAAAAAUUUUAAUUUUAUACUAUUGAGCGUUUACGUUAAUUUUAUAUUUUAUAAAAUUUAAUUGCGAGAUUCGCAUAAAAUAUACUAUCUAAAUCUGUAGAACUAAGCGAUGCAUUCAGAUUUUUAAAGCCAAAGUACCAUCGACUGACUCAAAUCUAAUAUAUCGUAAAAUUGGAUAAUCAAAAUAAAAUUUUGAAAGAUUGGAUUUUAAAAAAUUAUAGAAUCAUUUUAACCAGGGAUGCGGUAAAUUGCUUUUUCUAAAAUAUUUAAAAUUAAAUAGUUAAAAUUAAAAAUUGAGUGGGUUUAGAGUUUAUUCCUAAAUUUUUCUGUAAUAUGUUUUGACAUUUUUAUCCCUAUUAUAUUAUACAAUUAUUGUUCUUGAAGGCGCAUUUAUGAUGGCAAAAUUAAAAAUAUAAACAGUUAAAAAUAUUAUACUAUUAUGAUUUAUCCCUAAAUUUAUAGAAGUAUUAUUAUUAUUUUUUUUUUUUUUACAACAAUAGUUGCUUAUUCUUCAAUUGCUUCUUUUUUUAUAUAUAUAAUUCCUUAACUCUUUUUUUACUAUUUUUUAUUUUAUUUAUUUAUUUAUUUCUACAGAAUCAUCCCGCCGCAACGCACGAGUCCUUCGCUAGUAAUUACCAUAUCUGAUAAAACACAACAGAUUAGCUACAAUCAAGCAGUUAAGGAUAACAACAGACGGAAGAGGAACUUCACAGCACACAAAUAGUUGAGAUCAAUAGUUGAGAUCAUCGUCAGCGCCACAAUAUCACACGGGAGAAACAUUAUCUCUUCCUCCACCGAGCAUGAAGAGUGAAAUCUCAAUUCUUAGGCAAUCAUAAUUCUUUGUAUGAUUUAAGAAACUUAUGGUCCUUUCACAUUCCAGCUAUUUGAUAAUCUCAUGCCAUAAAGUUGUCACUAUAUGUAGUUUGCCAAAAUAUAUUUCUAAACCUUACAUGAAUGAAAUGACAGUGAUUAUAAUGACGAUGAGGCUGCUAAUUUCUCAAUGGAUUGCCAUACCUAAGCCGCGUAUUAAUCACGUAGCAAUAAAAUCAAAGAAUUAGCUACACCUAAUAGAUGCCUACAAUGAGCUCCUCCGCAUAUUUGUGCCACCAGGCUUUAUGCCCCUUGCAACAUGCUAUUGAAAUUUGAGUAUUGACCACCAUUGUCGACUGUUGAGCCGCCGCCGCCGCCGCCUAGUAUACUAACUGCCAUCUCGGUAGCAUAUUCGCCUGAGAAGGGUGCAUUACAAGAGCUACAACCAAGAAGCUGUAAGGUGUUGGAGCUGGGACUCGCACUUUCUGUUAAAACAGUGUUGGUAAAAACCAACGAAGAGCCACAAGUUAACUUUCAAGUGCGGACAGCUCAACCUCUCGGGUGCAAGGUCGGUACGCGGCAAAGGUGUUGUCAUUGGAGAAGGAACCAGGAUUGAAACAUGUGAUCCCCGUGUACUUGAAAGCCUUCUGUUCGCUCCUGUCCCCCAAAACUAUCUGCAACAUAGCAAAAAGGAAACGUUCGCUAGGAAUGCAGAAGUUUAGUUAUAUCUAUGUGAUCGAAACCCUAGCAGACAUACAGUGUGUGGAGUUGGAUAUAAUCGGAGGCAGUGGUCAUAGUUCCAAAUAAUAGGUUGCACGGUGAGAGGCAACGGGCAAAGAUGACUCUGAUGAGUAAUGGUUGCAACUAGCUGAAAGAACCCAAAUUAAAAAAGAAAAAACAAUCAGUUGCUUUCUAAGAAUAACAAACUGCCAAUAACAAUGAAGGCUAACGACUAACAUGCUCAAAGGGAUCACUUGUUUCUUCUGUUGACGGUGGAAUCAGACAGGAUCGACGCAUCCUGUAGAGCAGGUCUUGCCGGAAAAAUACGAUUUCUUGGGUGUAAAAUUUAAUUCUGAUGAAUAGCAAACAAGAGGCUUCAAAUUUUGAUUCGCUUUCAAAAAAACAAAACAAGAAAUGCAGAUUUAGUCAUAAUUUCUUUGACCGCAACAGAGGUUAUUAUAAGAUUUAGGCACUCAACCAAGUCAUUUAAACUAUUUCUUUUUUUCGGCGACACCAUUAGGGAUGCGGCAACGAAAUCAAAUUGAGGGCCACAACUUACCUUAUGAUAAUCUAGGUUGUGAACAGAUAUUCGACUAUUCGGUCAGAGAACAUUUUUCUUUUACAUGUUAGUCAUUAGGUCAAAAUUUUCUGGUUGGAGAAAAUAUUUUUUUCCAUAUUUUCAUUUUAACAUAUCUUUACAAGCAUGGAAUUUCAGUAUCACUUUGUCCAACAGACAGAAUUUCAGAUCAUCAUCAAUAGGCACGAAGAGGAGAACUAGCUUCGAGUCGAACCUGCAGGGAUUGCUAGAAAAAAUUGCAUUAGGAAUGUGUUUCUGAAGUUCUUCAGUUAAAUAUUUAGGAAGCGCACACCUCGGUAGAACUUUCGAGGGACCUGCAAUAAUUGAAGUAGCAAAGCAUUUGUUAUAUCGUGGAAAUGAGAAUUUAUAUGUUCAUAUCGCUCCCAGCAUAGUUUGCAGCAUAUCGUCACGGAUAAAUGCCACUGACGCUUCUCAGGUAGUAUAAUGCGUGUUAUGCAACAUAAAACAAAUUUUAUCACCUUGUCACAGAUCAUUGAGCAACUUCAUCAAAGAUUUUAGGAGUUACGAACCAAGCAAUAAACCAACAAACCCACAUAUGGUGGAAUCAUAGGCACCAUGCAACUUCUUAAACGAGUAAUAGUUUGAUUAUCUUAGCAGAUGGAUUCACUACGAAAAAAAUUAAGAAUGGACCACUGGAAGAUACCUGCAUCAUCAGGACCUGGAAUAAACAGGAAACGACUGUGCUCUUUUAGUCUUGAUCGAGCUUCAAUUAUUUCACCAAGCUUUUUAAACUGGGCUCUGCAGUAGCUGACCAAGUUUAGAUAAUUUCUUUUUCGAACAGAAACUAAUCCAUACAAACCUCCUAAGCAAAAUAUUUGGAAUGAACAAAUUCUUUCUGAGUCUGAAAUUAUAGGAGUGUAGGACUGACCUGAGAUUCGAGAAUGCAUUGUAAGAAAGAUUGCAGGGGCGAGAGCAGAAAUUUCCCAUUAAAAUGAAUAAAGAAGGAACAAUCUCUACACUAUCAUAACCAUCCAAUACCACAGCAAGCUUUUCCAUAGUCUUCUCUACGACAUAAAAGACAUGGCCAUUAUGAUAAGAAGCAUCAACAAGAUCGCACAAAACAAAAUCGAGAACUAAGAGAAUGUACCUCUUCAUUAUCUAACCAAACAUCUGAAAGUACAACAAACAUGUCAUUCACUGCCUUCUUCUCCAGUCCUGAUAAUCUGAGCUGUUGGUAUAAAAACCACAACAAACUCAACCUUUUCACUAAGAUACUUUUCUAGUGUUUAGAACAGUUUAUAUAUAGGUAAUGUUUUAUGAAGUUUACAGUUUCUUCGGUUGAUAGAACACCACCACCAAAGAAGUCAAGGCCCAUCAGUAGUGAAAGUGAGGCUUCUCGCUCCUCCAGGGGCGGAAAUCCACAUGUAUUAACCUAUAUAGCAAUCGGAACUCAGCAUUUUUCCAUAAAGCUCUAAAGAUGAUGAGAAUUUUAGAUAGCCAUUUAAAAGGAAUUAUCUGAAUUAUGAUUUCAAGACUAUAACUUCGUGGAUGAUAAAUGGAAUAUUAUAGUGGAAACUUUGAAGCUUGAUGUAUAAGUCUGUUCAGAAAACAAAGAAAAACAUAGACUAAAAUUUAUGAUUUGUUACAAAGAAAAUGGACGAAAAUUGAUGAUUUAAAACAAAUCCUAUUAGACCUUGUUGCUCCCAUCUCACAUUUCUCAAUUUUUAAUUAACAAACACUAUACUUGAAUAUAAUAGUUGAUUUUUGGAGCUACUCUCCAGUCAACAUAGGUCAAUACGUGCCGUAUUUACCUAUAUGUGAUAGUAGCUGCUUGUAUUGAUAAAUAAGAUACUUGUAAGUGGUUUUGGGCAACUAGACACUAAAAAUAAUUUUAUGUUUUGAAGAAAGCGGCGAAUAAUUUGCCGCAUUUAGAACACGAUGAUUCAUUCACCACUUAGGCCUAGUUUUGUAAAUAAAUUUAGUAAAGGACUACUUCUAUAAUUAUAAUGCUUGUUAAGCUUAUUAAUAAAAGAAUUUCUAUUAGUAAUGUUUUCGAAGUUCGUCUGAGUUCCAACAUAUGUUUUCAAAUUAACAUGGUAAAGAGCUAUUUCUUUUUUUCUAGAAACAUUAAUCCUACUAGGAAGAGAGUGAAUUAAAGCAUAACCUAAGAGAAUUGCCGACCGUGAUGAUGUUAUUUAUCCUCAAAUAAAAAACCUAAAUUUCUUGUUAUUUUCUUCUUCCUACUUAUUUGCUUAUACUUUCUUCCUACUUGUUAUUUGCUUAUACUUUCCUGUGAGCAUAAUCUUUUUAUUACUGUAAGAUUAUACCAUUUUUCCUUCAUGAAUGCAAAAUGUCUAGUAAUGUUUCUCCCAUGGAAGAUGCUGGUAAUGUUUUUCGAAAAAAGGAUAAAAAGUUGACAUCCGGUGUAUGGAAAAUUAUGAAAAGAUAGUUGAAAUAAAAAAAAAUUUGAUGGAAAGAAUAUAAAACAUAUGAUCCCUAACAAUAACCCAAAAUCCCCUACACGAUUAGUUACGAAAGCUUUUUGACAAAAGUGGCUAAAGAAAAAUGUAGGCAAAAGAAUAAAGUGUCUGAUGCGAAAAGCUCUCUAGGGACAACACGUUUAUGGAAUCACUAUAAAAGCACCCAUAGCCAACUAACUUAUCAAGAAAUUUUACAAGCAUCAGAAAGUGCGGAGGGGAUAUGUUCUUUUGGCUGCAUAUAAGUACGAUGAAGAGGAUAUAUUAUAAGCUCUGCAUAUAAGUAUGAUGAAGAGGAUUAAUUACAAGCUUUUUGUCAAUGUUUACCAAGCAUGAAUAUCUAUUCGCCAUGGCAGAACAUUAAGGACUUACUCAUUUCAUCAAAUCUUUGCACCUGACAUUUUCUAUAAAAUCUCAUGCUACUAUUUCUAAGGAUGUUGUGGAUCACGAUUGUAAGGUACCGAACUUCUGAAAUUAUGAAGUUGCAGGGUAUGUUGGUUUGGAAAGCCAUUAGAAUGAUUCCGGUGAAGUUCGGAAGCAUUCGGGCGUUUUCGGAGCGGGUAGGCGCGAAAAUGGGACCCGAAAGGCUAUGUUGGACCAUAAACUAAAUCCGGCAUUAGCGCGGAUGAAAAAAUGAUGAAAAUACGCUCGAAAACAUGUUUGGAGAGUCUCGGUUCGAUUUGAAAAGAAUCGGAGGCCAAACGAGCGAAAACGAGUGAAAACAGAGAAGAAACGAAAAAGGCUGAAAUUUGGCUAAGUCCUAAAAAUGCUAAAAUUCUGGACCUACGGGGACCGGUCCCUCAAGUCCAAGGACCGGUCCCUUAUACAAAAAAUUGCCCCGCGGGGGCAGUGCAUAAAAUACAAAGUUGAGGGGCUGUUUUGCAAUUGUUGCAUGAGUUGGGGUAUAUGGGUGAUGUAGGACUCAUUCCCUCUCAUUUCUCUCAUUUGCAACCACCCAAUACACCCUCUCUCUCUCUCUCUCUCUAGAAGCUCUCCCUCUCUCUAGACGUGGAAUCAAGAGGAGGAUUGGUGGAGAUUUAGAGCUUAAAGGAGGAUCACCAUUGUUGUCUUCUUCCUUAGCUUGGAGAAGAAGCUUAGUAGAGGUAAGCUCUUUGCCUUCUCAUGGUAGAAUGCUUGGAUUAGGGUUUUACACUCUAGAAAUGAAACUUAAUGAUGCUCUAGAAGUAAUUAAUCUCAUUUAUUGCUUGGGAUAAUGCUUGUAUGAAGCUAAUUGCAAUAAUUGGGAUUUAGGGCUCCAAAAAGAGGGCUUUUGCUCAUGAGUAGUUUUGAUCUAAAUUGAUCACUCUCUAACCUAAUUGUUAGGCCUACGAACGCGUUCGUGCACUCAGUUUGAGUAUUCAUCGAGCCUACGCGAAGAUAUUGAGGAAAUGGACUGUUAGAGCUUCGUUUCCGCCUGGAGGGCCGACGAGGCAUCUAAAAAUUAUGAGAUAAAGAUCGUAGCAUCGUGGCAUCAAGUUAUAGACCUUUAAUUUCCGGAUUGCAGAUUGGUGGUCGUUCGGUGGUCGAGCGUGAGAUUGAGCCGAACCGGGCGGCGUGUGCCGCGGGAGGCCGAUUGCAAGUGACUAUAAGCAAUCGGAACGCAAUAAAAGGUGGGGGGUGUCCAUCCCGAAGCAACUGGGCUUCCUUUUAUGUCUAAGUUCUAUUUUGAUCAUAUUCAUAUAUUGAUAUUAUGCAUUAUAGGAUUAGUAGAUGAUUACAUUCCAUUUUCUUGCAUUGGGGGCUUGACACUUGAACUUAGGUUGCAUGAGGAUUGGGUCAUGUGACAAGAAUUCUAUAGUGACAAGAAUGAUGAUGAACUUGGACUUGUGAUGAUGAAAACAAGUGGCAUUCAAAUUAGUAUAGUAGAGAUACUAUAAUAUGAACGAGUAGCAUGUCAAUUUAGUGUAUUGAGACACAUACAACCUCAUGACAUAUUGAGUGGCAUUUGGACUAGUGUAAUAGAGACACUAUAAUAUGGACGAGUGGCACCUCAAUUUAGUGUAUCGAGACACAUAUAACAUCAUGACAUAAAUGAGUGGCAACAAAUCUAGUAUAGUGGAACACUAUGGCAUUUGAACCUAGAGAUAGUAGAUUUUCCAAAUUGUCAUGUUGUAGAUAUUAUGCAUUGGCAUUAGUGCAGUUGAGGCAUUGUGACCCUGGUAGAUAGGGUAUCCUCUUGUGAGGAUUUGAUCAUACUCACUAGUCUAUUUUCGCUUGUCGGUGGUCGCUCCACCGAAGCAAUGGUCUCCGGAGUACUUCACAUAAAGGCAGGCGUAGUUGUCCCGCAGACGGUCUCGGUAUGCGAGUGCAGCUUCUCCUCACCUAUAAAAUUGAGAGUGAUCGACAACCUUCGGGUUGGCCAUGAGAUUGGAUAUUAUCGAGGCAUAGUUGCAUGACGCACUAUGUAGUAGCUCGUUCAUUCAUGUGAUUAUUUGAGGCAUAGUAUCAUGUAUAGAUUGUAUACUAUGUAGUAGCUCAUGCAUUUCACUUGGAUAUGGCAUUCGGAUAUUUGAGUCAUAGUAUCAUGUAUAGUUUGCAUACUAUGUAGUAGCUUAUUUCUUUUAUUGUUGAGGCAUAGUAUCAUGUAUAGUUUACAUUACUAUGUAGUAGCUCAUUUUCAUUAUUGUUGAGGUAUAGUAGCAUGUGUAGAUUGCAUACUAUGUAGUUGCUCAUACAUCGAAUCAUUGAGGCAUAAAUCAUAUACUAUGUUGUAGCUCAUAUCCUUGAUUAUUGAAGGCAUAGUAGAUUGUUGCAGAUUACUUUACUAUGUUGCACUUCAAUUUCAUAUCUAUCUAUCUACCUAUCUACUUGUGCCUGCUUGGAUCUAGUGGGAAGAUCGGCGGAGUCGGCGGCCGAACCCACUGGGAACUAUAUUUAUAUAGUUCUCAUCCCACUUUGUUGCAGAGCCUAGCGAGAGCGUACCGGCAGAGGACCGUAGUAAGGGCAUAGCGCCCUAGUAGCUAGUAGCUUCCUUAUGCAUUAGAGUACCCUCGUGUACGUAGAAAUAUGAUGUAUUUGAGAGUUACUUAUGUAUUUGGAGAGCUGUUUUGUAUUAUGAGAAGAAUAUGUAUUCAUUUUGGAAGAUGAAAAUGUAAAUCAAUAUGUAAAGGUUAAAUAUGAUGUAAUAGCUAGAUGUAUCUCUCUUUAUUUCACUUGUAUGAUACUUGUGAUUCUUGCUCUUAAUUGUAUAGCACUUGUGGUGCUUCGUAUUGAUCAUGUAUGUUGAAUGAAUUUUCCUGGGCAAUUCUUGUACAUGAUCUUGUUGUUCUAGCCUUGGACGGACAGGGGAUGUGCUGUCCGUUCGGCGUCUGAUCGACGUGCCCGGAUCCGACCAAAUUGGCGGGUCGCGGGGCAUGACAACGAUGAUGAAGAAAAAAAAACACUAGUACACUACACAACAUUUUUAAUCCAAUUUCUUAUCGAUUAAGUUUUACUAUGGACAGAUGGACAAAACAAGAAAUAUUUCUGCAUGGCAGCCCACUAUACUGAUGAUGACUGGGUCUUUAAAAAAAAAAAUCAACUUUAUGCAUACCGGUGGCCCACAAACCAGACUAAAUUUGUGCAACACAUUCAUAAAAGGGGAUUUUGCUUAUUUACUCCUGACUACUAAAAAUUUUCAAAUUUACCCUAAAAUUACCAAAACACCCUUCUAAACCCCAAAUCCUAUUAGUAAACCCUAGGGGUUUGGGGAUAUUUGAAGGAAUUUUUGGAAAUCAGUGAAGGCAUUUUAGUCGACCAAGGGUAUACUAGAUAUUUUUGAAGUUUUAGAGGGUAUAUUAGAUAUUAUCCCUACAUAAAAAAUAUGGUUGAGUGGAAUCUUGAUUGAAAAAUGAUGGCUUUGACUCUCGAUAAUGAUAGCGCUAACAAUGUAUUUGUUAAAGUAAUUGUCGAUCACUUACAAAACCAAAAUGUUCUUAUAUGUAAUGAUAUGUUUUUCCAUUUUAGAGGUGCACUCAUAUUGUAAAGGGAUAAUAUCUAAUAUACUAUUCGAAAGUACAAUAAUAUCUAAUAUACCCCUGAUUGACUAAAAUGCCCUCAUUGAUUUCCAAAAUUCCUUCAAAUAUCCCCAAAACCUUAGGGUUUACUAAUGGGAUUUGGGUUUGGAAUGGUAUUUUGGCAAUUUCAAGGUAUACUUAAAAAUUUUGAAUAGUGUUCAGGUGUAUAUAAGCAAAAGCCCCCAUCAUAAAUUUGGUUGUAAGAGAAGGCAUGGCAAGGAUGUGUAAUGCAGUUACAAAUAUUAGGGGCAUUAUCAAAGUUGUUAAAGAUUCUCUCCUACAAACAGAAGAAUUUAAUAAAUGGACCAAAGUAUGUAAUUUGGAUGUUCAAGAACAUCUCUCUUCAUUGUAGCACACGUUGAAACUCCACUUAAUUGAUGCUUACAAAUGCUCUUUAUUUGAAGGAAUCAAGCAAAAGACCAUCCAACAACUAUACCUUUUCUUAAUUUUGAACUUCAAAUUUAAUUUAAAUUUUGAGUUUGAAAUUUAAUUUUUUAAUUUUAAAUUCAAUUUGGUUGGGUUUAAGUUGGACUUGGACCACCUCAGCCAGUGCAGCUGACUAUCUGGGCAUGAAGCUUCCUCAACUACUGUAAUUUUGGCAGUUCGAUUUACUAUUGCACUUGUUCUCCAACUCUUUGCUGUCCUACCUGCCACUGCAGCAACUAUGACUCCAGCCAUUAUUGGCGCCUACUGCUAGUGCACCAGCUAUUCCUUCCCCACCUGCUGCACCUUAAUCUGCUACUAAAGGACGACGACCUUGCACUCAAGGUCGUAUCCACGCCAUGGCCGAGCAAGAAGCUAAGGCAAGUCACUUGGUCAUGUCAAGUAUAAUACGACUUACAACUCUCCUUUGGUACGUUGCUAUAUUUGUUCUAAUUGACUAGUAAAUUGUAUGUGAUGAUGUGUUCUACUAUUAGGUAUCAUUCGUAUUUCUUUGUAUUUCAGGCUUGUUUUAUUUGAUCCGAGGUCUACCGAUUCUUUUGUCUUGUCUACGUUCGUUCAAAAGCAUUCUAUUCCUAUAGAGGCCCUUAAUUAUGAGUGGUGUUGACACGCCUGUCGAAAAGGUGGCACACAUGACCUAAGUUGUCGAGGGAUUUCUAUCUAUUUGAUAGUCAUCAAUUGUCAACAGACUUGCACAUCCUAGAUAUGCUCAAUUGUCAACUGACUUGCACAUCCUAAAUAUGCAUGACUUUGAUGUCAUCUUGGGGAUGGAUUGGCUCACUUGGCGAUGGAUUGGCUCACUCGUCACUAUACCUGCGUGGAUUGUUGGGAGAAAAUGGGGACUUUUGGCAUCCUAUUGAGGGCACCAUCUCUUUCUAGUGGAGUGGCACUCACGUACUGCCUCAGCUGCUUUCGUCUAUCUAAGCUAGGCAGUUAUGUCAAAAGGAAUGUAAGGCUUUCUAGGCCUCGAUGGUCGAUGCCUGUUCUUCGGAGCCUCGUUUGGAUACUUUGGUGGUUUCAGGAGUUUCCUAGGGACUUGUCCUGUUUUGUUAGAGCACAUUGUUGCAACCCAGCCUUCGAACCGGUUUUUGCAGAAAAUCUCUAAAAAGCUUGAUAGUGGAUCUCGGUCUGGCUUCCAAUGGUAUGAUAAUGGAUCGUUAAGGUUUCAAGAUCGAGUCUAUGUGCCAGAUAAUGCAGCUGUGAGAGAUUUUUGGAUAAGGCACACUGCUCUCCUUGCUCAGUUCACGCUGGAGGGGUGAAAAUUUAUCAAAAUCUCCAACAGCAUUACCGGUCGCGGAAUAUGAAGAGAAAUUGCCCAGUAUAUUGCUCAGUAUGUUGUCCACUAUCUGACCUAUCAGAAGGUCAAGACUAAGUACUAGAGGAUUGAUGGACUUCUAGAGAGCUUGCCUAUUUCAGAGUAGAAGUGGGAGCACAUCAUUAUGGAUUUCAUCAGUGGACUUCCAAAAACGACAAAGGGACAAUGGCAUUUGGGUUAUAGUAGAUCGGUUUACCAAGUUAGCUUGCUCUCUGUGUGUUCGAGUAGGGAUUACUUUGGACCAACCCACCAAGCUCUACAUCAACACUAUGGUUCAAGCUCCAAGAGUUUCGAUUUCCAUCACCUCCGAUCAGGACAUGUGUUUUGUGUCUCACUUCUAGGCUAGUCUUCAAUUCUUCAUCGAUAUUUGGGCACCUCAUACAUUUUAGCACCCUUUAUCAUCCGCAGAUAGAUGACCAAUCGGAAUUCACUAUUCAGACUUUAAAGAAUAUGCUGCGAGCUUGCGCACUUGACUUUAAGAACUUGUGGAUUCCAAUCUGCCUCGAAUGGAGUUCUUCUAUGACAACAGUUACCAGGCGAGCCAUGAGCUAGUUCAGAGGACUGUUGAGACUGUUCAAGUAGUUCAAGAAAGACUUCAAGCAACUCAGAGUGGAGUCGACAUAAGCACUACACCAACACUCGUCGCCAAGAGUUUUGAGUUUGCAAUAGGAGAUCACAUCUUCCUUCGAGUUUCCCCUCUCCGAGGAGUGAUAAGAUUUGGUCCUGGGAGGAAACUCAAUACAUGCUAUAUUCAAAUUGGGUGUGUAGCUUACAGCAAAGCAUUACCACAAUCCUUGUCACAAAUCCACGGGAUCUUCCACAUGUCGCAGCUACAGAAGUAUGUGCGAGACCCCAAUCAUGCGUAUGACAUCUUCCACCACUACGAGAGGAUUUGACUUAUGAAGAGAGGCUUGCUAGCAUCAUGGAUCGCAAGGAGUAGAAUCUUCGCACACGAUCCAUUCUGUACAUAAAGGUCCAGUGGUGCAGCGACAUUGGCGACCUCACUUGGGAGCUCGAUAAUGAGAUGAAGAAUAAAUAUCCUCAACUUUUCGAGUCAUAGUUAUGAUGUAUGUCUUUCCCACCUUAUUUAAACUUUUGAAGACGAAAUUUUGUAAAAGGGAAAGGAUGUAAUGACUAUACCUUUCCUAAAUUUUAAAUUUUAAAUUUAAUUUAAAUUUACAGUUUGAAAUUUAAAUUUAAUUCAAAUUUAGAGUUUGAAAUUUAAUUUUGAGAUUUUUAAUUUGAUUUGGUUGGGGAUGAAAUUGAAGUUGGCCACCUCUUGGGCCUUAAAUCUCCAAUUGAUUCGAUUUCACCCAAAAUCUCAUAAGUUUUUUUCCUUUCUUCUAUACAGCUGAAGCUAUUUUCUUAAAAGCUGAGUCAAACAAAUUUAAAUUUGGGAUUGAAACUUGCACCGUUGGAUUCAUCUUCAAAAAAUCUUUUCGAUGACACCUUAUUUGUUGAAAACCUAAUUUCGAAGCACAAGUCAUGAUAUUUUUAUUUGAAUAAUUCACCGUGCCACAUCAUCACCACUUAGGCGCCACCCAUGCGCCACAUGGUAGCCCUUUUGCCACGUCAUCCCGGCAAACUAGAAUAUUCUAACCUCUAUCUUAUCUCUAAUUAAUUACGUUUAAAGCCUAAUCCUCCACUACCACUUAUAACUAAUCUAUUAUUCCUCUCUCCAUAGAAACCCACUAAACUAGCCAUAUUCCUCUAUUUUACCCACUUGUAAACCCACUCCUCUACUCUUUCUUCUUCCCCAAGCUUCUCCCGUCUCCAUUCUCUCUCUUCAUUCUCUUCUAUUCUCUCUCACCUAAACCCUAUUUCAUUGGAGAAGAAGCCCUUGGUUUUGGGCAAUGGUGGUGGAGAGGUCUUCUUCCACCAUAAAAACCCACCUCUAUCUUUGCGGUUUCUAACCAUUGGAGAAGACAUUUGAAGCUUUGAGAGAAGAAUCAAGCUCUACCAGAGCUCUUUUCAAACUAGAGUAAAUUCCAACUUCAUAUUUGAAACCCUUGCAAAUUUAAUAUUUGUUUGGUGUUUAAAGGUAAUAUCAUGCUUAGGUUUGUUGAACUUGAUGAUGUUCAUCUUGUAUUUUUGUUUGGAUUUUCAAGUUGGAUUUUGAAGUUUAAUGAUAGUAUUGUACUUGGGUUUGUUGAAUUUGAUAAUGUUCAUUUUGUAUUUUUAUUUGAUUUCAAGUUGGUUUUGGUGACUUUUGAAACCUUUAGAAUGUAUCUUGAUUGAUGAGUAGUGUCUUACUUUUGGCCUCUUUGACCACAGAUUCCUCAUCUUUCCCUCACCUUCUUCGAACCUUGUCAAUCCAUGUAAGUAGAAAUUACCCUCCGAGUUCGCCAUCAAAAUUAAAUUAAAUCCCCUUGCUAAAUAGUUGCAAUAUUCAUUUUAUUCUAUAUAUCUAUUUGCAUGAUAACUUGUGCUUACUUUUACAUGUAUUUAUGAACAUGUGAUUUUUUGCUUACCAUACAUUGCUUCUUACUUAAACCCUUAGAUUGAUGCAUUCCAUUUAGAUAGGGAUAAAGUGAUUAAAUUGCAUGACCUUGAAACUAUAUGCUUACUACCUAUAGUUACUAAUUGUUAUAUAUUGUAGUAGUUAGGAUACAUUUUGAAACAUAAGCUUGUAUUGAAAUUCCACCUAACUUUUUACACUUCGAAAAUAGGAAUCUUGACAUUACGUGAUAUUUUUGUUGAACAAAAUUUGAUGGGAUAGCACAUUGCCAUAAGAGUGCGUUUGGUUCAGAUUAUCCUAGCUGGAUUACAGGCAAACCUGUCAGGAUUACUACGUUUGGUUCAUCUAGUAUGUAAUCUGAUCAAUAAUGUAGUAUUACAAAUGAUGCAAGAUUACACCAAAAAUAUUACCAAACGAGGGAUGGAAAUCUCGUAUUACUGAUGACGGGUUAUCCUGCAUUCAUGUAAAAUUACAAGUUUAUCCCUUCGAACCCACUAACCUUUUCAAUGCUUCACUUUUAAAAUAUUAAUUAAAUUUUUAAAUUGUCAAAUUUUAAAUUUUAAAUUUUAAAUUUCUCGUUUCAAGUUUCAAGUUUCAAGUUUCAAAAUUUUAAAAUUUAAAAUUUUAAACUUCAAAUUUAGAUUUUAAUUCUAAAUUUUAAAUUUAUAUUUAUAUUUUAAAUUUUAAAUUUUAAAAUUUAAAUUUAUAAAUUAUAUAUUUAUAUUUUAAAUUAAAAUAUUAAAUUUUAUGUUUUUGUUCAAAUUUUAAAUUUUAAAUUUUAAAUUUAAAAAUAAAAUUUAAAUUCAAAUUUUAAAUUAUUUAAAAGAAAAUUUACUAGAAAAUUUAUUAUUUGUAAAUAGUAAAAAAUUUUAGCCAAAUAUAAUUACGGGCAACUUUGGAAUAAAUUAUACUUUGUUGUCAGGAUCACUGAAUUUUAUAAACUGAACCAAACAUAAUAAUUCUAUAUACAUUGCAAUCCAACAUUACAUUACUGCAUUAAACUAAAUACGCUAAUGCAGUAUCAGUAGUAACCUCAUUCAGAAAUCCAAGAUACCUGGAUAUGUCGAAAUUAAUCUGCAAUGUUACAUAACGUGAACCAAACGCGCCCUAAUUGACAUCUUAGAUGCAUUAUUUUGAAAACCCUGAACAUUAGUUUCUCCCAAUACUAAAUUACUUGUUACUUUAUUAUUGUUCUCUUAUGCUUGUGAAAUGAUUAUGUUAUGACUGUGGAGAGAGAUUAGAUGUAGAUUUUAUGGUAAUGUGAGAUGUGGAUUCCUAGCGUAGAGAUGUGAUUAUGAUUAUGGCUAUGUGAUAAGGAUUAUGUAGUGGAUCGAGACCGGGGGUCCUAAUUGUAUGUGAGAUAUGUGAUGAUGGUCGAGAUUGAGAGCGAUAUUCUAGAUGGAGGUCAGGUAUAGUUUGUGCUAAUUGAGACUAUAAGACCUAUACUCUAGACGAAUGUUGGAUAUAGUGUUGUGGAGUGGAGCUUAGAUAACUACACUCUGGACGAAUGUCGAAUGUAGCUAGGGCGGUGAGGCAUUGCACGCAAGUGAACUGUCCGGAGACGAGAGUUAAACUGCAGACGGACGAGUACAAACAAAAUGACAGUUCCGCAAAACACGCACUGUGGGGGGGUGAUAUGCUAGACAAAUAUCAUAUAUCACAAGUAGAAUAAAUAAUGUGAGGCUAGACGAAUGUCGUCUUAUAUUAUGACUGUGAUUUUGGAUGGAAAUGUGGUGUUGGAGAUGGAGGUACCAUCUGCAAAUAAAUGAUGGUUUAAUUGCUUUUUGUGGGGAAAUAAGGCAGCUUAGUUGUUAUUUGUGGGGAUAUAAGAGGGUUUUGAUUGCUUUGUGCUGGGAGAUAAUGGAGGACGCAAUAUGUAUUGUGGGGCAUAAUUUUUUUUAUUUUACUAUGAGUUUAAUGUUAAAAUUGCAUUUAUAUUUUAUUAAAAAUUAAAGUUUAUUGAACAAAACAUAUGCAUAUAGGUUGCGUUCUAUUCGAGAACUAAAUUUUGGAAAUAAACUUUGUUCCUUAGAAGAAAGGAUAUCUUGAUAUAACUGUAAAUUUAUAUUUGGAUGCAAUCAAAGGAUAUUCUCGAGGAUAUCUUUAAUUCCAUUUGAAUAAAAAGUCUAGAACAUUGUCUAAAUAUGUUUUAAAAAAUUGAAAAAUACAAUACAUAAGAAAUUCCAACUUUUAUAUUUAUCCAAUAUUGAUAUAAUGAAAAAUAUAAAUAAUUUUAUAAAAGAACUUUUUAAUAUAAGUUAUAUUUUAAUAUAUCUAUAAUAUAUAUAUUAUAUCUAAUAAUUUAUAAUAUAAUAUUAUCAAUUCAAAAUAUUAUACUAUACUAAUAAGAUAGUAUUAAUUUUAAUGAACAAUAAUAUUAAUUUUAAUACAAUUUCAUUAACAUACAUCAGAAAAUAAUAUAAUAUAUACUAAAUACAUAUAUAAUAAAAUAAUAUAAUAAUAAUAUAUAUAAUAUGACUUAAUGAAUAAAAUAAUAUAUCAUGUUUUAAUAAAAUAUAUUAUAGUUAGUAAAAAUUAUUUUAUAACAAAAAUAUUUAUAUUAAUAUAUUUUUUUAUUUAUUUAUAUAUUUAUAAAAGAAAUUGUAUUUAUAUUUAUUAUAUUAAAUUUUAUUGAACAAAACAUAUGUAUAUAGGUUGCGUUCUAUUCGAGAACUAACUUUUGGAAAUAAACUUUGUUCCCUAGAAGAAAAGAUAUCCUGAUAUAACUGUAAAUUUACAUUUGGAUGCAAUCAAAGGAUAUUCUCGAGGAUAUCUUUAAUAGCAUUUCAAUAAAAAGUCUAUAACAUUGUCUAAAUAUGUUUUAAAAAAUUGAAAAAUACAAAUAUUUUUUAUAGAGAAUUAUAAAUUCCAACUUUUAUAUUUAUCCAAUAUUGAUAUAAUGAAAAAUAUAAAUAAUGUUAUAAAAGUACUUUUUAAUAUAUGUUAUAUUUUAAUAUAUCUGUAAUAUAUAUAUAUAUAUAUAUAUAUAUAAUAAUUUAUAAUAUAAUAUUAUCAAUUCAUAAUAUUAUAUUAUACUAGUAAUUUUAAUACAAUUUUAUUAACAUACAUCAGAAAAUAAUAUAAUAUAUACAAAAUACAUAUAUAAUAAAGUAAUAUAAUAAUAUAUAUAAAAUGACUUCCACUUGCAACAUUCCUUUAUUUUUCUAAACCUUCCUAAUUUUGUUUCACAUUAAGCUUUCAAAUGCUUACUAAACACAUAAUUGCCUUAGAAAGGAACAUGUUCUCACUGACAAAAUAUUCAGAUUAAAUUUAUGUCAAUACACGAGACAAUUUAAAGUGUUACCAAAAAUCAAUAAAACAAACUAUAAAGAGUAACACUACUACUAUGUAUAAGAUGGUGGAAAGUUGACAUCAUACAAAGAUUAAAAGAUGCAAUAAGAGCCCAAAAACAAAUGAAAAAGCACUUAUCAAGAAAUCAAAGAUAGCCUAACCUGAAAUAUCCCAUUUGAAAGCAACUCGCCUUCAGCAACAAUAAUGGUGUUCUCGACAAAGAACCCUGAAGUGAUUUUGUACUCUCAUAUUAAGGAAACAAGUUGUUCGAUAGUUCUCCUUAUUGAAGAAAGAAAGACAAAAAGGUUGGAAAUUCACUGCUUGAAGGCAGCUAGCUAUAACUAAGAGACUGCUUGGCCCAACUGGAGAUUUUGCAAGGACUAUUGUGUAAGUGAUGCUGUUUGAAAAAGACUCAGCUUUUUCAGUUGAAAAAAACAAAACAUUCCAAUAACUUCGCAGUUCGCACCAAAGGUGGAAGCAGAAACAUCAAGUCGGACCUGCUUUUGGACAUCAAAAGCUCAUUCUAGUUUCCUUCUCCAGCUGCAAACUCCAAACUUUUGGUUUGUGAUUAUUAGCUUCUACUUCUCCAGUCGAAGUGUUCCAUAAGUUAAGGCCAAAUAGGACUGGUUUUAAGACAGCUUGAUAUAGCAGUUUCGAAAGCAUUCUCAUGAGUAAAUUCAGAUAAAUGUCGUCAUUCUUCCUACCAAUCAACUUCAGAUUGGAAGACUAUUUGCAAGUUUGAAUAGCAUAUUGGACACUUGCUAUCAAUCAGGUUUAGAUUCUCUUAUGCAUGAUAGAAAGAAAUCACAGAAUCAUCAACUUCAUUUAAAAAAAAAAAUAGCAGGAGGACAAUAUAACAAUCAUUAUACGCGGCAGUAAAAGGAAGAAAUCAGAAUACAAGGACAAAAAUGUAAUGUAACACAAUCUUCUAAUAACCACAGAGCGCAGAUAUAUUCAGUAUCUAGGAUUGUCUUUGAUUUCUUUGCUAGAUCGCAACUUAAGUUAAAAUCGAACUUCCUCAAUCGGCUAACUUUUAUGCUUGAAAUUUAGGUAAAAUAUGGAAUUACCCCUCAAACUAUGGCAUUUUAAAAUAGCUCCUUCAACUUCAUUUAUCGACACACCCUCAAUGUUAAUCAAUUCGAUUUAAGUUAUUCCUUUAGAAAAUUAAGGAUCCCAAUAAAGUUAACUGAUCUACCUUGCUUCCAGCUAACAUGAUUGUUAAUUACUUUAGCAAUUAAUGGUUAAAACUUCCAGAUUUACUACAAAGGGCAGAUGAAAUAAUAGAAAGCGAAAUAAACAAAAGCUGAGGGGAUGUCAAUCAACAUAAUGUUACUUUUCUCCAAAAACUAAAAAAAAAUUAAAAAAAAAAAAUAACGUAGCCUUACGGGAUCUAUUUCAAAAUAACCAUUAGUUUAGGGUUAUUUGUACACAAAUUAAUACAAAUAUAUCUUACUCUACUACUUCAUCAACAGUUAGCAUUUUAGCAUGUUUUAUUGCAGAUAAUGUUUAGAAUUAUAACAAAAACUUUGUUAAUCAGCUUCUCCAUACAGAUUAAAUGUAGAACAGAAAUAUUUGCCAUAGACACAAGAACAGCAUAUGAUUUAUUGCCUUCGCCAAAGCCUACUUGAAAACUAGUCAAUGAAUGCUCUACCUAGUUUCAAUGAGGGAAAAGACAAUGGCACUGCAAUUAUUUACCACGAUGUGCGUGUAUCACUGAAUAUGUAGUGAAAUGUUGCAUAGGAUGUGCUGGAUGGUUUAGCACCAUAGGCAUAGUUGGUGUGUCUGCGAAUCAUUUGGAAACAAAUUGUGUAUGACAUGACAUAAUAGAUGGGAACUAUAGUGAGCUAAUGGAAAUCGUGUCAAGACAAUUAAAUUAAACAAAAAAUCGAUAUCGCAAGUAUAAACUAAAAGCCUUUAGGAUAUUGCAUUGGACAAAUCAAUCGGGACUGCAGCGGUCGGAUCUUCCAAGAAGAAUUGGCCUUCCUCCAGCUGAGAAAUCACCCCCAUAAUCCAUCUCCUCCCAGCGCAUCCAAUCAGAGACUGUACUGGGGUUAUCUGCUCAGCGGCAAAACUCAAAAAUAAAAGAAUCAAUCAGACGAAGAGAGAAAAGCAUUUUACCGACCAAAGAUCUUGAACACCGAAAAUUAGCUAGAAUGCACGCAAAUUUCAUAUCGGAGGGUGGUCGGGACACGUAUGCAAAAGGGUUUAAGAAGAAACAAGAAAAGGCCGUAGCAAAAUGUUCACGAAGUACAUAUACCUCACAGCUCUCGGCUUCACUCAUUUCAAAAUCAAACGACGACCUGGAGAAAUACUUAUCGCGGGAAAGCCUCUGGAGAAGCAGUUGGUGCCGGUCCCUGUACAAGUCGGCUUUGUCGCCAGCUUCCCCGUGGAUGGGCAACUGCCCCGUGCGCCUAUUUCGAACGAAAAGCACUCGUUCGUGAUUUUGCUCGAGCGUAAAACCGACCGACCGACGGAAACAUGAAUGAAAUCUAUCUUUGAAGAAGAGGAGGAGGUUCAUACUCACUCGUAGAACACUUUUUUGAUGGGGUCGUAUUGAAAUCGAGGUACGACAAAGGCGUCGAUCACGCGUAAGGCCGAGCGGCUGCUGACGGCGGCGGACGCCGGAUCUACGGCGGCUUCGGCUUCGAGGAGGAGGCUAACCACUCGGCGAACGGCCUCCUUGUCCAGAAUGGACGAUUUUACUGGGGAGGAAAAGAAGAGAAGAGAAGAGAAGAGAAGAGAAGAGGAUCCCUCUGCGGUUAGGGUUGAGAAUGGAAAAUUAAAAUAAAAAUAAGAAUAAGAAUAGAAAAGGAUAGAGAGGGAGAGAAGACACUAGAGAAGCGUGCGCGGAAGGAAGGGAAGGAGGGGGAAUGAAUAAUGAUGUUUUUUUUUAGCGGUGGAGAAUUACGAGACUCCUUGUCGAUCUCGUCGAUCAGGAGGUCGAGGGCGUCGUCCUCGGCGUCGGGGAAGCGGGAGAGGAAGGAGACGACCUCCUCCAAGGCGUCCACCUUCAAGGUGAAGCCUCGGAGUUUAAACCUGCGCUGCACCUUCUUCCGAGUCCCCGCCGCCCCCAUUCCUAACGGGGACGCUCGCUCGCUCGAUAACCCUACCUCGCUCUUCUGGGCGAAGGGCGGGAAGACGAGAAACUUAUACUUAUUAGAUCCCCUUCGGCCUUCGGGGAUGGGAAAAGUAAUAUAUAUUUUUUAUUAUUCUUUCUUGAGCUUAAAGAAGGUCAAUUUGCAAAAAAAAAAUUCGCUUAUUUUGGGCUUUUAUAAAAACGGACCAUCUUUUUCAUUUUUACGGAUUCAAACCACUUUUUCGGUGAACUGAUCAAAAUAUCCUCAUACUUUUUUCUCUAUCCUCUUUUUUUUUCUCUCGUUCUUUUUUUUCUCUCUCCACAGAAGGCAGCAGAGACGGAGGCAAAAACAGCCCGCCUCGCCUCCGCCCCGCACGCCCUCGCCCUCGCCCUCGCCCUCGCCCGUACACCCCGGCUCUCCUCGUCUUCUACCCUGCUGAAGCCACGCCACCACCUUCUUCUCCACUAGGGCACGGCGACAUCGAGACGCGGGCUCUUCUCCUCCACCGCGCGUCGGAACGCCGAGACAUCGUCGGAGGCUGCGAGAUCGUCUUCGACGACGUUUCGGUGGUUGCGACAGAAAGUAAGGAAGAGGUGGUGACAAAAAAAAUUAUAAAAAAAAGAAUAAUAAAAGAUAAAAAUAAAAAUUAUUUUUUUCUUACAGAAAAGGUCAAAAAAUAUAGAAGAGAAAAGAAAAUAAUGAAAUUACACUCUUAAAAUAUAAUUAUACUGUUUUAAAAAAAUUUACACUGUUUUAAUAAAAUUACACUAUUUGAUAUAUAAAUUACACUCUUGUGAAAUAGACUUUACACUCUUUAAGCCAAGCUUGCACCAUUUAGAAAAAUUUUGCACUAUUUCGUUUUUUUUUUUCUUUUUCUCUUCUUCUUCUUCCUCUUCUUCCUGCGGGCGAUGGAUGCUACCUUCCUUCUGCCCUUGCUCCCCCAGGUCAGCAGCAGCUCCAGGGCGUGCCGCAUGUUCAGCGCCCCCACGACGACACCAGCUUCCCCUGCGAGAUGCUCGCCACGAUUGCGUCCCUCAGCAGCGGCGGCGUUGAACUCGACGAGCGACGACGACGCGCCGGAGUUGAGGAGCGGACGACGUCGAGGGCGAACUCGGUGGGGCUCUCGCUGCCGGGGACAGGGCACCCGAAUGCGGCGAGGAAGUUGGCAAGGCGGCACGGGUCGCCGCAGUAGGCGGCGCGGUCGCACGAGAGGAUGAGGAGGCGGUCUACGAGCACUAGCACGCCCCCGCUCUCCUCGUCUUCGACCCUGCCGAGGCCACGCCACCACCUUUUUUCUCCACUAGGGCACGGCGACGUCGAGACACGAGCUCUUCUCCUCCACCACGCGUCGGAACGCCGAGACAUCGUCGGAGGCUGCGAAAUCGUCUCCGACGACGUCGCGGUGGUUGCGACAGAAAGCAAGGAAGAGGUGGUGACAAAAAAAAUUAUAAAAAAAAGAAUAAUAAAAGAUAAAAAUAAAAAUUAUUUUUUUCUUACAGAAAAGGUCAAAAAAUAUAGAAGAGAAAAGAAAAUGAUGAAAUUACACUCUUAAAAUANNUAUAAAAUUCUCACGUUAAAGUAAUAACCGAAAAGCGAAGCUAUAAAAACCUGGAAAAGACCUUCUUUUUUUCUUAAAGCUAGGGCUAGCGCGUGCUACGAAAAAACCUAUUAAAAAACGGAGUGGUGGAGAGGGGAAUGAGAGAUCCCAGUCGUCGUGGUGGUUUUGCAGCGGCUUCUGCUAGUCGCGUCGGCGGGCAAGUCGCGGGACGCAGCGCGGUUGCGGGGAUGGAGGCGGGUGCGGCCCAAGAGCACGCGGUGGUGCGGCGGCGGCGGUGCGGCCCAAGAAGAAGGAAACGAAGGACAGCCUCUACCUACGGAGGAAGGGAAAGGAGAACGAAAGGGCCCAGUCGUUGUCUAGGCGCCGCGCGGCGCGCGACUGUGGUCGAAGGGGGCGCUCUACGAACGGCACUAGCGCAGGAAGUCGCCGUCGCCACAACUUGAGCCGCUCGCUGCUGCUACGCGGCCCGAGCUCCUCGCCUGCCGCAGCUCCCGCUUGAGCCGCCCCCAGAGCGGCCGCCCCUACCCCGUGGGCUUACGCCGCUCCUUCAGCCGCUCCGCCACGCCCAGCGGCGUCAUCCGCCGCACCGGCGCGCUCUCCUAUUCCUCCGCCAGUUGCUCGGGCUCGUGCGUUGCCGAGCCGACCACCUGCCUCCACUGCUGCUGCGAGGGCUGCGCGCGGUACAUCUACGGAGGGAGGGAGAGGGGAACGAGGGGUCCCAGUCGUCGUCGAAGCCCCUCGCGGCACGCAAAUCGCGCGGCGCGCAAGUCGCGGGGCGCGGCGCGGUCGCGGGGAUGGAAUUACACUGUUUUAAAAAAAAUUUACACUAUUUUAAUAAAAUUUCACUAUUUGAUAUAUAAAUUACACUCUUUUGAAAUAGACUUUACACUCUUUAAGCCAAGCUUGCACCAUUUAGAAAAAUUUUGCACUAUUUUGUUUUUUUUUUCUCUAUCUUCUUCUUCUUCUUCCUCUUCUUCUUGCGGGCGAUGGAUGCCACCCUCCUUCUCCCCUUGCUCCCUCAGGUCAACAGCAGCUCUAGGGCGCGCCACAUGUUCAGCACCCCCACGACGACACCAGCUUCCCCUGCGAGAUGCUCGCCGCGAUCGCGUCCCUCAGCAGCGGCGAUGUUGAACUCGAUGAGCGACGAUGACGCGCCGGAGUUAAAGAGCGGACGGCGUCGAGGGCGAACUCGGCGGGGCUCUCGCCAGCGGGGACAGGGCACCCGAAUGCGGCGAGGAAGUUGGCAAGGCGGCGCGGGUCACCGCAGUAGGCGGCGUGAUCGCACGAGAGGAUGAGGAGGCGGUCUAUGAGCACCAGCACUGUCACGCCCCAAGACCGCUACCCAUUUGGUUCGGUUCGGGCGCGUCGAACAGACGCCGGACGGACAGUACCUUCCCUGUCCGCCCAAGGCUCAACAACAAGAUCAUGUACAAGAGUUGCCCAAAAUAAACUCAAUUAACAUACAUGAUUCAACAAGCACCACAAGUGCUAUACCAACAAGAGCAAGAAUCACAAGUAACAUACAAGUGAAAUAAAGAGAGAUACAUCUAGCUAUUACAUCACAUUCAACAUUGAUUUGAUUUACAUUUCCAUCUCCCAAAAAUGAAUACAUGAUCCUCUCACAAACAUAAUGCUAGCUAUCCAAAAUACAUCAUGUCUAUAAACAUGCACACGAGGGUGCUCUAGAACAAAUAGGAAACUCUACUAGCUAGCUAGGGCGCUACGCCCUUACCGCGAUCCUCCCCCGGAACGCUUGCACACGGCCCUGCAACAAAGUGGGGUGAGAACUAUAUAAAUAUAGUUUCCAGUGGGUUCGGCCGCUGACUCCGCCGAUCUUUCCACUAUGUUUAAACAGGUACAGAUAGAUAAAUAAAUAUGAAAUUGCAACUAUGCUCAUCCAUGCCUUCAAAUGCAAGCAAUGCAUGGAAUAUCAUCUAACAACAAGCCUACUAUCAUGCUAGUAUGCUUCAACAAUGUAAUGAAUACAAAUACAAUAUAGUUAUGCAAUUCACUAACAUAUACUAUGUCUAAUCAGGGUAUGAAUGCAAAUCCACUUAUGCUAUUCAUGUCAUUACCCAAUCUACUAGGCUACCCCGCCUCAGAUCUCAAAUCUCAUAGGUACUCACACCACAAAUCUAGUAGGUGAAGAGGUGAAGAACUACCCCGCUCUUCGCCCCGACUGAUAUCUCAAAUCUCACAGGUGAGGAGCUACCCCGCUCUUAUCUCACCCGUCUCACAUCUCAAGCCAUAGGUCUUCAGCUACCCCGCUCUAAUCUCAUAAGUAAUGAGCUACCCCGCUCAAUUCUCAUAAGUAAUGAGCUACCCCGCUCAAUCCUCAUAGGGGAAGGGCUACCCCGCCAUUCACCCCAACUCACUUCCCAGUCCAAUGGGUGAGAAGCUACCCCGCUCGUAUCCCACCCGGUGAGCUACCCCGCUCGUGAGCUACCCGGCUCAUGUGACAACUCCGGAGUGCAUUGCUUGUGUGGAGCGAGCACCACAAGCUCAAAAUAGACUAUGUGAGUAUGAUCCAAUCCUCGCCAACUAAGGAUACCCUGUCAACUAGGUUAACAAAUACUCGAAAAUCCACCUAUCCCUAGGUCCAUGUCAAGUGUCUCAACCACACUAAUCAACUCACACUAGGGAAUUGAACUAUCCCUAUGUUUGAUGCCAUAGUGUCUCAAUUACACUAAUUCUCAUGCAAUAUGCCACGAUUAGGGAAACUCACCUAUUCCCUAUGCUCAAUGCCACAAGUGUUUCUAUUACACUAAGUUCCAAUGCCACUCGUCAUGUUGUUAACAUUAUUUACAUGCCACUCGUCCAAGUCAUAGUGUUUUCUAUACGCUAGUUCGCAUGUCACUAGUUUUCAUCAUCAAGUCCGAGUUCAUCGUUUUCUUAUCACUAUAGGAUCUCAUGUCACAAACCCUAAUCCUCAUGCAUUCUAUAUUUAAGUGUCAAGUCCAUAAUGCUACACAACUAGACAUGCAUGCAAGGAAAUAGAAAUGCAACUAUACAUACAUCCUAUAAUGCAUAAGAACAAUAUGUGUAAUAUGACCAAAAAUCUAACUCGGACAUAGAAGGAAGGCUAGUUGCUUCGGGAUGGACACCCCGCAACUUUUAAUGCUACCAAGAGGCUAGGGUUCCGAUUUCGUGAUUUUUGGAAGCUUUCGCCGCAGCUGCGGCAAUUUGUACCGAAACAGGCCUUUUCUCCAAUAUCUUCGCGUAGCCUCGUCGUAUCGCCGAACCGACUUCGCCAACGCGUCAGAAUACCUAUCAAUUUGGUUUAUACAUGAUCAAUUUAGAUCGAACCCUCACAUAUUUCAAAAUCCCAUUUUUGAGCCCUAACAUGCAAUUACUUCCAAAUAAUCCAAAUUAAAUGGAGCAACAUGCUAAGAAUGCUCAUUAGAGGCUACUAGAACACUUAAGGUUAAGGACUAAGCCAAAUCCCAAAAGUUUACCAAAAUGUGUACGCCGAGACGGAAGCACGCCGCUCCAACGGGCGCACGAAAGCUCGAUCCGUUGCUCCCAACGCGUUCGCAACUUGUUCUCCGCCAACGCCGUGAAUUUGGACGAAAGAUCUAGAGAGAUGAGAGAGUUAUUUAGAGAGAGAAAGUGAGGAUUUCUCUCACUACCACCAUGAACGUGUGGUGUUGUGGGGGUGGUGGUGGCUGUGAAGAAGAAGAAGACUAGAAGCUUCUACUUAUAGUCAACAUCCCAAUAGUAGCAUACACUAUUCACUUUAGGCAGUACGAAAUCUGAUAUCUUUCGUUGGAGCCCUCUGAAUAUCCGUUUGAGCUCAAAUUUGACAGUUAUAUUCGGUUUUGCUUAACUUAACGAAAGAAAUUUUAAUCUUUCAGUUUCGACCCCGCUUGGUCACCGAAAGCUGUACCGAACUGUAAUCUUUAUCAAAUAGCAGUUCGAUUUUAUUCUCCACCUUCCGAGUGUCAGAAUGACAUGAAACUUUAAAUCUAGCCUCAUAAAAAUAAUUCUGACAUACUCUCCAGUUUUCAUAAUUUUCCGACACUGUGCAUUUUCUGCUAAUUUACCAGCACCGCUUUUCAUAGAAAAUUCUAAAUCUUUUGUUUUCGCUCCGAUUUUAGCACAGGUCAUUUUCAACUUAUACCUUACACCCUUAAGUCCAAUAAAAAUAAUAUCUCACACUAUUUUUAUUUACACUUAAUUUUAUAUUAAAUUUCGGUAUACUACAUCCCAUCGUAACUUCAUAAUUUCAGAAGUUCGGUACCUUACAAGCACGCGACGGCUCGGCUGGUGGAUGGAGGCGACGACGACGCUCCCGGCGCGCGCGAUGCGUGCGGGAGAAGAGAGAUUAACAUAUUAAUAUAUAUAUAUACACACACACACACACACACACCCCAUCUUUAAUAACUUUUAAAAGGGAAAGAAAAAAAGAAAAAAGAAGAAAUUACGACACCAAAAACCUAGAACAGAGAAAAAAAAAAGGAAGAGCGUGAGAGAGAGAACAAGGAGAUAUGGGGGACGUGGGAGGAGCUCCUCCUCGCCUGCGCCGUUAGCCGCCACAGCGCGCGGAGCUGGGACUCCGUCGCCAUGGAGGUCCAGGCGCGGAGCCCCUUCGUCCACCUCCUCACCCCACACAACUGCCGCCUCUAUUUCUGCCACCUUCGCCGCCGCUUCUCCGACGCCGAUGCCGACGCCGAUCCAGACCUUGCCGACGCCAUCCCUUAGCUCGAGGAGCUCUGCAAGCUCCGCGUCGUUGAGCUUCGCCGUGAGGUCGAGCGAUACCAUCUCUCGAUUGUGUAUGCCUCAUCUGAAUCACUCCUCGCGUCCUAUUUCAUUUUUUUUUCUCCAUUUAUUUGCACGCGUCGUUAAUAUUUUUUUCAUUUAUUUGUAUGCGCCCACCAGGAAGAAGAGGAAUCCAUCGCCCGCAGGAAGAAGAGGAAGAAGAAGAAGAGAAAGAGAAAAAAAAAAAUGAAAUAGUGCAAACUUUUUCUAAAUGGUGCAAGUUUGGCUUAAAGAGUGUAAAAUGUAAAGUAUCUCGGGCGGUCUCUGUCUAGGGCGCAAUACCCUUACCGCCAUCGUCUGCCGGCUCGCUCGGUUCCAACUCUGUAAAAAAUAGGGUGUGAGAACUACAACAAAAUUUUCAGUGGGUUCGGCAACCAACCUGUCACGCCCCAAUCCCCGCCAAUUUGGUCGGGUUCGGGUUACGUCAACAGACGCCGAACGGACAGCAUCUCCCCUGUCCGCCCAAGGCUCCAACAACUAGUAUAAUUAAGCAAUCAACAAAGAGAUAUGCAAUUAUACAAGGCUUGCACGAGGGCAAGCAACAACGGAAGUGAAAGUUCUAAGCUAAGCAUACAACCAUACACAAUAUUCGAUUACAUUUAAACCAAAUACUUGUAACUAAAACUAUUACAUUCAUUUUGCUUUCAUCCAUAAUUCUUUACAUUUCUGUUAUUCUCCAAAAUACACGAUAUGUUUUCAACUUUACAAAUCUAAAUCAACAAAAUAAAAAUUGAUACAUGUAGGCAAAAGGAAUGACUAAUGCAUAAGUCCCGGUGGCCACUAGCUAUGGCACAAUAGCCUUGCCACGGUCCUCCGCCGCCCCGCUCGCGCUCGGACCUGUAGGGUUAGUGGUGUGAGAACUACAACGAAGUUUUCAGUGGGUUCGGCAACUGACCUCGCCGACUUACCCACUAGGCCUAUUCAGGCAUAAGUAUUUCAAAGAAACGGAAACUGUAACCAAUACUAAUGCUAAUACUAUGCCUGCAAGAAAAAUGUUAGUGGAUAUAUAAUCGAAUAAUGAAUGCUCAUGUUUGCAUGCUUGUUCCAUAACUUUACUUUGGCUUUUACCGAAUCAUGCCGGUUAACCUUGUUAACCCCAAUAACUCACAACCCGAAAUUCCUUAAUAACGGGGGACUUGAACCACCCUAGGGACCGUCCUCUGGGGGGACUUUACCACGCUCAAUGGUGACCAACUCCGGAGCGCACCGCUCGAGGAGGAGCUACCUCCCUCAAGCCAAGACUUGUCGUGAGUGUCGAUCCAAUUCUCAACUUAAGGAUACAUAGCCACUAGUCACAAUGCCAUUGUCAUAAUAGGUUUCUACCUAUUUAUUCAUGCUACUUUCCAAGUCAUACUUGUCACAAUGUCACUAUGGUUAAACUAUGUUUAACAACUCAUUUCUCAAUGCCAAUCAUCUCUCUAUUGUCAAUGUCACCUUUGUUUACUAUUAUCCAAGUCCAAGUCUCACAUUUAUACAACUUUAGGGUUCAACCAUAUAUGUCCAUUGUGGUUCUAUCAUUCUCAAUGUUCAACUACGUUAGAAAUAUGUAAAUGAAAUCAAACCAAGGUUCACAUGUAAUUUAACCCUACUAUGCAUGAAUGACUAUACAUCAAUAUGCUCAACAAAAAGGUGAAAUAGACAUAAAGGGGAAUCCGAUGAUUCCGGUGUACACCCCCCACCUCAAAUAGUGUAGAAGGGUUGUAGUUCGACUCCUGGGAUUUUAGGACGCCUCUCCCGCAACCUAAACCCAAAAUAAAGCAAAAUUAGGCCCUAUAUACAAAAUCUCAUACUAAACCUUUUCGUAACGUUAAACCGAGUGCACGAACGCGUCGGGAAUACCCCCAAUUAGGUUUCUACAUGAUAAAUUUUGAUCUAAACCCCUCCAAUACAAAAGCCCCAAUUUGGGUGCCCUAACAAUGCCAUAUUCAAAUUUCUCCUAGAUUGAUUUCAUCUCUAAGCAAAUGAUAGGUUAGAAUCACCUAGGAAGCUCUCUAAUAUCAUUUCCAAGCUAUUGGAACCAUUCCUAGAGCAUCUAACAUGAUCCCUAAUUAACCACCAUGAGAGCACCUUAAGAAACCAUGGAUUUUCAUGGGUUCAAGGUUCUACUAUACCUCUAAAGCCUCUAAAGAGACCAAAACUCCAAACCUAAGGUUUAAAUCCUAACCCUAGCGGAGUUCGUGCACAAAAUUUACCUUAGCCACGAACUCACCCAAGAUCCUUCUUGUUGCAGAGCCCCAAGAACCACCAAAGCCUCCAAAACCCACUUCUCCAAGCUUCUUCUUCUUCUCUCCUUCUUCUUCUCCUUCUAGAGAAAGAGAGAGAGAGAAAUAUGAGAGAGUGUGAGAGGGAGAGAAUGAGAGAAAAGAGCUCUCAUCACCCUAUAUAUAACCUCACCAUGGCAUAUUUGCAUUUAGGCCCCUCAACAUUGCAUCCUGUGCACUGCCCAGACUGGGCCCUUUUCGGGCACGGGGACCGGUCUCUCUAGCAGGGGACCGGUCCCCGAGAGCACCCUUUGCAGUUUAUGCAGCCGGGGUUCGGUCUCACCCUGAGGGACCGGUCUCACGAGGACCGGUCUCUUCCCGCAGGGACCGGUCCUCGAGAGCAAAACUUCCAGGACUUAGCCGAUUUUUUUCCUCUUCUCGCUGGCCGCGCGUACGGGAACCGGUCUCUCCUUCAGGGACCGAUCUCCAAGAGCACAAAAUUUGCAAUGGUGCAUAUUUGCUCCAGGUUGCUCUUCGAGACCUCCUAUAAUGUACUUUUGCUCUUUUUGACGCCUUCGGCCUUUCCGAAGUGUACCCACCUCGCAUUUUGGUUAUUUUGACUAAAGUUCGAUAUUCGUUUACUGAGGUUUCGGUAUAUUACACAACCACGUCGACUUUCCCACUAAGUCUAAAUCAGGCAUAAUAGAAGAAAAGAGAUAUAGAUAGUAACCAAACUAUACAAAUGCAGCUAAUAUGACUGAACAAUAAUCAAUGCAAUGCUCAAUAGUAUGCUCAUGAUGAAUACAAGAUCACAAUCUCAUUGCCCAAUCUUUUGGCUAACCCGUAGGUUUCGACCUCAACAACUCACAAACCAAAUCCCUACUAUCGGGAAGAUACCCGCUACUACCCGACGGGACCGUCCUCUGGGGAGAUACUCGCUACGACCCAGUGAUGACAACUCCGGAGCACAUCGCCCGAGGGGGAGCUACCACCCUCGAGCAAGGAUUUACAGGUGAGUAUGAUCCAAUCCUUAACUAUAAGGAUGCCGAGUUCAAUCAAUUCCUUAACUAUAAGGAAACAAUGUACAUAUGACCCUUAACUUCAAGGUUGUUAUGUCAUAAUGUUACUACCUUUGUAUACUUGUAUUCGUUAAACUUUACUAGUGUCGUAUACACUACUUGUUCUUUGUACUCAUACAAUGAUGCCACACUUGUUCUCUAAGUGUUCAAAACUAGUAGAUGCCACUCUCUACGACUCAUGUCCACAUGUCAUAUUUGUUUACUAAGGCUGUGUUUGGUUCCGGUAUAAGUAAGAACUACUAGUUCCAGGGAUAGGUACAAGUUCAGGUAUAAGCAGGAACUAGAUCAAUUUUGCGUUUGGAUGAAAAUUGGGUUGUUUUUAGGAAUAAGGUAAAUAGUAUUUGGAUGGUUAGAUUGGAGCAAGAGGAAUAAGAGUUAUAAUUUGAAAUUAAAAUUAUAUUAUAUAAUUAAUUAACAUCAAAAUAUUAUUUAAAAAUAAAUAAUAAAUUAAUUAUUAAUAAUUAAUUAUAAAUAAUAAUAAUUAUCAGUAAUUAAUUAUAAAUAAUAAAUUAAUAAUAUCGAUUAUCUAAUUAAUAAUAAUAAUUAUUAAUAAAUAAUAAUAAUUAUUAAUUAUUCUUAUUAAUUAAUUAUAAAUAAUAAAUUAAUAAUAAUAUUGAUUAUCUAAUUAUUAAUAAUAAUUAAUAUUAAUAUUUAUUAAUAAAUAAUAAUAAUUAUUAUUAUUUAAUUAUAAAUAAUAAAUUAAUAAUAAUAUCCAUUAUCUAAUUAUUAAGAAUAAGAAUUAUUAAUUAAUUAUUAAUAAAUAAUAAUUAUUAUUAAUUAUUAAUUAUUAAUUAUAAAUAAUAAAUUAAUAAUAAUAUCGAUUAUCUAAUUAUUAAGAAUAAAAAUUAUUAAUAAUUAUUAAUAAAUAAUAAUUAUUAUUAAUUAUAAAUAAUUAAUUAUAAAUAAUAAAUUAAUAAUAAUAUCGAUUAUCUAAUUAUUAAGAAUAAAAAUUAUUAAUAAUUAAUAAUAAAUAAUAAUAAUUAUUAAUUAUUAAUAAUUAAUUAUAAAUAAUAAAUUAAUAAUAAUAAUUAUCUAAUUAUUAACAAUUAAUUAUAACUAAUAAAAUAAUAAUAAUAAUUUUCUAAUUAUUAAUAAUUAAUUAUAAAUAAUAAAUUAAUUAAUUAUUUAAUUAUUGAAGCAAUAAAUAAUGAUUUAAAUAUAUUAAUUAGAUUAAUUAAUAAUUUACUGCUAUUAAAAUUAAAUUUAGAUUUUAAUUAACCUUGUUCUCAUCAAGGAACAAGCUAGUUCCAGGAAAUGGGUGGAACAGCAGUUCCAGCCUUAUACCAGUUUGUUCCAGAAACCCGGGAACUACUGUUCCCGGGAACCAAACAUACCGUUUGGGAACAAAGGGAGGAACAAGGGCUUAUUCCCCCCCUUGUUCCCGAACCAAACGCUACCUAAGUCUACUAGGUUCCUGUCACUUGUUAUGCAUACAUAGGGUUUAUAAAUUCUCAUUUGUUCACUAGCAUGUCACAUAUAUUUGAACCCACAACAUGCGAUAAGAAGCUCACAAUUAUCCCUACUACGCAAUAUGCUUAAUACAUACAUAUGCUUAAAUAUGACACUUUAGACAUAAAAGGAAUUCUGAGGUUCUUGGUAUGCACCACCCAUCUUGUAUGUUUGUAAAGAUGCUACGGUAAAUUUCUUGGAAUUUUUGAAGUCCUACUUUAUCGCCUGCGGCAAAACGAAGUCAAAUUAGGCUUAAUACUUAGAACUCCUACAUAGGCUUUUCGUAACGUCAAACCGAGUUGCCCAACGUGUCGGGAAUACCCUGAAUUAAAUUUCUAUAAGGUCAAUUUGUCUUAGAAACUCUCUAGGGCAAACGUCCUAAAUUUGGUGCCAUAACAAUACCAUUUACUCAAACCUGGGUUUGAUCUCUAAAGUAAGUAAAAGAGAGCUUGUCUAACAUCUAGAAGCUUAUUUAGAACCAUCUAAACCAUUUCUAGGGCAUAAUAAGCAAACCCUAGGAAUUCACCAUUAGAGCACUGAAGAAAACUAGGGUUUUCAUGUGUUCUAAGCCAUUACUAGGUUUCUAUAUACGAGAGAAGAUCAAAACCUAGUUUUCUAGGGUAUAAAAUCAAACCUUAUACCUAUUGUUACAAAACACCUCACCUUAACCCAAAGCUCUCCAAUGUCCACCUUGUAGGAGAGAUCCCAAGCCUUCAAAACCACCAAAAAUCCCUCCAAAGCCUUCUUCUCCUUCACCUCCUAGCUCUUGGAAGUGAUCUCUAAAGAGAGAAAGAGAGAAAUGAGAGAAUAGGUGUGUGUUGGCUGUGGAAGAGGGAGAGAGAGGUGUUGGGGUGUUUUAUAAGGUGCUACAAUUGCGUCUAGGUCCCCAAUUUCUUUUUAUUUGCAGCAGACCAAAUUGGUGCUGUUAGACCAAAGUGUACCGGUACACUUUGUUCUGUCACUGAUUACACGAUCACGCAAAGGCAAACCCGAGCGCACGUUUCUCGGUUACGCAAGAUUUGUACCGGUACACUUUCAAAGGUACCAGUACACUUCGGAUUUUUCUCUCAAACCCGAGAGCAAGCUCUUCUUGGUCUGCAGGGCUGUACCGGUGACAACUCAAUCGUUGUACCGGUACACUUUGCCCAGAAUGCUGGUUUUGCGUCGUUUUCGAUUCUAUUUCGCGCCGGUCGAUGUUAAAAUCCUUUUAACUCUUUUAGAACUCCUUUUCAACCCUUCCAACAUUGUUGGAAUGUCAACCAGACUUUGUCCAUCCAUUUCUCUCGGCAUUUUAACCAAUUUGGCUAAAGUUCGAUAAUCGCUAUCGAGCUUUCGAUACAUUACAUAUUUUGUAUUUGAAACUAAUCCAAAUCAUCCUAUGUAAUAUUUAUUUUCCAUUUCAACUUGGUUUAACAUAGAAUACAAAUUAGUUUAACUAGAAUGUAGUUAGAUAUGUAGUCAAGGCAAUUAAACUGAUUACAUUCAUAAACUGUUUAUGUUUUGUAGUGUUUGGUUUGAAGAAAAAAAAAUAGUUUUUCAUCAAUAUUUAUUUUCUUUGAAAGAAAAAAAAUAAAUGAAAAGUGCUCUAUAUGCAAGAAUUUUUAACUUUUUUGGUUGGUCCCUAACUGAAAGAUGUUUUAGAAGUCUUUUGAUUUUAUUGUCUGACUAACCUGAUUUUUUUUUUUUUUUUUGCAGAAAUUUCAAAAAAAGGAAGAAUUGGUGUUUAAUUCUGAGUGAAUUCAUAAAAUAAGUUGAAGAACUCGUAGAAAACUUUGAUUUCAUAUGGAUUUUAUUUCUGUUAGAUUGAAAACUUCUUUGAAUAAAAUUUUUAAUUGACAAUUCUGUUUACUCUGCAAAUUCCUAUUUGAUUAAAUGAUUUGGCUUGUCUUGUUUGACAAUUGUCGUAUGUAAUCAAAUUUAAAUUUGUUUGAAUGAUGAAUUUGUUCUUAUAUCUCAAUUUAAAGAGUAUUAAAUUUUUGUCUAGUUUUUUUUUUUAAUUGUAUGUUUUAUAUUUUGUAUUAGAUUCACAACAAUUACGAAACCGAUGGUAUAAAUUUACUAAUUUAUACUAGCGCUUUUUACUAUAUUUAGUAGCGGUCGGAGAAGCGUUACUAAAAUUAUUUUCUCCAAUGGUUGUAUAAACUGUCGGUAAAGACUUUUAGCGACAGAGAUCUAACAGCGGUUAUAGAACUUUUCUCGGCGGUUUUACAAAUGUCGGGAAAUAUUUUUCCAGCGAUCCUAGACACUUUUCCCAGCGGUUUCGACCGCUUCUAAAACCUAUUUUUUUUGUAGUGUGUGAAAGCCAAACCUUUAUCUCCACCCUCUCUUUUUUUAGUGGCUUCAUCUUUCUCCAAGCUUAGAAUUGGACAAGAGCACUUGAAGAAGGAGCACUCCAAGGGUGAGAUCAAGUUCUUCGACAAUUAUUGAUCCACCUAAUGGUAAGUGAGAUGAGUUUCUCGUAUUUUGGAUGUGAUUUUAGGGUUUUCUUAGAUAAAGACUUUCAAAAGUUCUAACUUGAUUAGAACUUCUUCUUUAGGCUUGAUUAGAAGCCUCAACAACAAAAAUCCACUUUACGAUGAGGCUCUAGUGACUUGAGGUGGGUUAUGCUUUUCGAAAUGGUUGGAUCCUUUCCUCUAUCUCUAAAUCCCUGUUUCUCUAACUUAUGGUUGCAUGAUUUGAAUAGUAAGGUUUUUUGAUAUUCCUCCUCCUUUUAUUUGAUAUGCAUGCAUAGUAGAUGAUAGCUACAUCCCAUCUUUGGAAACUUAUGAUUUAGCAUACAUGAGUAGAGAAUGACAAUAUUGUGUCCUCAUAACCCUAUCACUUGUAUGAUUAGCAGUAAAAGUUAUCUUAUCAUGAGAUGCUUGAUUAGCAUAGUUGCCAUGCAUGAUUACCAUAAGGGGCCGUUUGGUUCCCACUAUAAAAUAUUACUAGGAGUAAAAAGAUGUUCGAGAAUCUUAUUUCUAUUCAUUCUAUUACUAAGAAUAUGACAUUCCGGUGUUUGGUUCGCACGGUCAUAUUAUUUAGUCAUGUUAUUUAAGAUUACGAAAAAUAUACAAUUAAUUUAUUUAUUUUGUUAAUAAAGUUUAGAUAAUAUUAUAAAAAAUUUCAACAUCUUUUUAGAAAAAAAGGAGAGAAAAUAUUGGUUAGAGAGAGAGCAUAAUUAAAGAAAAUAUGAAGAGAAAUAGAGUCGAGGUUAGAGGGAGUGAGAAAAUUGAGACUUUAGAAAAAGAGGGGGAGAGAGAGCUUUGUUUAGAGAGAGAAAAAGAGUUGAAGUUGAGAGAGAAAAAGAUAAGUUUGAAGAGAGAUAUGAGGUUAGAGUGUAAAAAAAAAAAUACUAACUAACCGGCAGGUAGGAAAAAAGAAAGAGAUUAGACAUAUUAUAAUUACUCUAAUCCAUUAAUAUGAGGAUAUCCACCCUCCUUCAAAGGAAUGAGAUUAGUACUUUGGGAUGAAUCUCAUUCCCAAGUAAAUCCAAUAUUACAAAUUAGAUUACUUAGUGCGUUUAGCCAAACACUGUUAUAUUUUUUUAUUCCUAUUAGAUUAAUAGGAAUCUUAAAAAGAUAGCGCGAACCAAACGCACCCUAAAGAUUUAUGAAUUUGUAAACCUAGUAUGGUUAAUAAACGAUGAUGACAAUUAUCCAUUUUGGUACCUUCUAGUAGCAUGCUGUAUUUACCAUUGUGAUACUUUCUUCAUGAGAAAAGCAUGCUAGGAUAGCAGGUACCACUAUUUUAGAAUAGGCGCUCUUCAUUGUGAGAUUUUUGACCAAGCUUGCGCUAGUUGUUUAUUAGCUUGUAGAGUUUGCGACUACACGGGCAGCGUCCCUCCGAAGGUGAUUAUACAAAUUGGGGGAUAGACUGCCGAGGUGGGCGUAGUGCCCAUAAAGCCGUGACGAGCAAGCUUGGAACGGACCAUGUGGUCGGUUGAUGGUAAAAUUGGAUCCUUGUGACAAAUGUCACAUUGCUAGGAUUUGAGACAUAUAUCGGCAAAGUUGAUCAUGUUGGACCUACAUGUACCCUGUACUUUGUAGAGGCAUUGUAGCGACAUCUUUACUUAUACUCCGUUAUCCUAUUAUUUAGUUGCUUUAUAUCUCGCUUAUUCAAUCCUAUUAACUCAUUUAGACCUAGUGUGGACAUUUGGCCAGGUUUGGCGGUCGUACCCACUAGAAACUUAUUGCAGUUCUCACACCCUCUUAUUGAUAUUUUUAUUACAGAAACAUCUAUCAACAGUGAGGCGCAUGAUCACGUCAAGGGUGUCGUGAACUAGUUAGAAGGCUACCCUUCACGUGUUGUAGGCGACCCAUUUCGUGACAUGAUAUCAUGUAUUUAUAACAUUAUGAGAGAAGAAGAAAUGUGUUUCGUUUUGGUGAUGGAAUUGUAUAAGGAAUAAAGAUUAGCUUGUAAAAGUUUAUAGUAUACUAGUUUCACUCUAAUGCUAGAUGGUACAUGAUCUCGUAUGUGAUGUACAAGUUGAAAGUUUUUAUCCGUUUUGUGCGGGCAAAGGAGACUCUGUGCAUUCAGCGGGUCCAUCGCACAUGCACGAGAGAGAGCCUCGGGUGGUCCGGUGUGAAGGAAACAAAUAAAAAGGAUACAAGGGAUGGUUGGUGCUAUCCAAAAGAAUUAUUAACAUUACAAUACGGAGGAGGAGGUGAAUGUUAGGUCAGCUAAUUUGGUAAAUUUUGAGAUUUACUAACUAGUCAUGCAAUAGUCAUUGGCUGUUCUUGAUAUAGUUCGAUCAUAAAUUUAAUGAAACAUUGAAAUAAAUUGAAAAAAGUAAACUUUCAGGCAAAACAGUAGUCUACAGUUUUACAUUUCACUCGAUAUGACAAUAACUGUUAGAUUAUCCAUCUAUGACUACAAUUCUAAGUGCAUCAAUGAGUCAAUCAAGACGAGAUAUUAUUUAAAGUUGUCCAAAUUUUCCGAAAGAUGAAGAAUUAUAUCAUUGAUGUUUAUAAUAGACAGUGCAUCUAAUAGAUCAAUUUGACAACCAUCCACAAUAUAGCGGAGCUAAUUCACAUAAAAUGCCAGUUCAAGAAAGUAACAAGAAAGACAUAUACAUGGAUUCCACUCAAAUCUAGUAUUAAAUUUUACGAGGAAGAACUCAUCAACCAAAAGAUAACAAUCGAUACACAGUAAUAGUCAUAACUGAAGACCGAUCAUCAAUAGUAACAGCAAAAUGGGAAUAAAUCCCAAAACCGAGAUGAAUUAAAAAUGAAAACAUCUAUGUUGUGUUUUUACCCAAUGUAAAUAAGCAUUAGGGUCUGUUUUGCAAUUAUUGAAAAAUAAAAUAGAGUUUUAUUUUACACUGUAUUUUGACAUUUUGAAAACUCCAUAAAAAAAAAAUUUACUUAGUAUUUUAUUAUUUGGAUUGUUUCUUAAAAAAAAUACUCGGAUUUUAUUCUUAUAUAAAGUAAAUUAAGAAAAAUUGUAUUAAUUAAAACAAAACUUCUUCGUUUAUGAAUCAAAGCAUGAAAAAAAUAUAUAAUUCAUUUGUAGAUUGUAUUUGUUGAGCCAAUAAGGUGCGGACAUAUGGUAUACCGGUACUCCAUUCAAUUAUAUAGAUUCACAGUGCACCGGGAGUAUCGGAAGGAUCUAAAACCGCAUGAUUUAAAAGAAGUUACAGUAACCGCAAGCAGUUGCAAGCAGUUCCGAUCGACUAGAUGUGACGCCCCGACUUCCCAGGGGGUCACCCAUCCUAGGACUACUCCCGUCCUAGCACGCUUAACUCUCUUAACCUCUUGGGUCUAGCCACCACCCAAAAUGCUUAAGCCGGGUUAAGAGUUUAGCCCUAUUAUAUCUUAUAUAUAGGACUAUCUGGGGUCUCACAAUCUCCCCUCCUUUAAGCCCUGACGUCCUCGUCAGGCUCAGACUCACAAGUACCAGGCGAUGUGAGACUCGUCUCGCUAGCCCGUCAUCCAGACCCUGGCUCAGCCGAGACUCAUCUCACACUUCCGGCUGGUAAUUGGCUCUGAUACCAUCUGUGACGCCCCGACUUCCCAGGGGGUCACCCAUCCUAGGACUACUCCCGUCCUAGCACGCUUAACUCUCUUAACCUCUUGGGUCUAGCCACCACCCAAAAUGCUUAAGCCGGGUUAAGAGUUUAGCCCUAUUAUAUCUUAUAUAUAGGACUAUCUGGGGUCUCACACUAGAAGUGGUCCGGAAAAUUAGGAAAUAAUGGCCGAUCGUGUAAAAGCAAUAACUGAUCAAUAGGGCAAUCUAUAAAUAGAAAAAUAACGUCCUAAAAAGGGGUCUUUUUCCUGUGAACAAAUGACCGCCUUUAUUUCCUUAUAAUUUUCUGCAUUUUUUAGGAGUAGUCUACUUGUAACUUUUAUUUUUCCGCAUUUACUGUUCUUCCUAGGAGUAGUUCAUUAAAUAGAUCAACUGAGUCUGCAUGCCAUCCGGCACACUUAACCCCUGUACUUCUUACCAAUUAAUAUAAAGGCAUUCGGUUUUUCAAGCUGACCAAUUCCUGUGUUCGUUAGUCAUUCGGCUCUUCGGCCGACUUCAGUUCUUGCUUGGUUCGUGCAUUCGGCUCAUCCAGCCGAACCGAAUUUACUGUAGAGGUUUCGAACCCGGCUGAUCCGAUCCCUCGUCAGCUGAAUCGCUUGAUCAAUCGAAGGGCGCAAACUUCGAGGAUCACCAUUCGAAGCUGUUUUCAUCCUGACACGCUCCCCGAAGAGGAUCUUUGACCGGGUCAAGAGUCAGGGAAUUCGGCUCGCAACAGUAUCAAAUUGAGAACUUUUAAAAAAAUAAUUAAAAACAAAAUAAUUAAACAAGUAUCAUAGUAAGCGUAAUUCUUCUUCAUCACAAAUUUCAAAACAUAACAAAUUUCAUCACAAAUGUCGAAAAAUCACAAAUUUUGUCGUCUUCUUUAUGGUCGCCAGGCACUCCCUCAUUGCUCGAGUUUUUUACCGGCUGUGAUCAUGUUCUUGCCUUAAUGAUUAAAUAAAAAAAAAAAAAUCAGUUGGGAUCCAAAUCGCACGUCAUCCCUUUCCCGCAGAGAGACUCCCCCUUCCCACCCCUUUCUCUGCGAUUCCUAAGGCAGCGGCGGUAGCAGUGAUCAUCUCCGUCUCCUUUUCCAGCCCCAUCUCCACAACCCCAUCUCCACUGCUAGUCCGCUACUGCUGCUUGCAUCCAUCUCUUCCUACGAUUAUUCCUCCUGCAGUCGUGGCCGUUAGCAUCCAUCUCUUCCUACGAUUAUUCCUCCUGCAUCAUGGCUGUUAGCAGGAGCGCAUUGUCAUUGUAGUCUGCAGAGUCAUUGGCAGUGGCACCAGGGAAGGCGAUGACAUCAUUGUUAUCAUCGUCGUCGGAGCGAGUAGAGGAGGGAGGAGGAGAGAGAGGAUGGGGAGGAAGGAUGAGAGGGAGUGAAGGGAGCGGUGAGGGAGACGACUUCUAACCAAACUUUUUUUAUCCCUAAAUUACUCUGUAAAAUAUAUAUUAUAAAGUAAUUUUUUUACUUUAUUAAACCUUCCAAAAUUACUCUGUAAAAUAUAUAUUAUAAUAUCUUAAGAAGCAUCUAUAUUAUAAAGAUAUUAUAUAGAUGCGUAAUAGGAUUACAUUUCAAGUGAACAGGCAAGCUGUAACACACAUUUGAAUAUAUUGACUACAAUUUUUGCACCAAUUACAAACUAUGAGGAACAGAUUAUUAUUUGUAAUGAAUUAACAUAUCUGGUAAGUGGGCCAAGCCGCCAAAGUAUUGUGCCCAGGAUUUUGUCAAUCGAUAACUGUUUAAUAAAUGUUGUCUAAAAGAAAGGAUUUGUCUUUUCACCCACCUAUGACAAGAAACGAUGGACAAACGGCCAGACAAAUGAAAAAGUUCAAAAGGGAGAAGGGAGGAGGGAGAAAAGUUUUGUUCAACCCUCAAACAACAUCUUUUCCUGAACAACGACCUCCAUAUAUACCCACCUAGAAAAGAAUGAGAUCAGAUCGAAAAGCAAGUAGCACAAACAAGUAAGCAACUAAGUUUGCUUGGGAAAACAAAUGCUUCCGAGCAAGUUAUACCCUCAAUACGGCAGAUGAUGGAUUUCUCUAAAGUGAUGAUAUUAAGGAACCAAAGAUUCCUCUUUUGUAAUGGAGAAAAGAUGACACUCAAAUGCUCUAAGGGACUAGUUAGCAGGCAACAUCUCCAACUACAUAGGAACCCAAAACUUUUCUUUGGUGUAUAGCAGUUAAAUCCAGUUCCAGGAACUUGAGUCGUAAAUCAACGUGCAGAAGUUGCAUCUCAACCUACACCCAUUGAGAAUACAAGAGGAAAAGUAGUAGUUAUGAUUUCGUUUCACUGAUUUAAAACAUUUCAGAAAUGUUCUGCAUUUUCUUUUCAAUUGAUUAGAUUGCUGACAAGCAACUCGUAACAGUAGGCAUAUUGACAAGGGAUGAAAUCAUACAAGCUUCUCUAGCAGGAGGAAUUCUAUACUGUCACACUUGCACUACGUCAUCAAUAACAAGCCAAUUACAUUUCUUUUUUCAAACAAAAGUACAAUAAAAAUAUUUUUUUAUAAUCAUGAUGGGGCAUAUACUCCUAAAAGGAGACAUUUGAUUAGUUUGUUACGCCACGUCACCAAUAUAUCCGUUGCAUUCUAGAAUUUUUCCUCUAGUAGGUAUCUUAAAUCAACAUGAGGGGGGAACUUUUUCUUAUCGGCAUACCCAGUUGGAUGAGAUUUAUUCCUCGCUAACAAGAAUUCACAAUUGCCUUGUGUUCUUCCAGCCCAAGUUGCGAGCUAACAAUAUUACCAAUUGCAAUAGAAAAUGUGAAGCAUUCCCAAAGUGAUCCAAAUUAGUGAAACAAAUUGGUGAAACAAGCACCCCGUAGGGAAUAAAUGUCACCCCUCUGCCCAAUGCUCAAAGAAAAAAGAGUAAUAACUAAGGAAUAGACUCACUACCCAAUAAAUAAAGGGAGAAAAUUGACAAAUCCAACAUCAACUGCACACAACCAAACCAAAAGGCAAAAAAGAAAGUUACAGUUACAGCGAGAAAGAGAAGACGCAGCUGCAAACGUGCCUAUCCAACUAGAAGCAUCUCUAGCGACACAGCAUUUUAUAACUCCAUCAAGCUAAUCAAACUCUCAAUCUAGUGACAAUUCGCACCAGAAAUUAACAUGUAAAAACAACUCUAUUGUGACAAUCAAUCAAACAUGUGCGGUAAGAAGAUACCAUAAUACAGACUAUGCCAUUCUUAAAUCAGUUAGAGAUAGCAAGCAGACAGCAAUCAUGAAGUUCUAUUGACUCGGGACCGUAGAGAGAGCGAUCUAGGCAUGAGAAUAUUUAAACUACCGCGACAAAAUAACAAAGGAGCAAAACUGAAAGGCAUUAGAUAAUGAUUGUUCUUAAGCAGUAAGUUGCAAUAAUUAAAUCAACUAUCUUAGAGUAUAAAUAGAAAUAAAUUUAGCAUGAUAUAUCAAUCAUUUGCUACUUAAACACUCAGACUAUCAAUUAUGAUAUGCAUGAUAUUGAAAAUUUAUUUUGAUUAUCGUUCAUCGGUUCAUGUGGUACUUCGUUUAUUUUUCUCUCAGUAUUUUUCUUAAAUAAACUAGAAAUUUCAAUGAAUAUAACAUUGCAAUGCCAAAAAAAUAUUUUUCUUAAAUAAACAGCAUGUGGACUGCUCAAUUCAUAAUUGUCCACAUCCUACAUUUUCAUUAUGCGAUGGAUCGACCGCUUGUACGCUAAAUUCAGCUCUUUCAGAACAAAAGUUCUUACAUUCUACUAGAAGAUGCUCAACAGGAACUUCUAUGGAAAAAAAAAAAGAAAAAAAAAAAACAUAAUAUUAAGGGAAUGAAUUCAAAAGAUCCAAAGUUAAGGGCUCUUUUCGAAAUUAUCUUGAAAGCCAGCAGCUUGGAAACAGAUUUUCCUUCUAUAAUUUCGAUGUGAUAGUCAACACUUCAAUGCCCAACUUAGCCAAACUUAUUAAUUUAACUUCUAUUACAUGUCUCUAAUGUAAUCAUAGUCACAUAUUUACAAGUUUAAUAAAGAAAAUAAAGCACUAAAAUAAACAAGCAAAACUAGAAUUUCCAGCAAAACCAGUGUUCCAAUAGUGUUCACGUAUUCACAAAUUCAAUGAAUCACUAAACUGUAGCAUUUGAAUAGUUUAAAGAUCCUAUGGAUUUGAUUAUGAUGUACACAAAAAAAAUAGCCACUGACUCCAAUAUUCUAAAUUCAGUCUGCAAGAAAAAUAUUUAUAAUUUGAUUAUCAAAGGUCUUCAAAAGAUGAAGACUUGCACCAUGCCACCAUUAAUGCUUAGUAGUGUAGGGCCCACAUUUCGCGGCGAGAGGUAGUAUUUCAGCCAAUUAAUUGGGAUUGAAAAAAAAUUAUAACAAAAAAGAAAUACAAAAAGAAAAAAAAAAAAUAAAGUACCCUUUUAUGUACAUUAUAAAAAGGGAUAAUAUCUGAUACGCCCUUCAAAAUAUCAAAAAUAUCUUAAAUAUCCCUGGAGGACCAAAAUAUUCUUGUUGAUUUUAAAAAAUUCCUUCAAAUAUCGCCAUUUCCCAUAGGGUUUUCUAAUGGGAUUUGGUUUUAAAAGGAUAUUUUUGUAAUUUAAGGGUAAAUUUGAACAAUUUGAAUAGUAAUGGGCAAAUACUAAUAAAAAUUAACCAUAACUUUCAGUAUUUCUAGAGUUAAAUACUUAAAGUAUUCUAAUAACUACUAGUUAACUUCUUGGAGAUUAUCUAACUACUGAUUUACCUGUCGAACAACUUCUUCGAUGUGAUGCCAUAGUUGAAUAAUAAUAAUUUUGAGAUGUUAUAACAGAUGAAAUGCUAGCAAUCAGUUUUUGAUAGCUAAACCAGCCGUCACAUCAUAAUUUCAUUAAAAAAAAUAAUUUAAAUUUGCGAAAUAAUCUAAGGCAAAAUAUUUAAAGUUCAAUAUCUCUACUGAAAUAAAGUAAAGUUCACCGACCUAAAUGAAAUUUCACUAAAAGUUUGGCGACCAACAGUGAAAUUUACUUAAAUAAAUAUUAACAAUGCUACGUACACGUAAAACAAAAAAAAUUCCACGACAAUUAUAUAUAUGAAAAUCGAGAAAGCAAUCAUCAAAUGAUCGAAGUCACAAUUACUGACCUCUAAACUUGAUAACUGUGUACAACUCGCUCAUGGUCCAUCAAGGGACGAGGAACUUGAGAACUCAAAUAUUUUCCAAACUACUUCCAAACUUGCACCGCAUAAAUCCAUAAACAAUACUCUCCUAAGUCCUAACAAUGGCAAAUCGCACUUUUCGCGAGGAGAAGGCAUUCUGUUAGACGCCAACUUCAAACAACUAGAUUUUGCCCCAAAAGCCUAGAUGUUCAUGAGGGUGAGGAAAAGGUCUAUAAAAUUGUAAGGCGCAUGCUAAGAUAGUAGUUCUACUACACAGACAUACAAAGCGUUAUCGAACAAUUUAGUUAAAGAAGUGCUGCCCAGGGCAACAUAUUAUAAUUUUUAAGAAACUGUAAAAUACGCAGAUCCCGUAUGCGAGUUAGAGCUAGCAAUAACACGGGAAACUAAACUCUCUCAUGAGUCAUGAUAACACAAAAUUUAAAGGAGGAUAAGGUUGAUCGGGUUUCACCAAGGGACAUUUCGCUAGUCCUCGUUCUUCUUCUUCUUCUUCUUGUCCUUCUUGCUCAGCAGCUCAUCGGGGACCACUUUCAGGAGCUUCCUGUCCUUGGACUUGGCAAUCUUCUUGAGGGUCUUGGGGUUGGUGAUUUUCUGCAACUUGGUGCCGGAUCUGAGGAUGUUCUCCUGCUUCCUCUUCUCCCUCUCCUCCCUCGCCUUCCUCUUACUCUCCUUGCUCUGGCGGAUUUUCUCCUUGAGCUCGGCCAUGCGCUCCCGAUACGCCCGCUUCGUCUCCUUCUCGAUGGUGCGCAGCUCCAGCGACUUGCCGCGGCGGGAGGCGGCGACGGCGGAAGCGCGGUGGGCGCGCGCCUGCUUCCACUUGCGGCCGGAGACCCUGCCGGCGAUGACGCCGUCGUACGUGGGGCGGCCGAAGGAGGCAGGCUUGUCCGGGUCCUCCAGAGAGGGCAGAGCGGCCCGCUUCCACGGCGGCGGCCCGCCAGCGUCGAGGUCCAUGGACGAGGAGGCUCGGCCGUCGUCGUCGCGGUCCUGGCCGACCUCGGAUUCCACCCGCUUCCGCUUGUUCUUCGCACCGCCGACGCCUUCGUCCAAGAAGCGGAAGUCCAGGCCGGACGCCAUGCUGAUUAGUUAUUAGCGUUUCUUUCUUUUUUUCCUUUUGGAGGGCGCCGCGCGGCGGAGAUGAUCGCGCGGGGGUCCAAAAAGAAAGGAAGCAGUAGCCGCGAGCGACGGUCUUGUUAUUAGGGUUUUGAGUCACACGAUUGCUUUUGUAACAGAGGGUGGUGUGUUUACAAGUUUAGGGGGAAAAAAAUUAUAAGAGAGUAUUUGGCCAAGCUUUUUAAAAGUAAUUCUGUGCCUAAAAAUAAUUUUCGGCUCAGUAGAAUAUUUGAUAAUGGAGAUUUUAAAAUCUAAUUCUGCUUCUGAGAAUCAGAAAACUGAUUUUUCAUCCUCUAUAAGCAGAGGCAGAAAAAAACUGCUUCUCAAAACUAAUUCCCGCAAAAAUAGUUUUCUCACUUAAAAAAUUUUAUGAAAAUACCGAAAUUACCCCUAAACAAACAAUAUAAUUAUACUCUAACCUUUUAUCACUUAAUACUUUCAACUACCCUCCUCUCUCUCCCAUUUUACCACAGCCAACCUCUCUCUCCAAAAAAAUUCCCCUUUCCUUUCUUCUCUCCUCCAUCUCUUUCCUUUCUUCCUCUCCGGUGACACCUCUCUCCGGUGAAUCUUUUCUUUCCGGCGAACCUCCUCUCCGGCGAACCUCCAAAGAAGGUACUCUGUCACGCCCUGGACUUUAGUGGAAGCUCAUCAGUCACGUGUACAGACCCGCCGUAUACACCUCAACCCUCAAGUGUACACCAGGCGUCUACAAAUCAAUAUAGCAGAAAGGAUAAUAUCUUGACCAGGUAAUCAGAGCGAAACUAAAAGUUCAUAAACUUAUACAAAAUAAAACUUUAUUACAACUUAAAAAAAGUACAAAGUACAUUCUACAUAGUUCUAGUAUACAACACUGAAAUAAACUAGAAAAGCUGAUAUGGUUUCAUCUAUUUAACAUCGAGGAGGCUCUAACUAUCCGUUGACCCCUUGCUAGGAACUCUAGCCUUCCCCGCUAUGGAAGGCUCUGUAUAAAAACAAUCAACAAAAGGGCGUGAGAACUAUUAAACAAUAGUUCCCAGUAGGUAAGCCACCGAGAGUGGCGAAGUACACCACUAGGUUAACUGAGGCAUAAAUAACUGUAACAAGUAUGAAAAGUAAAUGCAACAAGCAAAGUAAUUCAAUCAUAACAUGCCUCAAUAAGAUCUAUUUUCUAACAUGUCUUAUAUGCUACUCGUCAUAAAUACAAGUUCAGUAAGUUAGGCUAAUUAUCAAUUUAAUCACCUAUAUGUCAUGCUGAAUAUCAACAUUAUCAUUGAACUGACUAAUGGCAUCAUAUAGUUAUUUCCUACACUAGCAAGAGUGUAAACAUUUCGGAACUGUUACUAAACUAUUGACUGAUAGGGAUGUCAACCUUCUAGUAUACUCAUUACUAGGUAUAUUCAACUAAUGACAUAAAGUAUCUUUAUUACUAUGUCCAUCUAAGGUUAAAGUCUUUAACAUUAAACCAAUUAAUAAGAGACUUACAUAUGGUAAAGUCCCAGCCCGUGCCGUGCCCAAUGGUCCCGUGGAAGUCAAUACUACCCACGGCAAUCCACCUCGGCGUUCAGUCUCGUACAAAAGCGAGUAAUCUGUCGCUAGGCUAACUCCAGAGUGCCGGCUUGUGGGGCGCGACUCUCACAAGCAUGUGCGAAUGAGCACAUUGGCAAGCAAGCAUAAUCCAUAACAUAGGUAUCACAAGUUCAUCAUGUCUCUAAUAUGGAAUCUCAACUCGAUACAAGGUCGACACUGUAAUAGUAAGUCAUAAUCCACUAUCAAUUACUUGGUGACAUAAUUUUACCAAUAGAUAGUAUGACUUAAACAAGUACAUGCUUUACAUCAUAUUGAUGAUUCUAACGGGCUAUACCUACAUACUCACAUAUAGCUCUCUCACUACUUCCUAUACAUAAGGAAAGUGGUUUACUAAGAUCAUACUUAAUAACUCAUUCUAGUGUUCAUAUAACUCAUGGCACAUAUUCUAUAGUUCUACAUAAACCUCCACUACCUGGAGUAAAGGAGUAUUAGGCAAGUACUUCUACUUGACUACACAGGUAUAUCCUCAUAUCCAAUUCUAGUUAUUUAACUAGAUCAUAUUCAUAGUAUAACAUUCAGGUUAUGUUACAAUGCCCAGUUCUAGUUACUUGACUAGAUCAUAUAUAUAUAUAAGAACAUGAAAUUCAUGCUAUUUGUAUUCUGUGAAAGCAAUAACCAACUUGUCAAUACAAGUAUGCGAAGCAUCCUCAACUGUACUCUUAACAUGAUUUUCGUAUAAUUAUAUAAGCAUGUAACUUCACUAUACAUGAUAUGCUAAGAGUUCUAUUAACAUGUCUACAACAUGGAAUUGCAUGAAUUUAACGCAAAGAUACAUCAUCACAAUACAUCAUUCACUUAGUUGUCCAACUGAACUAAAUAUCAUGUUCUUGGCUUAACAGCUAUUUCAUAUUGAAUGAUGUUGUACUUAACUUGUCCACACAGGUGUACUAAUAACAUGAAUACAUGCUAACCAAGCAAGCAGUCUAUGUAGACCAGGCAAUUUCACAACCCUUCCUCUACUGCAUAGAGGUUCCAUUUUAUGCGAUAUAAUAUGCAUAUUGAUGCAUGUCCCAAUUCAUUCAAAUAUCCAUAUAUUCAUGUGAAUAUGCCACAAUUCCAAUUUCAUAAUGUCAAAGAAGACAUAGAGGGAAUUCACCCAUUUCGGUAAGGUCAAACCACCAAGUAGUCGACGCCUCGUUGAUUCCGCCAUUGAAGGUAAUCCGAAGCCUCCGAGGACCAUAACAAUGAUUCUAAAAUCAGCUAGGAGUUUAACCAAGCUUCCACAUAAUAAACCCCACAUAAUCACAUAGUCUAGGUUAGAAUCUCACCUAGAAUAAAAUCCAGCUUUAAUUCUACUUCAAUUCAGGUUGGAGCACCUCAAAUUUACCCCUUUAAAGCUCACAAAUUUGAGCUAACGGGGUUCAACAACUUACUGCGAAUCUGCUUUGAACAUACCCCAAGAAUUCCAUCAAUACUCUACCAAUACAUCUCAAUUUAGUAAGAAGUUAAAUUGCUCACCUUGCACGGCUCUAACUCGGGUUAAAGCACAUCAAAAUCAGUCCAUAAGAGACACUAAACUCAUCUCAAAGGAGUCCAAUUCCCUGCUGUGGACUGCAUUAAAACUGUUUCAAAGCUACAACCAAUACAACUAUUAUAGCAUCAGGAUAAGGAAAGGUAGUUAGCUAAUCACCUUGUACAGCUUCAACUCAGGUUCGACUGAGUUGGGAGUGAAGAAUCACAACAAAAACACCCUUUCUUCAGCUGCUACAAGCAUCCCCAACUCUGCUGGCAGCAAAAACAAAGAACAAGCUCAACUUCCCUACUACAACUAUCAAUACCUCAAACUAGAGAGGAAAGUUAGAUUACUAACCUCACUAAGCUUUAACUCAGUUCCCAACUAAGUUAGAACAGAGAAACACCUCUUCUAUAGCUGUUUAGUUCAUCCCAAAACCAGCUGAUAACAAAAAACCAACAACCAACUCAACUUCACUAGUAUAGCACUAAUCUAGAGAGAAGUUGAAUUAUUUACCUUACCCAGUCUCAACUCAGCUUCUCAACUCAGCUUCUUGCUGAGUUAGGGCCACGAAAUACCUCCCAAAAUCUCCUUCUCCAACAACAAAACACAGCUCCAAGCCUUCCAACCAGCUAACAAUCAAAGAGGAGGAAGAACUAAACUCAAAUCCACUAGUUUUCCACUUCAAAAUGGAAAACCUAGAGAGAGAAAGGGAAAGAGAGAAGCUCCUACCUUAUCCUCAGCUCCAGAGGGAUAAGGAUAAGCUGAGGGGUCGACCAGAGCUGAUAAGAACAUGUUUUGGAAGUGAAAAGAGCAAAACAACCUUGCUGCCACGCAGCUACAAUGCUGGUACCGGUACCCCAUCAUUUUGUCACCAGUACACAGUGCCAAAAUACAGAUUUUUGCAUUUUGUAAUGCACUUUUGCUCUUCCGGCCACUUGUUCGCUCCAGUAACUUGUCGAAAAUCUCUCGACAACUAUUCAAAAAAUGUAGACUAGCUCCAAUUACCAUUCUAACACUCGAACUUCGCAACAUGCCAAAGUUCAGUGUACUACAUACUCUCUUCUCUCUUUUUUUUUUUUCUUUUUUUUUUUUUUACAGCUUUCUCUCUCUCCCUCUCUGUCUUUGUCGGAUCUGGGGUCGAAUCCCCUUAUGGAAGCCAUGAGCAUUGGCCACGCCGAAUUCGUUGCCGGCCCGGCGUGAGUCCAGCCGCGCCGGGGCUGGAUUCGGCAAAGACGGAUCCCGCAGGAUCCAAGCCGACGGGAUCCGUUCUUGCCGAAUUCGGGAUCCGCAUCUGGUGAAAAUUGAAUUUCUCACUUAUCCAUCAACUCAACUCCUAUUUAACUAUGCUUUUUUGACAUUAAAGUUGAAGCCAUUGAUGAGAUUUUUAUGGCACUUCUCUUUGCAUUUCUCACUUAUCCAUCAACUCAACGGAAGCGGUUUUUUCUUCAUGUAUUUCUGAGGCAAUUGUUCUACUGAUUUCAAAACUCUGGUAACCUUCUUAUGUUUACUUUGAUGUGCUAGAUUUGUCAUUACAGUAGAAAGCUAUCAAAGUCGCUUUUUUUUUUAUAUGAAGAGAAGAUAUAGAGGCUAAUGACUUCUGUCAUUUAUGAAAGAGAUUGUCAUUAACCUUUUCUUUUCCCCACGAAAAACUAUACUGGAGCAUGAUACUUGUGGUCUGUUGUAGCCAAACUGGUUGAUUAAUCACUUCAAGUUGCUUAUUAUUCCAAGCCUUUCAUAUUUCAAGUAGUGACACUUGAAUUUUCACCGGAUGCACAUAAACUGAAUUUUCAAUUACUUUCAUAAAAAUUAAGUUGCAAGAAGACCAAGCAUUGUUGCAACCUUUUUUGAUGUCUAAACUUAGCAUGUGUGUUUGAUUGUUUGAUUAGUUUGUAGUGUGUAAUGUUUUAAAAUUUUAUUUAAUUUGUACUAUUGUGUACUUUGUAUCCGAUAUUUCGAUUAUUUGUUGUGCAUUUGUGUUGCUUGUAUUUUUUAAUACAUAAUUUAUUUACUAGAAAGUUGAAAGAUGAAUCAAUCACAAGGAGAACCAUCUACCCAGAAAGAAAGAAAAAUUAAACCUACAUGGGAUGCAUCAUUGCUCAAAAUUUUUUGCAAAAUAUGUGUUGUAGAGGUCAAUGCCGAGAACCGACCUAAUACUCAUUUUAAUAGAAUUAGAUGGCAAAAUGUGGUUAAUAAGUUUAGAGAGAAAACAAAUAGAGCGUACGACAAAAUACAAUUGAAAAAUAAAUAGGAUUCUCUUAGAAGGGAUUAGGUUUUAUAGAUGCAAUUAGUUGGUAAUUAAAGAGACAGAAUUAGGAUGGAAUCAUGUAAGGGGUAUCAUUGAUGCAAGCCCUGAAUGGUAGGAGGAGAAAUUAAAGGUCAGUAUAUAAUUUAAUUUUUCACUUAUUCAUACUGUAUGUUUUCUUUACAAUAUAAUGUAACCAUAUGAUAUAUAUAGGUACUUCCUGAAGCUGCGAAGUUCCGUGACACGGGGUUGGAGAAUGCUACACUACUACAAGUUAUGUUUUCAAAAACCGUCGCUUUAGGUGACACGGCAUGGACACCGGCUUUAGGGACAAUGCCUCCCGAUCCAUAUCGUUCACAUGAUUUAGAGGAAGGUAGUGGAGACUCGGAUGAAGAUGUUAAUGUGGCAGGCAUAAAUCUUGAAUCCGGUGAUUCUGAGGUUACUUGUAACAUACCACAUCCCUCGUAAAUCGUGUCGAGUUCCGUCAACACGAGCGGAACGCGAAGUUGAACGGGUUAAAGUGGACCCAAAGUGCGUUGGAGUUCUUAAACGGAGUAAAAAGGGACCCGGAGAGCAAAUUUGGAAAUUUGGCUAAGUCCCAGAUUUUGAGCUCUCGGGGACCGGUCCCUGAAGGAGAGACCGGUCCCCGUGCGCGUAGCCUACCAGGAAAUCCUGAGGCAUCUGGUCCCUGGUGGUGAGACCGGUCCUCGGGAGACCGGUCCCUGACGGGCAGACCGGUCCCUCGCUGCGCAACAGCGGAAAAACUCGAAAAUUGGGCUAAGUCCUGGAAAACCCCCGUUCGGGAACCGGUCCCUGGUCGGGGAGACCGGUCCCAGAAGGCGAAAAAUGCCCAGUCUGGGCAGUUCAAGAGGAAACAUGUGGAGGGGCUUAAGUGCAAUUGUUACAACACUAUAUAUGGCCCAACCCCUCUCUCCCACAGCCAUUCUCCUCCUCCUCUCUUAUUUCCUCACUUUCUCUCUCUAGAAUCCCUCUAGGGCUUGGAGAAGAAGAAGAAGAAGAACUUGGGGAAGAAAGUGGAUUUGAUGCUUUGGAGGUUCUAGGAGCUCUCCAACAANGCCUGGAUGGACCUAGUGGGUAAGUCGGCGAGGUCGGAUGCCGAGCCCACUGGGAACUUCGUUGUAGUUCUCACACCACUAACCCUACAGGUCCUAGCACGAGCGGGGCGGCGGAGGACCGAGGCAAGGGUUUGGCGCCAUAGGUAGCGGCCACCGGGACCUUAUACAUUUUGUAGUCAUUCCCUUUUGUUACAUGUAUCAACUUUAUUUUGUUGAAUUAGAGAUGUAAAGUUGCAAACAAUCAUGUAUUUGGUGGAUGACUAAAUGUAAAAGAUAAGAUGAUUGAAUGGAAUGUAAUAGAUUUGUUUACUUGAAUUUGGUUUAAAUGAAAUCAAAUAUCAUGUGUGAUAUAUAUUUAGCUUAGAGCUUUCGCUUCCGUUGUUGCUUGCCCUCGUGCGAGCCCUCUAUUAUAUAUGCAAUUCUCUUAUUGAUUGCCUAUUUAUACAUGUUGUUAGAGCCUUGGGCGGACAGGGGAGGCUCUGUCCGUUCGGCGUCUGAUGACGUGACCUGAGCCCGACCAAAUUGGCGGGGAUUGGGGCGUGACAUUACUCCUUUAAGUGAUAAAGGAAAGAACAGAGCACGAGAUAGUCAAGGAAAAAAAAAUGCAAGAAAGAUAAAAUUGGGACGGCUACUUAUAUGCAACGACAAUUAUCAUGUAUAUGCGAUGCAAUUAAGAGCUUUAAUUCUCAAAGUAGCCGUUCAGUUACAUCUAGGAGCUCGACCUAUAGUUUUAAAGAUUGUAUAGAUUUGCUAAUGACGAUGAGUGAAAUUACAAGAAUGAGUGCACUUUAUAUGUUUGCCAUUCGCUUAUUUAAAAAAUCAAUUAAUCGAGAGUUAUUCAUAGACUUGAAGGAACCGGAAGUGUGACUUGUGUGGCUAAAGGAUGAAUUUGAGGAAUAUAUCGCGGCAAAAAAGUCGACAACUUAGGAUAUUUUCCAUUAGUAUUAUGUUCUUGUACUAGUAAUACUGAUUUAACUUUAAAUUUAAAUGUGUGUUGUUGUGUGUUUGUUGUGCUCUAAUGCUAUGUUGUCUUUCUUGGUACUUUUAUGUUAUGUUGUUUAUAUAAUGCUAUGUUGCUUUAAGUAUUAUGUUCCUUAAGGAUGAAUGUACUAGUAACAUUAAUGUGUGUAUUAUUUUCCUUCAGCAAAAUCAUUUUUAUAUCAGACUCACCAAACGCUCUACAGCUUUUAACAGAAAUCACUUUUCCAAACCAAAAUCACUUUUUCAAAAUUACUUUUUCAGAAGCUAGGCCAAACAGGCCCUAAGAACUGUUUACAAGUUUAGGGGCAAAGGUAUAAGUAACAAUUGAUCAAGGUUUAGUUUGGUAUUGAGACCCUAGUUAGUUAAUUUACGAAUUAUUCACGAAUUAUUUGCGAAUUAUUGAAAAUCCGAAUUAAAUGAUCCGUUUAUGAAUUUUUUCCAAAGAAAUAAAAUUAUUCGUGAAUUUUUGGGCCAGCCGAAUUAUUUGCGAAUUAUUCCCGAAUUAUUGAAAAUAUGAAUAAAAAACUUAUAAUUUUUAUUUUUAAAUAUAGAUUAUCUUAUAUUUUAUAUAUUAUACCGAAUUCGUUUUUUGAGCCGAAUUUUUCAACGAAUUUAAAAAUUAGAAAACAAAUUUUAUGCGUAUUAUAUCCGUACCAAUUUUUUGCCAAAUCCGAAUUAACUAACUAUGAUUGAGACCCAUUUUGUGCUAUUAGAUAAAAUAAAAUUAAAAUAAAAGUAUAUAUGAAUAUAUUUCAGCGUUCUCCAGUGGUGUCGCAAAAAAUAUAUCGCAACCGACUCAUCGUGAUAUGAAAACGUAAUAUUACGUAAAGAAACAAAGUAACAAAAAGAGUAUUUUACUUUCUCACCAUAAGGCAAUCUCCCCGCAAUCCGGAAGCUCAAUUUUGCAUUUGGAUGAAAAUUGGGUUGUUUUCGAAAAUAAGAAAAAUAACAUUUGGAUAGGUAAGGUUGAAUAAAAAGAAUAGUUUGUAGUUAUAAAUAGAAAAUAAUGAUAUUACUCCUCUAAUUACAUUUUAUUUUAAUUUUUAAAUAUUACAUUUAUAUUCUUAAAUUUAAAAUUUUAACUUUUAAAUUUAAAUUUUAACUUUUAAAUUUCAAAAUUUGAAAUUAAAAUUUAAAAUUUAAAAUUUAAAAUCUCAAAUUUUAAAUUUCAAAAUUUUAAAUUUUAAAUUUCAAAUUUUAAAUUUAAGAUAAAAUUUAAAUUUCAAAAUUUUAAAAUAUCAAAUUUAAAAUUAUAAAUUAUAAUUUUUAAUUUAGAAUUUAAAACUAUAAACUUUAAUUUAAAGAUUACAAAUUAUAAAUUUUAAAAAUUUAAAAUUUAAAAUUUAAAAUUUAAAAUUUAAAAAAUACAAAUAGGGGUGGGAACAAAUGUCCCCAACAGCUGUUUCCGCCCUUAGCGAGUUAUCCUGAUAAAUUAUUUAAUAUUAAUUAUAUUAAUUAAUAAUUUAAAUAUAUUAAAUAGAUUAAUUAAUAAUUUAAGUAUAUUAAAUAGAUUAAUUACCAAGUUAAAUAUAUUAAUUCGAUUAAUUAAUAAUUUAAUACUAUAAUUAAAGUUAAUUAGUGUUUAACUAACUUUGUUCUCACUUUUUACAGGGAUAAAGGUGGAAUAGUAAUUCCAGACUUAUACCAGGUUAUACCAGCUUGUUCCAGCUACUCGAGAACUACUGUCCUUGGGUACGAAAUUUCGGUUUGGGUAUAAAGGGUGGGAUAAUCCCUUAACCCACCCUCUAUACUUAAACCAAAUGGGGUGUUAAAGAGAUAGCGACCGAGAGCUAUUCCGCAUCCCGUCGCUUGUGGGGUCCGCUUGUAAUUGUGGGCCUUGCAAGUUGUCAUGUAAUGCGUAGCUACGAGAUCCGCUAUUUAUUAAAUGUCAUUUAAUGUGUACAGUUUUCCCACUCACUAAUGUGAGUUACGCAGUUUGGGGAUUCAUUAUUUUCGCUUUCUUCUAUUGUUCCGCAUUCGCCCUCUCUUGCUCCGUCUCCGCCAUUGCAGUUCGCCGUUACCUCCAUCCUUUCCAUGACAGGUGCGGGGUGGGGGUGUCAUUGUCUUUGUCGUGCCCAGACGAGUCGGUUGGUACGAUCCCCCCUCCUUUUUUCCUUCUAUUGGUUUCCUGUCUUUGUUACCUCGGAUGUUGGACCCGCUAUGCUCCUCUUCAAUGUAUCUUUCUGCAACUCAACGAAGCGCCAUGGAGCAUGACCACCAUUGUAGAUAACUCGAAGGGUGUGCCGGUCCCUGACAAGUUGUAUGGUCCCCCUACCUCGACCAUAUACCCACUCUUUGUUGGGAACCGGAUGGAUCGUCCGUCAUGUGCUACCAACAAAGAUGCACGAAAAAUAGAGAAAAUCGACCGAACGGUAAAAAAAAUAAAUGCAGAAAGAAGAAACCAAGAUUUACGUGGUUCGGCAAUCGCCUACGUCCACGGGGAGAGCGAGAGAGAUGUAUUCCACUAUAUGAAGAAAUAGAAGUACAAGCUUACACCUUAUGUCUUCUCCGGAUAAAAAAUCAAGAACCUUAUGGUGAAUCCCACUUANAGAGCGAGAGAGAUGUAUUCCACUAUAUGAAGAAAUAGAAGUACAAGCUUACACCUUAUGUCUUCUUCGGAUAAAAAACCAAAAACCUUAUGGUGAAUCCCACCUAUCUUGUUCCAACGAAAACUCCAAGAAAAUACCGAAAAAGCUUUUCAUAAAACCGAGAAAACCAAAUUAGAGAAGUAUAGAAACUCUAACCAAAUUCCUUUAUGCCGUUGCUUCGAAGAAUCCGAACCGCUCAGGCAAUUGGUUGAGAACCGCCGCUCCGCCGCCAACGUCAAUCCGUCGCAUGCGUGCUACCGCGCAUCUCCUUCUCUUGCUACCGUCGUACGGCUCCCGGAACCAUGAAUUAAUUAGCCAACAAAGCUAAUUAAUUUUUUCCAUGACUUACCGUACAGUUCGAAGAGGGCCCGAAUAGGGCACGCAUAUAUAUAUAUAUAUAUAUAUAUAUAUAUAUAUAUAUAUAUAUAUAUAUAUAUAUAUAUAUAUAUAUAUAUAUGCGUGGUUGGCCGGUCAACAAGUCAAAUUAGGAAUUGAAAAUCCUAAUUCAAUUCCUAGUCCAUCCAGAUUACUACAGAGCCAAAUCAAAGUCUAUUCAAUUUUAAAAAAUUAAUAUAUUCCGUAGACCCGGUGCAUGGACCAAACCAAUAAAAGAAGGCAUAUCUUUAACACUCUUCUCCAUUCCUUCAUUCUUAAACCGCUUACUCUCUUCCUCAGUGUGGCGGUUGUUUUGUCAAAAAUAAUGGGUUGUGUUCGGUUUGUUUCUUUGUUUCUACUGCUUUACUUCUCUCUUUGGUUCCCUCUUGAUAUUUGUCUGGUCUUCGCCCCUCCUAUGGGUGACCGUUUGGCCCGAUUUGCUUUCUACUCGUAGUUGAUAAUUUUGGUUGUGCUAGGUCUACUUUAUUAUUAUGUCAUCUUUUCAUGUGCGCGCGUAGGGACUGUGGUUUGCAAAUAUGCUACUGUCUGCUUAUUGUGAUCUAUUCUUGGUUAAAAUACAGGUUAGUAUUUUGUGGUUUGCUUUUUUGUUGCAAUAAAGUGUGCGUCUUGAACUAACUGGCUAUUUCAUACUGAUACAUGCUUCCUUAUUUAUUGCUUGGUUCUGACAAUAUGGUUAAAGUUGUUUUGCUUCAUUCUGUGACUAGCUGAGGACUAAUUAUGCUGUAUGGUAAAAAAGCAAUGUCUGUUUGGUAUUGUCUUUCUCUCUGGUUGUUUUUGUGUCUACUUCAUGUUGGAUUGGAUUUUGUAUUAGUUACAUGCUUUUGAUGUUUAGCAUUCAGUUUUGAAUGCAGUUAUGGCAGCAAUUUUUGUUAUCUUCUGCUUCUAUGAAUUGCUCCAUGAUGUAUGCCAGCAUUUUUCUCUGGCGAUCCGAGAUACGGUGUCUAGAUCGAAAAUGAAUAAGGGUUGGUUAGUGUUUAUAUUGAUUUGCAUGUUGGUGGAGAAGAUACUAUUAUGGAGUAUAAGGUGUUGGAGUGCGUUGUUUGCGCAUAUUGAUUAGUAUGAGGAAGAUGCUGUGCACCGGUUUGUUGGAAGCUGCAUGAUGACUUGCUUUUUGAAAUUAAAGAUUUCGAUGCUGUUACUUGCUUGCCGUGAUCUAUUUCUAAUUAAAAUACAGGUUAGUAUUUUGUGGUUUGCUUUUUGGUUGUGAUGAAGUAGAGGCUUACAAUGUGUACUUGUGCAUUAAAUGACACUUCAUGAUAAAUUUCUCUUGUGUAAGCGUAGGAAGCAUGUUAGAGAUGAAGGAAUCAAAGAUGAGAAGGAAUCAAAAAUGGAGAAGGAAUCAAAGAUGAGAAAGCUUAUCUUGAUCUCCACAGGUUAGGGCUCAAAAGAGCUCUCUAAGGGGGCUGGGGUGUUAUAUAUAGAGUUGCAACAAUUGCAAAUACAACCCCCAACUAAAACAGCCCUCUCUGCAAAGUGUAUCGGUACACGGGAAAGUGUAUCGGUACAAACCCAGUGUACGCGCGAACUCGAGGCUCGGGUUGGCAGAAAAUUUCAUUUGUACCGGUACAACCAUCAAGGUGUAACCGGUACACUUUCUGUACCGGUACAACCAUCAAGGUGUACCGGUACACAGCCCAGCAAAAUGCAACCUGAGAGCAGCCUAAGUCCAUGUAAUAUACCGAAACUUCGGUAAAUAAAUGUCGAACUUUAGUCAAAUUGACCAAAGUGCGAGGUUGGUACGCUUUGGAAAGGCCGAAGGCGUCAAAAUGGGUAAAAGUGCAUUGUUGGGGGUUUUCGAGAGCUAAAGAAUCAAAAAUCUGCUUACUGCAGUUUUUGAGCUCUCGGGGACCGGUCCCUGGAGGGAUAGACCGGUCCCCGAAUGUGAAAAAUCUCAUAGAUGGAAAAUCGGCUAAGUCUCAGAAAACCAGCUUUCGGGAAUCGGUCCCUACGGGGAGAGACCAGUCGCCGAGAGACCGGUCCCUCAGGAGAGACCGGUUGCAUUGUGCGAGAGCCUUGCUGAGCUGCGGGAGUGCUCUCUGGGACCGGUCCCAUGCUUGAGAGACCGGUCCCCGGGCGCGAAAACUGCCCAGUCAGGGCUAUUCAAUGAGAUCAAAGUUGAGGGGCUUAUUUGCAUUUAUGCACUAAGUGGGCUAUGUAUGAGGGGGUAUGAGAUAUUUCUCUCAUUUCUCUCUCUCACACUCUCUCAUAUCUCUCUUUCUCUCUCUAGAAGGCAAGGAGAAGAAGAAAGAAAGGAGAAAAAGGAGAAAGUAGAAGAAAUAAAGGAAAAGAAAGAGAAGGAAGGGUGAAGAAGAAGGCAAGGGAGUGGAGCUACUUCCUCUUCUUCCUCCUUGGUGCAAGAAAGUGAAGCUUUUAGAGGUAACCUUCAACCUCUUUCAUGGUAGAACCUAAGUAGGGUUUUGAUAGAGCUAAGAAUGGUUUUGAUGGAAUCUCUUGAGUAGAUUAAGCUUUCUUUUGUUUAUCUUUAAGAUCAAAACCUAGGGUUUUGGUAUAUGUUGGAGCUAGGGCACCCCAAAUUGGAGCUUUUGCUUGUGAGGGUUCCAAAGUUAAAUCGACCCUCUAGAAACCUAAUUGGGGGUAUUUCCGACGCGUUGGUGCGCUCGGUUUAACGUUACAAAAAGCCUAUGUAGAGAUAUAAGCAAAAAGGGCCUAAUUUGGCUUCGUUUUGCCGCAGAUAGCGAUCUAGGCGACUAAAAAUUCUAAGAAAAUCACCGUAGCACCCUAGCAAACCUAUGUGGUGGGUGGUGCUUUCCAAACUUAUUAAAAUUCCUUUUAUGUCUAAUGUAUCACUUUCUUGAGCAUAUGAGCAAAUGUUUGUGCAUGCAUUGUAGGGUAAUUGAGAUAAUGUUAUUGGAUUGUUUGCAUGUUGUGAGUACAAAUGCAUUAUGAGACGGUUGAGAACCAAUAAGAAUGUAAUAACCCUAUAUGUUCAUGUAAAGAGACAAGAAUUGAGAAUAAUUAAAGAACAAGUGACAUGUGACAUGAGGACAAUGUAAUGUUAAGAACAAAAGCUAGAGUUAGCAUCAAAAGUGUGGUAUUAAAGAAUGAAAGCUAGAGUUAGCAACAAAUGUGGCAUAAAGAACACUAGAGUUAGUGUAAUGACAUGGUUGAAAACAAAAAAUGCAAAGAACUUGAGAUUGAGACACAAUGACAGAUAACCUUAGAGCUAAGGGUCAUUUGUGCAUGAUUUCCUUAGAGUUAAGGAACGGAUUGAAUUGAAUAUCCUUUGAGUUAAGGAUUUGAUCAUACUCGCUAUAAGUCCUUACUCGAGGGUGGUCGCUCCCCCUCGGGCGAUGCGCUCCGGAGUUUGUCAUCACUGGGUUGGUGCUGUUCCCUAGAGGACGGUUCCAACGGGAGGAAGCUGAGGGCCCGUUUAAAUGGGAUUUUGAGUGGGCGAGUUAUUAACGUGAAUGUAGUGUACCGAAUUUUUAAUAUAGAAAUAAGUGUAAAUAAAAAAUAGUGUUAUGAGAUGGGCUAAGGUGUAAUUGUGCAAAUGAGAGGGGCUAAGGUGUAAUGGUGCAAGUAAUUGAGUUUACUUGUUGGGCAAGUUUCCUAUGUACCUAUGUAAUUGAGUUAACUUGUGGGGCAAGUUUCCUAUGUAAUUGAGUGAAUUCUUGACCUUUUACCCCAAACCGUAGGAGAAAGAGAGGGUGGGUUUUCUCUCUUUUUCUCUUUGACUUUAUGACCUCUCUUUCUCUUUGCUUCUCUUUACCAAAGAGAGGAUUAGAGAAGAAAGAAAAAUUAGAAUUUGCUUGGUGGUGAAGCAAGCUUGGUGGAGAAGAAGGCUUGGAAUUGAGUUACUUUCUUCAUCUUCUUCAUCACUUGGAUUAGAGAAGAAAGCUUGUUUAAGGUAAGCUUCAUGGGCUCUAAUGGCAUAUAGCUAGAGAUGGGUUUAAAUCNCGGCCAGUGAAUUGUAAUACGACUCACUAUAGGGCGAAUUCGAGCUCGGUACCCGGGGAUCCUCUAGAGUCGACCUGCAGGCAUGCAAGCUUGGUGGAGAAGAAGGCUUGGAAUUGAGUUACUUUCUUCAUCUUCUUCAUCACUUGGAUUAGAGAAGAAAGCUUGUUUAAGGUAAGCUUCAUGGGCUCUAAUGGCAUAUAGCUAGAGAUGGGUUUAAAUCUCUUAGAAUCUAGCUAGAUGGAAAUCCUAGUUGAUGUUAGGUUGCUAUUUGCUUGAAUCAUGAAUUUAUAUAGUGUAUUAUUGCAAUAGUGACCUCUAGGAUUUUGGAAGAGAGCUCUUGAUCAUGAGAGGUUUUAAUCUCAAUUGAUCAUAUGUUUCCGCAAUUGAAGGUGAAACCGACGCGGAGGAUCAUUCGGAUUGAGAUUCCGUUGAGCCGGUGGUGGUCAAAGUGAAGAAAAUUCUAUUUUUGCUUCAUUUGUCGCAGUUGGAAGAAAACAACGGCCGUAAAUCGCGCUGCUAGGCUACUCGCUUCGUGUCGACAUCACGAGGUGGGGGGUGCUAUCCGAAAUAGCCGGGUUUCAUUCUAUGUCUGAGUUCUACUAUUAUUGAUCAUAUAUCAUCAUGCAUAGAAUAGUGCGAAUCCUAUGAGUUGUGGUAAUUUCAUGCUUAGUGUAAGGGAUAAUGAUCCAUGAUUGCAUGAUACUUGUAGGAAUAUCUAUUUGCAUGAUGUUGAGAUAGAUGUGGACAUGUAUGUUGUAUGAGAACUUUUAUAUGAUGCCAAUAUAAAUAUUGUACAUGUUGUAUGAAUUGCUAGUGGACAUAUGCAUGUGAAUAUGAUGUAAGAAUAGACUAGAUUCAUGAGGAACUAGUAUGUAAACCAAUGACAUUGUGAGAAUUGGAAACUAAUGCAUAUGUGGCCGACCUGAGCAAAGCAUGCCUUGUGAGGAUAGGGAUAUGGUACCCCUGUGGCCCUCGAAUGAGAGGACUUGAUCAUAUUCGCAUUGUUUGUUAUAGCUUGUGGAUGGUCGCUCCUCCCAAGCAGUGAGCUCCGGAGUUGAAUCACAUUGAGAUUGGAACGGGGGAGAGAGUCACUACGGUGCGCCCUCGGCAGACGGUCACGGUCGCGUGACAGUAUGUGUGGCGAGUGAUUCGACCUUCGGGCGAAUCGUUUGGAUUUGACACAGGCAUGAUCAUGGCAUUUCGUAUAUAGUUUGCAUACAUGACAGAACUUAAACAUGUACUUGUUGACAUGAUUUGUAAAGGCAUAGCUACACAUUUGAAGCAUGAUAUAGAUGUAUAUGAGCAGGUUAGGCUUAUUGUUUAUCUAUUAUCUCCUUGACAUAUUAUCAUUCUAUUGUUUCUAUGCCUUUCUUGGACCUAGUGGGAAAAUCGGCGGGGUCGGCGGCCGAACCCACUGGGAACUAUGGAUAAUAGUUCUCUCACCCUGUUUUGCAGAGCCUAGUUCGAGCGCGUGUGUCGAGGAUCGCGGCAAGGGCGUCGCGCAGUAGAUAGCGUGGACCACCGGCGUUAGCUCACUACCCUCGAGUAUAAAAAGGAAAGAAUGAUAUGUAAAACCCUUUUGUGAAGAAAUGUAAUGUAUUUGAGAGAUGGUAUUUUGGUUGUAUGUAUGAGAAGUAAAGUGAAAUAUGUGAUGGUUCAUGUGUGUGAACAAGUGAUGUAAUAGAUAGUUUAAAUUCUCUUGUAUCUGUGAUUGCCUCUCUCAAUGUUGAAUGCUAAUAUCACUUGUUGGAUAUGUAUGCAUAGACUUUGUUACAAUUCGAUCCAUGUUCAAAGAAUAAUGUUCAAUGACAUUGUUCACUAUUCUUUUACCCAAUCUGUAGCGAAGCCCUAGAGUUCGCCAAUAACUCACCUUUCAAUCCCAAAGUGGGGAGGGAGCUCCAAGUGCACCCAAGCCCGGGACCGUCUGCGGACCUCCAUGUGGUCCGGACCUCCAAGUGGUCCUAGUCGCACGACACUCCGGAGUACUUGACGACAAUCCCCUCCAUGUGGGGAUAUGGAUGGCUAUACCAUCCCAAAAGCAGACUGUGAGCUAGAUCUAUCCUCUCCAAGUGAGGAUACCCUACAACUUGGGUCAACAACCCAAUCCAAUCCUCUCCAAGUGAGGAUGCUCUAUAACUAGAGUCAACAACCCAAUCCAAUCCUCUCCAAGUGAGGAUGCUCUUCAACUAGAGUCAACAACCCAAUCCAAUCCUCUUCAAGUGAGGAUGCCCUACAACUAGGGUCAAUAUCUCAAUAACUCAUCGACAACCUCUCCAUGUGAGGGUACUUAGGUUUACUAAGUUCUUUAUCCACAAGGCAUUUUCUAAGGGAUUCACCUAUCCCUAGGUUCUCAAACCUCUAGUGUCAAAUACACUACAUUAAUGCCACUCGAUGUGUUCUUGUUUUCCAAUGUCAAUUUCUCUAAUCGACCAAGUUCAACAUGCAUAAUUCAUCCACUAUGUUCCACAAUAUGGCAACAUGUAUAAUUCUUCUAUCAUAUGCAAUAUAUGUCAUCAUGUAUAUGUUUCUAUUUAACAUAAUCCACAAUAUGUUAAUUCACAACAUGUCAUCAUGCACAUAUAUUACUAGCAUCACAUGAUAUGUCAACAUACAUAUAAUCAUCAUCCAAAGUAGUCUAUACUUAGCAUCUCAUGCAUUCUUUUAGCAUUUAAUUCAUUAUACAUUUCAUCUCAUUGGUAGGUAAUAUCAACUACAUAAUAUGUUUCAAGCAUUCAUAUUAUCAUGUAAGCCUACCAAUACAACUAUAUGCAUCAAUGUGAAUUCAUAUGUUUCUUAAACAUAAAGGGCGACCUAGUCGCUUCGGUAAGCACAACCCACCUCAAAUCGCUUUCCGAUUGCUUGUCGACAUUUGCAAUCGGCCUCCCGCGGCACCCGUGACCCGGUUCGGCCCGAACUCUCACGCGACCACCCGAACGGCCACCAAUCCGCGAUACGUCUGUUCUGGAGUUUAUUCCUCGAUACAACGAUGCUCCAGAUCCGUUUUCGUGAUUUUUGGGCGUCUAUUCCGUGUGCUGCUGCUAUCUGUACCAAAACAGACUAUUUCGUCAAUAUCUUUGCGUACACUCGUCGGAUUGUCGAACCGAGCGCACCAACGCGUUCGUUAUACCCCCAAUUAGGUUUGUAUAGGGUCAAUUGAUAUCAAAACCCCUCAUGAGCAAAAGCCCUCUUUUUGGAGUCCUAAAACCUCACUAUUGCAAUUAGCUUCAUACAAGCAUUAACCCGAGCAAUAAAUGAGAUUAAUUACUUCUAGAGCAUCAUUAAGUUCCAUUUCUAGAGUAUAAAACCCUAAUCCAAGCAUUCUUCUAUGAGAAGGCAAAGAGCUUACCUCUACUAAGCUCUUUCUCUAAGCUAAGGAAGAAGACAACAAUGGUGAUCCUCCUUCAAGCUCCAAAUCUCCACCAAUCCUCCUCUUGAUUCCACUUCUAGAGAGAGGGAGAGCUUCUAGAGAGAGAGAGGGAGAGUGUUCGGUGGUUGCAAAUGAGAGAAAUGAGAGGGGAUGAGUUCUACACCCCUCUAUAAUAGCUUAACUCAUGCAACAAUUACAAAACAGCCCCUCAACUUUGUGUUUUAUGCACUGCCCGCGCGGGGUCAUUUUUUGUAUAAGGGACCGGCCCUCUAUACAAAUGGGGGACCGGUCCCCGUAAGUCCAGAAUUUCAGCAUUUUUAGGACUUAGCCAAAUUUCAGCCUUUUUCGUUUUUUUUCUGUUUUCGCUCGUUUGACCUCCGAUUCUUUUCAAAUCGAACCGAGACUCUCCAAACAUGUUUUUGAGCGUGUUUUCAUCAUCUUUUCAUCCACGCUAAUGCCGGAUUCAGUUCAUGGUCAAACAUAGCCUUUCGGGUUCCGUUUUCGCGCCUACGCGCACCAAAACGCCCGUAUGCUCCCGAACUUCACCGAACUUCACCGGAACCAUUCAAAUGGUUUUUCAAACCAAUGUACACCGUAACUUCAUAAUUUUAGAAGUCCGGUACCUUACAAUUGCACAAAUCGGAAGAUAGACGGUCGCAAUCCUCACUCGAAGAUGCCGGCCUUGUCCUCGUCGUCCCGCACGAUGAAGGGCACGCAGUGUAGAAGCCGAGAAAACUCCCUCUCAAACUCGGCUACGGUCCGGUCUCCCUGGCGCAAGUUGCGCAAGUCCUGCUCCAUCUUUCUUUUGACACCGUCAAGGAAGUAGUGCGCCAAAAGAAGCUCCUUGAACGUCUUCCAAGAGAUAGCCACGACGUCCGUGCUGGUGUUCUCCUGAAUGUCCAACCACCAGAGGUAGGCCUCGCCGUCCAAGUGGUGUGUGGCGAGCCAAACUCAAUCCCUCUCCUCCAUGAAGGUGUCGCGGAAGAGCUUCUCCAUGUGCAUCAACCACUUCUCCACGAUCCAGUGGUCGACCUUCUCUCCGUCGAAGAUCCGGGGACUGCACCUCCUGAACUCAUUAAGGCGAUCCAUGAGCCGAUCCCGCUUUGCUCCCUCAACUAAUGCGGGAAAAACUGCCCCCGCCGGAGGCACCUGAGCUGGUGGUGCCACACAAUCUCUUCCCGAGGUGCGACUGCAGGUGUCGUCCGAGAUGUGUCGAGGACGGGGGACGACCCCCUGGGUGCGACCACAUCCACAGGCGCCGGUGGUGUAGGAAUCUUAUAGGUUGCUUCAUACAAUGCCAACCGGAGUUGGCAACUCGAAGUUGAGUUGAUCACCGCCCCCCGGGUUUGUUCUCGGUGAUCAACAUACGAUAAAAUUAGGCUUCGCCGCUUGAGAACAUCUGUGGCAUAGCAACCGGGGGGAGAGACCGAAUGUGUAACACACUGGACCUUUGCAAAUUGCGAGGCUCGAGUGAUUGGAUGUGUUUCGAGCUUCUCCACACUUGGUGGAGGGUCGUAGAAUAUUUUCCGACCUAAGAAGUUCGAAAACUUGAGUUCCGGACGAGUCCUGAGAGUUUUCACUCUCGGGGACCGGUCCCUGAAAGGAAAGACCGGUCCCCCAGUGAGCAGUGUUGUGCUGUCGGCGAGGCAACCGGUCCCUGGCGGGCGAAACCGGUCCUCGAGCGCGCCUUCGCAGUGAGAGACCGGUCCCGCGUAGGGAGAGACCAGUUCCCGAACGUUGGUUUUUCGGAUUCACAGCGAGAGACCGGUCCCUGCUGGGGAGAGACCGGUCCCUCUGGGCGAAAACUGCCCAAACCGGGCUGAUGUAAUAUUGGUUUUUUUGAGGGGCCUCUUGGGAUUUUGUUGCAAUAGAUGGUCUAUAUGACCCAUCCACCCUCUCUUCUCCUCAUUUCCCUCCUCACACUCUCCCCACACCCUUGCUAGAGAGAGAAGAAGGAGAAGAAGAGGAAGGAGAAGAAGAGGAGAAGGAUCUAGCUUGGGCUUGAAGCAUUCCUUUGCCUUUCUUCCUCUUCCCACCUUGUUGGUGCUUGAAGGCUUGGACUUGGAGCUUGCAAAGGAGAAGAUCUUCACCCUUGGAGCUUGGAUUGGAGUUCUCUUGAGGUUGGUUGUUUGUUUCUUCCCUCUAGACCUAGCUUUGAUGGAUUUUAGGGGAUGAAACCCUAAAAUGGGAAAUCUAGGGUUUAUUUGGGGCUUUUUGAUUGAAGGCUUUUUGGGCUAAUCUAAUGAGAUUAGAACCUUGGUUUAGGUUGCUUUGGAAGGAUCCUAGCCUUCUUUUGGAGCUUGAGAGAGAGAUUCUACUCCUUAGGUGAGUUUUUGCUCUAUUCUUGUGAUUGUUAAUGUUUGAGCUAGAGUUGCUCGUAAUGCUUGUAUAUCUCUUCACUGAUCACUUUUAGGGUAUUUUGAGACUCGUGAACAACUUCGUUCGGCGAAACGAAGCCUUACGCGACGGUUUGGUGGGUUUGACCUAGCCUUUAAUAUGAGAAAUUCUCAUAUAUGGUGAUAAAUGCUUCGUAAAUUGGAAAAGCAUGCAUAUUCACACUAAAUGUAUUUAUUAUGAUUUUUGGAAGGCUUAAGAUGCCUAUGUUACAUGUGAUGAAAUUUUGAGUCUCCUUGUAGUAGAGGAUAGCAUAUAAGGCUUAUGCGGGAUUUUUGGCAUUCUUAUAUGGAAUCAUGUUCCUUGUAGUAUAAAUGAGCUUGGAUUCAUGUAUCUAAACCUAAUUUUAAUUGAGACAUGAAAGAUAACAAAAUUUGCCAUAAAGAGGCACCGAACUUGAAUGUCAUAUGAUUUAGAGAGCUAAUGUCAUCAAGCGGCGUUGAGCUCGGGACAUGGUUGAACCUAGUGAAUAGGGCCAUUGAGGGAUUGGAAACAUGUUGAACAUUAAAUUGUCUAAGUGUCAUCAAGGGGCACUAGGCGUAAUAAAUGUUGGAACUUCACUUUGUGACUUAGAACUAGAUCUUCGGGAUGCUAGUGACUAUACCAUGUUAGAGACAUGAUGAUUGGAUACUUGAGACGUUGACUACGCUUGCUUGCCAUUUGUGCUCAUUCGCACAUGCUUGUGAGGGUCGCUCCCUACAAGCCGGCACUCCGGAGUUAGCCUACGCGACUUAUGUUCGCUCGUGCGGUAUUGAGAAGCCUACGGGGUCGAGUGGGACAGACACAUUCCAAGAGUAGGGAUGUUGGGCUACCAUAGGCACUUAGGCGACACAAGCUGGACUACCUUUCGUAGGUCCUUAAUUGGAAAUGAAAAUCGACACAGGGUUGAGAAUGAAUAAUCACUACUAGAUAGGAUUAGUAGUUGGAUUACUAUGACAUGCUUGUAGCAUAGUGUUGAGACAGGUAGUAUACUUGAUAGUCUUAUUUAUUGCAUCAUAGUAUACUCACUACCAUGAUAGAGCAUAUUCUUCGUACAUUGUCAUAGUAGAUCAUGUUACCUACUUGCUCGUUAUGUUGGGAUAUAUUAUUCAUGCUUUGAUAUACUUCAUUUGGAUAUAGUAAAUGUACAACCAUUUGACAUCUUGCUUAUGUGCAACAUAGUAGUUUAGCAUUUUAUUUUGCUUUCUUAAAUGCAAACCGUUUAUUAUCAUUAUAAUUAUCAUAGCUUUUGGACUUACCCUUUUCUUUUGGGGCCUAGUGGUGCAUUGUGCUGAGGUCAGUAAUUGCCCACUGGGAACUAUAAAUUAUAGUUCUCACGCCCUCGUUUUCUUGAUGUUUUUCAGAGCCUUCCACGCCGGGAGAGGCUAGGAACCGCGGGAAGAGAGUUGCUUCGAUCUAGCUUCCUUCGGGGACGAUUUGAUAGGUGGUCUACCUCUCGUUAUUUUAUUUUGUGAGAGGUUGAGAGUUGUACCCGUAUAUGUAUAGAGACCACCCUUCUUUUGGAUUUAUGUAUUUUUUUUGAGGAGUUUGCUUUGUAUCACCCUUGUGCUUUACUAUUAUGGAUUAGUAUGUUUCCUUUCUUUUUGUUUUAGAUGAUAGAACUUUACUCGCUCUGAUAUCAUUAGAUGUUAUUCAUUCCUAAUCGUUGUGAUUCUUGCUUUUACUUUCGCUUUUAUUUUAGACGCCUUAUGUCACGCCCCGCGACCUGCCAAUUUGGCCAGAUCCGGGCACGUCGAUCAGACGCCGAACGGACAGCACCUCUCCUGUCCGCCCAAGGCUCAACGACAAUAUCAUGUACAAGAAUUUCCAGGAGAAAUUCAUUCAACAUACAUGAUACGACAAAGCACCACUAGUGCUAUACAAUUAAGAGCAAGGAUCACAAGUAACAUACAAGUGAAAUAAAGAGAGAUACAUCUAGCUAUUACAUUCAUUCAACCUCAUUUUUCAUAUUGAUUUACAUUUUCAUCUUCCCAAAUGAAUACAUAUUCUUCUCAUAAUACAAAAUGGCUCUCCAAAUGCAUAAGUAACUUCCAAAUACAUUUACAUCUCUAUGUACACGAGGGUACUCUAAUGCAUAAGGAAAGCUACUAGCUACUAGGGCGCUGUGCCCUUACCACGGUCCUCUGCCGGUACGCUCUCGUGUGUACCUAUACCCCAAAACCACACGGGGUGAGAACUAUAAUGCGUUGAUAUGCAAGUUUAUCCUACGACGAUAAGAAGAGAAAGACGAAGAUCAUAAAAGGAAUGAAUACAAUAUUGUUGAUUAUGAUAAGACAAAAUUGGUGCUGAAAAAUGAUUUUUUCCUCGUUAAACUCUGAUUGUAUUUAUUUUGUUUCCUGCUGCACUUCUUUGUAUUGAGGCAUAGAAUAUUAGUAGCAAUGUAUUUCUAAUGUUACGGUCCCCUAUCUAUCUACUGUGCCAGCUUUGGAACCGUGAAAGUGAUCGGCCGGGUCGCGGCGCGACCACUGGAACGUAUAUUUGANNNNNNNNNNNNNNNNNNNNNNNNNNNNNNNNNNNNNNNNNNNNNNNNNNNNNNNNNNNNNNNNNNNNNNNNNNNNNNNNNNNNNNNNNNNNNNNNNNNNCAUAUCAAUUUGCUAAAGUUUUUUGAAUCACAAAUCGAUUGUUCUUAUGUUCAAAAUAUAUAAAUCGUUGUGUUUGACAGGGGUUUUCUUCGAAAAUGUACUCAUGGCUACUUGUUCUUGUGGUUCUUAUGGCUGGUGGUGGUCGUGGAAGUAAGCGACAGCGCUCGAAAGCUAAAAAGCCGAUUGAGUAUCAACCGGAGGAUGAAGAGAGCGAAUAUGCUCCUGGCGACGAUUCUGAGGAGGACGAGCAGGAUUGGGAGACUUUUGUUCCUGAAGUUUUAGCUAAGGAUAAGGACGCUGGGAAAGGCAAGGGAAAAGGAAAAGCCGUGGAUAAAGGCAAAGGAAAGGCAAUUGAGCGUCCCAGUCGUCGUAAGUCCGGGGGUGUUGAAAUUCGUGAACCGGGCUCUGAACCACCACGUCACAGUCUACAGGAUGUUCCAUCUAAUCGACGGUCGAUGUACUCGUCGAAACACUGUAUUGGUGAGCGAGAUGUUGGGGUGGCCAGUAUCAUUAGUUGUGUGCCGGGUUUUCAGGAGUUAUUUGAACAGGGAAAUCUUCAUCAGAUUUGUGAUUUUCCGGAGCAAACCGGUUAUUGCUUGGAGUUGAUCAGAGAAUUUUACAUGAGAGCAGGUCACCUCCGUGACUCCGACGGCGGUCCGUACGUGUUUAAGACUUCCGUACGUGGUGUUGAGUUAUCCAUCACUCCUGAGACAAUAGCUUCGGUGCUAGAGAUGGAAGCUAAGACUGACGGAGUGGAGUAUCUGCAGGCCGGGUUCGACUCACUUCGAGAUUGGAACCGUGUCGUGAACACUAUCUGCAUGCCGGGUACUGAAUCAAACGGAAUUAUGGUUAUGUCCAAAGAUUUCAAAAUGGAGUACAGAUUUUUGCACUUCGUGGUUUGCUAUAACAUCAUGCCUCUCGCAAACACGAAAAUUUUGAGAUGGGAUCGUAUUUUGUAUAUGUAUCUUUUGGGACGGCCUGAUAUUGUGAGUGCGAAAAACAUUAACAUGAAUAUUCCGUUUCUGAUCUGGCGGCGGAUGGCGAAAGACAUCAAAACCUCUGGACAAAAUGAGAGGUUACCAUUUCCUUUAAUCAUUAUGCGGAUUUUGCGACUUCGUGAGGUGGAUGUUCGGUGUACAUCAUAUGAGCACAGUUUGGGUCGGAUCAAUGUGUUAAGGAUUUUAUAGGUUGGCGAAUUUCGUAUAGUUGUUUGGAGUCUUGAAGAGUUGGUCGCAGAAGUUUUUGAGAAGAGAUUCAAAUUGGAGGACAAAGACUCAUUCGGAAAGAUCGACACCUAAGGUAUGAAUAAAAGAUCAUUUGUGGUGAAGAUACAUAAUUAGAAUAAGUUCAGAAGGCUUAGAUCGAUUUAAAACAACUUUUCUGAACUUUCAUGUGUUCUGGGACCGGUCUCUGAGAUGGAGAGACCGGUUCCCCCAAGGUCCUCACUGCGUAAACCAUGAUGGAACCGGUCCCCUGUGAUGAGAGACCGGUUCCCGAACCUUGGUGGUUCUGUCGCACAGCGAGGGACCGGUCUCAAGUUUGAGAGACCGGUUCCCGAACGUUGGGUUUCUGGUCACGCAGAGAGGGACCGGUUCCUCACUUGAGAGACCGGUCUCUCACAGACCGGUCUCCUCAAAAGGACCGGUCUCUGAGGACGACACAGGUUUUUGAAAACGACUUUUUGCAAUCCUAGUCUACUUCUAAGUCUUCUAAACAUAUAAAUAAGCUAUGUGGGUCAUCUAAAAUUAAGGCUUUGAAUAUUUUACCAAUUCUAAACUCUAGAAACUUGUUUCUUCCCGUUUCAAUGCUUAGAUUUACAUGAUGAGUUUCUAGUAAUCAACAUCGGCUUGAUUCUUCGUUUUUACUCGAUACUUCUUACGAGAAUCAAGUAGAUGGUUGAUUAAAGGUGAACCCUCAUAGCUUAUGGUUUUCAAAAGUUAAAUCACCACAAAUCUUCAAUUCUACAAGCUCCGGAAGGAGGUUCGGCGCGUGGAUCUCGCGUGAAGCCGAGGAUUCGGUGGACGCUUCGAGGAGUUGAGGCGUUGACGCUGCGAGGAGUUGCAGCAAGGUCGAUUGGUGGAUUCCUAUCGAUCGAGGACCGGCAAAGAUCACCGUCAACGAGAAAUCGGUAAAUUGAGUCGUGUGUUUUUGUCGAAAUCACUUGUACUCAAGUUUUCUUAGUGGAUUUUCUUUGCGUGAUCGGUCCCGUGGGUUUUUCACUCCGAAUUGGAGUUUUCCCACGUUAAAUUCUCGGUGUGCUAUUUUAAUUUCCGCUAUUGUGUUUUGUUUGCAUCGAGAUUUUUCGAGUUUGCCGGAUUUACACCUAUUCACCCCCCUCUAGGUGUUACUUACCUUUUAGAUCCUCGGGAUCCAUAUCUUACAAGUGGUAUCAGAGCGGGUAUAGGUUGUAAUUCAUGGCUGAGGGCGGUAACAUCAAUCGACCCCCGCUCUUCGAUGGCACUAACUAUGCUUAUUGGAAAGUCCGUAUGAGGGCGUUUCUUAUUGCUAUCGACGAGCGGGUUUGGCAAGCCAUUGAAUUCGGAUGGAAAAAUCCUACCGAAGUUGUCGAGAAUGUUACCGUGCCGAAACCUAGGAAUAAAUGGACGAAAGAGGAAAAUGAACUAUCUUCGUUCAACGGGAAAGGUAUCAAUGCUUUAUUCAAUGCUUUAAACCAAACUGAAUUUUCUCGCGUCUCGGCGUGCGAAACCGCCAAAGAGAUUUGGGACACUUUGCGAGUUACACACGAGGGUACAAGUUUGGUUAAGAUUCAAAAAUUGCAAAUGCUUACUAGCAGAUUUGAUUCCAUUCGUAUGGAAGAACAUGAAUCUUUUACCGAGUACUAUACUCGUUUGCAAGACAUUGUAAACACGUGUGCUAACUUGGGCGAGAAAAUUCCCGAUUCCAAAAUUGUUCGAAAAAUUUUGAGAACCCUUCCCGAACGAUUCCGUCCUAAGGUUGCGGCUAUCGAAACGGUUAAACAUCCUGAUGAACUCAAGGUAGAAGAACUAGUAGGUGCUCUUCAAACUUAUGAAAUGACUUUUCCAUCUAAUUCAUCUUCUUCCAAGUCUUUCUCUAAAGCCUCAGGGAUGGCUCUAAAAUCAACAAAAGGAGAUGCUUCUUCAACCUCAUCAGAUUCAGAGUCGGAGCAAAGCUUGGAGGACUUUGAGAAACAACUCGCACUUCUAACAAAGAAGUUCCGUCGGAACUUUAGAAAGAAGUUUCCUCCCAAGUCUACUUCAUCAAAGACAAACAAAUCAAAUGGGGGUCCGUCUUCUUCUUCCUCGUCAAAAUACAGAAAAUCUGAUAACUCUCAAAAGGACUCCACAAAAGAGAGGAAAAGCGGUGAAGGUCAAAUCCAAUGCUACAAGUGUAGGGGCUUUGGCCAUAUAGCGUCUGACUGUCCUAAUAAAAAGUCAUUGAAGAAGAAAGCUAUGCAAGCUAUGACUUGGGACGACUCCUCAUCUGAAGAUUCUACUUCGAGUGAAGAGGAUGUGAAUGCCACAGCACUGUUUGCACAGGAUUCAACUUUCAUGUGUCUAGCAUCUGCUGACUCGAUUUCUACGACAUCUAUACAAGAGAGGUCAUCUUCGGAGAACUCAUCGGAUGAAGAAUCGGACGAAGACGAUAUGGUCGCAGCAUAUCAACAAUUGGUUGUUGAAUCAAAGAAGAUGGCUAAACAUAACAAGAAACUGCGGCGUAGCCUACAUGAGUUGGAACAAGAAAAUUCAAAGUUGGCCUCUCUAACAAAGGAUUUAGAACAAGAGAGAGAUGGGUUGACCAAGGCUUACAAUUCUUUGCUUGAGAAGUGUUCGUUACUUGAAAAAGAAAAGGAGACUCAGGCGGAGAACAUCAAGUAUCUUACCAAGCAAAACUCAGAAGCUAGAGAAGCAAAUAUGGAAUUCACCAAGACGAUCAUUCAACUGAAGUCGGAUUUGAACCAAUUUUCAUCUGGCUCGAGCAAACUAGACAAGAUGCUUGGACUUGGUCAAACAAGUAAACUUGGACUUGGUUAUGAACGGACUUAUCUUGAUCAAGCUAUGAAGAAAGACGAUGGAAAUUCGUCAACGGCCGUUCCUAAACAUUAUGGUAAGUUUGUCUCUCCUAAAAACAAUGUGGCUAACAAAACUUGUCAUAUUUGUGGUCUUUUAGGACAUAUAAAGAAAUUCUGCUACCAAAUGGGAAAGAGCUCAAUAGCUUCUUUGAAGAGUGAUCCUAAAACGACAACGAAGUCAACUGUGAUUCCAAGGAAGAUAGAACAUAAGAAGAGACAAACUUGGACGCCAAAUACUCCAAAGCCAAAGGCAAAACAAGCGUGGAAACCAAAGAAGGAGGAUAUGAAGAAGAAGUCAAUUCAAAUCGUCGACAAGCCACGAUCAACAAAAGCAAGCGAACUGUCACAACCCAAAACACGUAAGGUUUGGGUGCGCAAAGGUGAACUCUUCCCAUGCCUAGUCAUUCACACUUCACUUCAUGCUUACGAUAACUCAUCUUGGUAUCUAGAUAGUGGCUGUUCCCGUCACAUGACCGGAGAUAAAAAUUGGUUUGCUUCUUUGACCAAAAUCUCCGGAGGACUUGUUGUCUUUGGGGACGGUCGAUCGUCAAAAAUCGUUGGAAAAGGAACAGUGGCUAUCUCAGAUGGCCCUACUUUGAACGAUGUUUUUUAUGUUGAGGGGCUUAAAUCUAAUCUCGUAAGCAUAAGCCAACUGUGUGAUGAUGGGUACUCUGUGAACUUUUCUGAUAAAGAAUGCCAUGUUACUCGUGAUGACAAUCUAUUCUUAAAGGGCAUUAGAUCUCAGAAUAAUUGUUAUGUAGUUCCUAGUUCGGCCACUGAACAUUGUAACCUAGCGUCAUUAGAAACUGAAACUUUAUGGCAUGAACGACUAGGUCACAUCAAUUUUAAAGAGCUAUCAAAGAUAACCAAGAAGGAAGUAGUUAGAGUUGUACCUAAGAUUGAUUUUAAAGAGAACACUGUGUGUGGGGGUUGCCAAUUAGGGAAACAAACUAGAUCCACACAUAAGAACUUGAACCACUUAGGGACAACUAAACCUCUAGAGUUACUUCACAUGGAUUUGAUGGGACCAUCUAGGAUUCAAAGUUUGGGUGGUAAACGUUAUAUUCUGCUUAUUGUUGAUGAUUUUACUCGAUAUGUAUGGAGUGCUUUCUUACGAGAAAAAGCUGAUACUUUUAAUUCUUUUUCUGAAAUCUGUCUUCGUCUUAUGACUGAACGAAAUGAGAAAAUCGUACGCAUUCGAAGCGAUCAAGGGGGAGAAUU